AAACUUUCUUUAUAAACAAUUUUUGGUGGAAAAUCAAGACGAAAUUAGUUACUGGUAUGAGCCCUACAACCGUCCAAGCAUAAUGACUUUAAAACUCAACCCCUCAGGCCUACUCACACGUCAAAUAUGGAACGAGAACAGCAAUGAAUGGGAUUGGGACGUGUUGUUCUCAUUCCCAGAUGAAUAUUGUGGUAAAUAUGGAUACUGUGGUGCUAAUACUAUUUGCAGCCCCGACCAGAAACCUAUAUGUGAGUGCUUGGAGGGAUUCAAACUCAAAUCAAAAGUCAACCAGACAGGGCCUAUAAAAUGUGAGAGGAGUCAUUCUUCAGAAUGCAUAAGGGGAGACCAGUUUAUAAAGCUUGAUAACAUUAGAGCGCCCGACUUCAUAGAGGUUUCUCUUAACCAGAGUAUGAAUCUGCAGCAAUGCGCGGCUGAAUGCUUGAAAAACUGCACUUGUAGAGCUUAUGCUAAUUCCAAUGUAACAGAAGGCAGCGGCUGUUUAAUGUGGUUUGGGGACCUGCUUGAUGCCAGUAGGCCAAGAAGAAACUUCACCGGACAGUCUGUCUACCUACGAGUACCCGCUUCAGAAACAGGCACAAUUUUUGCUUUCCUGAAAUUGAUGUUGUAAAAAUUUUUCAAGUUGAAUCAAAAUGUAUUUAAGCCAACAUGUUUGAGGAAUUAAAUGUUAGAGAAACAGAUGAACAAAACUAAAACUAGGGGUGAUUUAAGUAAUUUAAUUUAUUUGGCUCAGCUACCUAGGAUUUUAUUUACUUUCUAUUGAAUUUCUUUGACAACAUAUAUGUGUCUGGAUGUAGGAAAAAGGAAGCUACUCUGGAUACUUGUAAUACUUGUUCUUCCACUGGUACUUCUUCCUUCCUUUUACAUAUUUUGUCGACGGAGGAGAAACUGCAAAGAGAAAGGUAAUUUUUUUCAUAUCACUUACUGGUAUGUUGUACGAUAUGGCAUGUGAUAGAAGAAGUAUACUCACAGUUUUAAAAGUUGUCGUCUUACAGAAACAGAGAAUAUGGAAACAAACCAGGAUCUGUUGGCAUUUGACAUAAAUAUGGGCAUUACAACAAGAACAAAUGAAUUCGGUGAAGCAAAUGGAGACGGCAAAGAUAAGGGCAGGGAUUCUUGGUUGCCAUUAUUCAGCUUGGCCAGCGUGGCUGCUGCUACUGAAAACUUUUCUAUGCAAUGUAAGCUUGGAGAAGGUGGUUUUGGCUCUGUUUACAAGGUAGAAUUGUUGAUACCUGAAAUGUCCUUAGUGAAGUACUGCUGGUGUAAAACAUUGACAAUAUUUAGAAUGCAGGGUCGAUUACUUAAUGGACAAGAAGUUGCAGUUAAAAGGCUCUCAAGUCAGUCAGGGCAAGGACUCAAAGAGUUUAAAAAUGAGAUAAUGCUUAUAGCAAAACUUCAACACAGGAACCUUGUUAGACUUUUGGGUUGCUGUGUAGAGCAUGGCGAAAAGAUUUUGAUCCUCGAGUACAUGCCUAACAAAAGCUUGGAUGUUUUCCUUUUUGGUAUGUGAUUUAUAUUCCCAAGAAUUUACAUUUUCAUUACUUUGCAAUGCUAUGUCAGAUUUUAUCAUCAGCAUUUUUUUUAAACUUGUAUCAUUUUGGUAUUACAACAGAUCCAACCAAAAAGCACUUCUUAGGUUGGCAAGCACGUGUUAGAAUUAUUGAAGGAAUUGCUCAAGGGUUAUUAUAUCUUCAUCAGUAUUCUAGAUUUAGAAUUAUUCACAGAGAUCUUAAUGGCUAGUAAUGUUCUCUUAGACAGGGACAUAAACCCCAAAAUCUCAGAUUUUGGCCUAGCAAGAAUGUUUGGUGGUGAUGAAUUGCAGGGAAAUACUAAACAGAUUGUUGGAACCUAGUAAGUAAAUUUCUAUUGCCGAAAAAUGUUGUUUGCUUGUCCCGUUUUCUUAUAUUAUUUAAUAUUUGUUAAAACAAUGAAAUUUCAGUGGUUACAUGUCACCUGAGUAUGCCCUGGAUGGUCUCUUCUCUAUUAAAUCAGAUGUGUUUAGCUUUGGAAUUUUGAUGUUGGAAACGUUGAGUGGCAAGAAAAACACAGGCGUCUACAAUGCUGAUUCCUUUAAUCUUCCCGGCUAUGUAAGUAACAAGUCGUUUCACUUUUAUUUAAUCUUUAGUGAAUGAAUUUUGGAAGUUAAGAAUUGCCCCUGUCAAUUAAACUAAUAUGAUCUUGACUUCCUUUAGGCUUGGGAUCUAUGGAAAGAUGAUAAGUUUCAUGAACUAAUAGAUCCAGUAAUAUUGCAAGAUGAAAUAUCGUUGCCAAUGCUGGUGAGAUACAUUAAUGUAGCUCUUCUAUGUGUUCAAGAAAAUGCAGCGGACAGACCAACCAUGUCAGAUAUUGUCUCAAUAAUUAACAAUGAACAUCUUGAAUUACCUUCACCCAAGGAACCUGCUUUUACCAAAGGUAUAAAUGUGAAGAAUUCAUCUCAUUCAAAUAGUGGGGUGUCUAAACUUUGUUCAGUGAAUGAUGUAACUGUUUCACUGGUUUAUUCUCGAUAGGAAAUGGCUGAGGAGAGGAAAGGUUCCUUUUCAUCAAUCUUCCACAACUGUUUAAUGUGCUAUAAUUUGUAUAUUUAUAGCUAAAUGUUUUUUAAGUUGAUGAUUCUAAACUGCCUGCAUUGUUUAAUGGAAAUGUCACGUCAUAUUAAAAUUUAAAAUUAAUAAAUUAAUAAUAUUGGGACCAUGAAAAAUCUUUUAAUUUAGUGAAUAUUAAUAUAUCAAUACAUUAAUAAUAAUUAUUUAAUAAAAAUAAUAUCACAUUAAUUUUUAUGGAGAAUAGAGGUAGUAUAAUUAAGGAAUUUUGGUAGCUUUUGUGUUUUUAUUUGAAAUUUGAAUGAGUUUGAAUGCUAUUGAAGUUUGAAUAAGUUUUAAAUACCUGUAUUUUGAAUGAUAUGUUAAUUUUUAUUUUUAUUUUUUUGAUGUUUGAUUGUAAGUCAUAAAUUAUUUGUUUUAUAAACUCAACAUAUCUUAAAUUUAGUAUUUUUACAUUUAUAUUCUUAAAAGAGUUAUAUAUAUUUUGGAGUAUGUUUAUAUAUUUACUGUGUUAUCUAGUAUAAUAGCAUUAUUUACAUAUCGUAAAUAUUUAUAAAGUAAGCAUUAGAUAUAUAGAUAAAAAUAAAUAAUGAAAAAUUAACUUUGAUGGCAAAUCGCCUUGGUCCAACCAAGAAUUUAACAUAAUAUUUGUACGUAAAAAAUUGUUACUUAAUAAUAAAUUAAUUUCUAUAAAAUUAAAAUUGAAUGUCUGUUAGUUAUUUAGUUUUCAUUGGGCCAAGUAAAAGUUGAGACCAAGAUAAUUCUAAUAUGACAUGUAAAUUAUGAAUAUCAUUUUGGUGAGAACGAAAAAGGUAUCAUUUUUUAUUUUUUUUGGAAGUAAAUACACUUAUGAGGAUAUUUAUGAGAAAACAAAUAAUCUAUCAUUCUUACAUAUGGUCAUUUUGAUAACAGUUAGAAUUUUUUUAUUGAUAUGAAAAUAUCUUACAAUAAGACUUUAGAGACAAAAAAAAAAAAAAAAAAAAAAGGACAAGCCAAAAUAUCAAAAUAUUUUAAAAUAAGCCAAAUUAAAACAAACAAGACAUUAGUGAUUCUAUAAAGUUGUAUGACACAAUUCUUAUUUAAUCUUGAUUGACUAAAUCAAUUACCUGAUAAUUAUUUGGCUACAUUGUAUGGUUGGAUCACGAUUACAUGGUAACUCAUCAGAGCAGGCUUUUUUGAAGGCAAUUUAUUAAGCUAUCUCUCUCUUAUAUCUCUUAACAUAGCACAUAGAAUACAACAAUGUUUUCACAUUGAAAGCUGUAAAAAAAAUGCAACAAAGAUUAAUGAAAAUUAUGUCAGGACAAUAAAGAAAAUCAUAAAGAUAUGAUAUGUAUUUAGUUUCAAAUUUGUUAAUUAUUAAUUUAUGUAUUAAUUGGGUCCUAUAGAAAAAUAAGAUUUAAAAAAAAAUUUAUUAUCAAAUAAAUUUAUCAAAUUGUUAAUUUAUCACAUUGACCUCAAGUUAGGAUUGACAAAAUUUAUUAUCUAAUGAAAGUUAACAAAGUAUUAACUUAAGAUCUCAUUAACUUUGUAGCCUAAUCGCCCUGCUCUUUUUUUGAGAUUUGAAGCCAAAUUGUCCAUAGUUUAAUACAGUUAACAAUCAUUCUUUACGCUAUGUCAGUUUUCCAAAGAAACAUUUUGGAUUUUUCCCAAUAUAUAUAUAUAUAUAUAUAUAUAGAGAGAGAGAGAGAGAGAGAGAGAGAGAGAGAGAGAGAUUUGUGAAAAAUCCAUUAGGGAUGGCAAAAAUCUCCACUGGAACGGGAACCCUUAAGGAUUUUUCUAAUUUGGAUAGGGUAUGAGAAUGAUUUUAUACCCAAUUUCUUAUUCAGGGAAAGGACAAUGACGAUUUUUCACCUAAUUUAUUUUUGGGACAUGGACGGGGAUGAGCAAGAAUUAGGCAUGGAAAUAAAAUCUGGAUCCAGCCCGCAUCCGCAAGGAUCCGAACGAUUUGGAUCUGGAAAAUCCGAAUCUAUAUAUUAAAAAAUAUAUAUUUUAGAAAAUUGAGAUCCGCAUAGAUCUGGACUUGCAUCAGGAAAAUCGGAUAUCUGAAUAUGGUAAAUUUUAUUUUAAAUUAAAAAAAUAUAUUAAAACUAAAUUAAAAAUUAAAUUUAUUUGAGGAUUUAUGAUGAUGUUGUAUGUUAUUCAUGUUGAAUUACUAAUUGUUGAAUCAUGAUUGAAUUUUAUUUGAUAUUAUUAGGUAAAUUAUUGAAUUUUAACUUAAAUUAAAAAUAUAAACUAAAAAUUGAAAAUUAAAUUUUAUUUGUGAAUAUAAGAUAUUGUUGUAUGUUAUUCUUGUUGAAUUAUUAAUUGUUGACUUAUGAUUGAAUUUAUUUGAUAUUAUUAGGUAAAUUAUUGAAAUUUAAAUUAUAUAUUAAAUUAUUGAAUUUUGAUUUUCGCGGAUCCGAUAUCUGGAAUAUUCACACGCAUCCGUUGCGGAUAUUACCCGCAUCCAGAUCCACAUUUUUUUACGGAUCUAGAUAGAGAAAUGUAAAUGUGUAUCCAGAUCCGGAUGCACCCACAUCCGAAUUUGGAUUUAGAUUUUGCCAACCUUAGCUAGAAUGCCCAUCCCCUCCUCAAUUCCCCAUUUCCCUAUUUUAAUUUUUAAUUUUAAUUUUUUAAAAUAUUAAUGAAUAAAUAAUAAAAUUUAAAUCAUAAAAUAUUAAAUAUUAAUAUAAAUAAAAAAUAUUAAAAUAUUUAUACAAAUAUUAAUUUGGACCUAUGUUUAUUAAAAUAAUGUAACGGAAUGUGUUUAAACAAUAGACGAGGUGUCAUUAUUUUACUUUUGCCGUCCCAUAUUCUACUUCCGCUAUCUCACUAAGUCAUAAAACAAUUUCAGUGAAUAUAAGGGCCGUAAUUAAAAUUUUACCUUUAAGAAACCUUUCAGCCUCUAACAAAGCAAAGUAUGGACCGUAAUGGAAACUUCCCCGAGUUGACUCAUACAACGAAGGUGGCUCCAGAUCGCUUUAAAUCCAUCUUGAACACCAGCCCUUUGGAGAAGACUAUGGUAUGGCCAACUUGUUUGUCGUUUGCAAUAAAGAAACAUAAUUAAUUUUUAACAGCCUUUCGAAAUGGUAUGUGACUGCAAUUAAAGAAAGAUAUCCAUCACUUUCUGUGAUAAAAAAUUCAGCAGUUGUAGAUUGGUAAGCCUUAUUUGCAAUUAAGAUUGGAUAAUUGUAACUUAAAAGGUACGGCACUAAAGUAUUAGUUAAACAUUAAAUAUAAUAUAACUCAGCGGUAGAGUGACACCUUAACGUGGUGGAAGUCAUCAGUUCGAGCCUGAUUAUCCCUAAACCCAAUAGGAGUUGUGAGUUUUUCUAUUUUGACUUGCCACCGCUGUGAUCAAAUAAGAAUGGGAAUGAAUAAGAGGCUUGUGGGGUUGACGUGAAGGGGUAGGGCUGGCUAUAUUUCUGGCAGCGAACUCCAGGCGAAUAUGAAGCGCAUGGAUACAAGUUAUGCCUUGGAAUGAAAGACAAUUCAGAAUCAGCUUUGUCUAUGAACAAGAAAGCUAAUAGUAGUAACUCAGUACCAAACAAGCCGUAGUACCAUUGUGUGCCCGAAGUAUUGAAGGAAGAGCAAUUACCUAAACCUGAAUGGAAAAAAGUGAAAUAUGCCAAGAAAGCACUAUGCCAUCUCUCGAAUUUAUUGUUCAAAUCCAUGAAAAUGGGUUAGAAAUGGGCUAUUUAUAGCCAAAUCAAGCAGUAAGCACUUGAGCAGUGGGUACUUGAGUCCACAUAUGUGUGUGAUUACAAGAUCAAGCUGUGUGUGCAAGUAAAGAGAGGUGUACGUGAUUGGCGUGUGUGUGCAUACAAAUGAAUCACAUGAGAUGUGCAUGUGGUGGAAAUCCAUUCAGCUUUCGCAGUACUCCCCUUAUUCCUUAGAUAUCCAUCAUUUCAUACGAAUUGCAAUUGACCAAAAAUUCAAUAGUACAAAAUCCAAGCAAAAAAAAAAUUUACAAUUUAAUAAAUCAUAAAGUAGGGUUGGACGUGGUUCAAAAUUGCCUCAUUAAAAGUCUUUACUAAUAAAACUCAAUAGAAAAACUUGAUCAAAGAAAAAAAAAGAAUACAACGCACAUGUUUCAUUUUAACUUUAAAAAUUCUUCUAUUAUCUGAUGAGCGCUCCCCCUGAUGAUAACAUAUAUCAACUCAAUAAUUUGUUCAAAUGUUACAUAGUCAAUAGCUUAUUUUCAUUUGUUGAUGCAGGCAAAUCUUUCAUAAAUUAUGUUGAUGCAGAAAUCCGGUCGUCUAUAAGGCUGACCAGGUUGUCUCAUCAAUGCUUAGGCUAACUCUUGUUGGUGCACGACACUUCUCGUUCCUUCCCCAAUUAAGUGAAUCCAAUAACUUCAAUCAACCUCUCUCCUUUCCAGUAACCUGCACUCAUAGAAACAGAGCAGGGGUGCCAGUGGUUUUUCCUGCGAAAACCCUCCGAUGCUUAAGUCAGUAUGUGGGGUUUCGGAAAAAAAAUUGGAUUUUAGAUCAGUGCAAGAUAAUGAUUGUUGAGUGAAAGAAAAUUUUUUAGAAGGUUUUUAUGGAAAUGAAGUCUAAAUUCAAAAUGAUAGAGUUUCCCCCAGUUUUUUAUUUUUUGUCCCCCUCUUCUAUCUUUUUCUCAGGUUUUAUAGGCAGCCGCUCCUUGCGUCUAGAACAUUCUCCCAUGUCCUCCAUACUCGGGCGAUCAUGGACCCCCAUAAACUGCGAGAACCGUGCGUAGGUUAUCGUGCCUCCCCCCAAACGGUUUGGACGUGGCGAAACUGUUGCGUUGAUGCAGGAUCGUGCCUGUUUUUUAAGUAACAGUUCUCCGGUCGGCCUUCAGCUGUACCCCUGAGAGUGUCUGGCACCAGGAUAUCUGCUCAUGAUUUAUUAAGUCGAGGAGAUUCCUCCUCAGCCAAUUAAUGAGGACAUGUGUGGCUGGUGCUCUUUUAAUCACCAAACACCAGUCCCCCUAGUUUCUAGUGUUGCGAGUGAAACGAGCUAAAACUAGAAAUUAGGAGCCGAAUAUGGUCAUACUGUGGGUUUGGGUAUUGAUAACUUUAAGAAAUGAGAGUUAUUAUGGCAAUGCUAGACUUAAAUCAAGAUCACUUAGAGAGUAAAUGAUGUGUUUUUAUUGCAUUUUUGUUACGUUUUACAUAAACAUUCAUUUUAGUUUAGUCUUAAUAAGUUUUGCUUGAUUUAAAGUAAUUUGUGCUCAAAUCACGUGCAUAAUUGUAGGUGUCCAGAAGCCUAUAAUUCAUGGAAGGGAUGUUGAUGCAGUAGGCUGGCAAAAAGGAAGAAGAAUAUGGCCACAAAAGAAGAGAAACAAAAUCUGGAGCAGUAGAGAGCUGUAGCCGUUGCUGGAGCAACUAUUGCUGUAGCAAUCCUAAAACAACGACAGAGAAAACUUAGCGCGGGAUAUCUGCAGAAUUACGAUAUGCAGUUUCCUAAUUUGACUCAUGCACACCCUUGGCUUUUGUUUACCCUAGUUUUCAGUUAUAAAAAUGGCUGCGCAUCACAUAAAACGGCGACAAGGAAUUAACAUGAGAAAAAUCGAGAGGAAAAGAAGAAAACAAUCAGAAUUCAAGGGAACCAAUUCUACAUCAGUGAAUGAUCCAACAGAGUUAUUUGGAUUCAAUCUUCAUCGUUCUCUACUUGUUCUUUUUUUUACUCUUUGAUUGAACCGAUGUAUUUCAUGACCAAUAUUUUGCUAUUUGUUUUUCUUUUUCAAAGUAUGAACUAAAUUUGAUUGUAGUUGAGUGACAAACAAUCUAAAUGAGUUUUUGACUGUUCUUAUGAGUUGCUAUACGAUUGCUGUGGCAUUUUACUUUAGUAGCUUUUAUUAUAAUCGUUAUUUCGGUUGACCACCCAUUUAAUGGUUUAAGUUAAGACAGAGCCGCAAAAAGGCUUGUCUUAGUGGAUAUUAUUAGAGUAAUACUUGAUUUUAAUUUAAGUUUCCUGGAUUAAGUUUUUCUUGAAUCCCAUAAGGGCUAUACUUAAAGUUAAGAUUUGUGAAGAACUAGACAUAGGCAUUCACCUUGUAGGGUAGAGAGAGUAGAUGUUCAUAAUGUCAUACAUUAGGUAGAAUAACAACUGGUCAUUGUUAGGAUCCUUAAGGGCUUGAGAAGUCCAACGCGCGAAAUCUCAGGAUGCAAAAUAAUUCCGCCCAGUGAUGUAGGAAUUGUUGUAGCAACUAGUGCUAAUUUGAUGAAAAGCAGUCAACUCAUGAAGAAAGUUUGAUCAUUCAGCUACUUCAUUCUCAUUCGAUUCUUUUACGCAAUUUAUCUAAUCUAUUUCAUUACUGUAAUUAUUUGUUUUAUUUUCUUACAAUUGUUAGUUUCGGUAAUAAUCAACUUUAACUAGGUUCAUCUUAAAAUAAAGGUAAACUACACUAUUGUGAUUGCUGUAACAUUUCUAGUAACAUCAAUCCCUGUGGAGACAAUCUACAAUAUUCAUCAUUUUAUUACUUAUUGUGUAUACUUGCACAUUGGCAUCAAUAACAAUUGAAUAAAAAUUAACCAACAAGUUUUUGGCGCCAUUGCCGGAGAUUGAUUGUUUAUUUUUGAAGUGUGAAGUAAAUCUUGAUAGUGCCAACUUGAUCUAAUUUGUUCUAUUUAUUGACAUAUCAAAACUUGCAUGUGCAAAGACAGAUCUGUUGUAUUAUAAUUUGAUCCUGAGAUUGAAAGGACUGUAAGGAGAUUGCGAAGAGAACAAAGAAAUUCAAAAAUUGUUUCAGACAUGGAUAAUCUACAGGAUGUGGGAAACUUGGACCCUCAGGGGCCACUACAACCUGUCAACAUUCAAGAGAGGCAGAAUGAGCAUGUUAAUCAGAGACAGCCAGGCAAUAACAAUAUUAUUUACAUGGAAGAUGACAGAGACAGGGCUAUAAGAGAUUAUGUUGUGUUAACUCCUCAAGUUGUACAUUUUGGAAUAGUUAGACCUGAAGUGGAAGCCUCAAACUUUGAAUUUAAGCCAGUGAUGUUUCAAAUAUUGCAAACAGUGGGUCAAUUCAAUGAACUACCAACUGAAGAUCCUCACCUCCAUCUUAAGUUGUUUUUGGAAGUGAGUAAUGCUUUUAAAAUUGUUGCAGCAAUACAAGAUGCUUUAAGACUAAGGCUUUUUCCUUACUCCUUAAGAGAUCGAACAAGAGCAUGGUUGAACUCAUUACCAUCUGAUUCCAUCACUACAUGAAAUGAAUUGGCUGAUAAAUUCUUAAUGAAAUAUUUUCCACCAACCAAAAAUGCAAAAUUGCAGAAUGAGAUCACUUCCUUUCAUCAACUUGAAGAUGAGAGUUUGUAUGAGGCUUGAGAGAGAUUUAAAGAACUUCUCAGAAGGUGUCCUCAUCAUGGCAUUCCUUGUUGCUUACAGUUGGAAACCUUCUACAAUGGGUUGAAUCCAAGUACGAGAUUGAUGGUUGAUGUUUUAGCAAAUGGAGCUUUAUUAUCUAAAUCUUACACUGAAACUUAUGAAAUUUUGGAGAGAAUUGCCAACAAUAAUUAUCAGUGGCCAUCAACUAGACAGACGACAGCAAGAGGAGCAACGGGGUACAUAAUAUAGAUGCAAUUACAACUUAUUAGCACAAGCAACCUCAUUGACUAAUAUGGUUAAAGCUAUGACUUCUGCUCCAGCAGCAGUAAAGCAAGUUGCUGAAUUGUCUUGCGUGUAUUGUGGUGAAGAGCAUAUAUUUGACAAUUGUCCUAGGAAUCCAGUAUCAGUAAACUAUGUGGGUAAUUUCGACAGCCUCAAAACAACCUGUACUCAAAUACUUACAACCGUGGAUGAAAGUAACACCUAAACUUCUCAUGGAGCAAUCAGAAUCAAAAUGCUCCAGCACUGAGUGGACAAAACAGAAAUACUCAACCACCUAGUUUUCAUCAGCAGAAUCAAGGGCAAAAACACACCAGCCAUGAUCCACUUACUUCAUUGGAAACACUGAUUAAGGAAUACAUUGCGAAGAAUGAAGCAAUUGUGCAAAGUCAAGCUGUAUCUCUAAGAAACCUGGCAAACCAAAUUGGACAGCUUGCCACAGCAAUGAGUAGCAGAUCUUAGGGAAGCUUGCCCAGCAACACAGAAGAUCCAAGAAGAGAAAUUGGUACCUCCUGAGGCUACCCAGCAAUUUAGGCAUCCACCUUAUUUCCCAUAGAGAUUCCAGAAACAAAAACAAGACAAGCAGUUUAGUAAGUUCUUGGAAGUGCUGAAGCAAUUACACGUCAACAUACCUUUUGUGGAAGAAUUUGAGCAAAUGCCUAAUUAUGUGAAAUUUCUAAAAGACAUCUUGGCAAGAAAGAGAAGGUUGGGAGAAUUUGAAACUGUUGCUUUAACACAGGAAAGCAGUCACAUGCUCCAAAGUAAGAUUCCUAAAAAAUUGAAGGAUCUAGAAAGCUUCACAAUACCAUAUUCCAUUGGAACUAAGUACAAUGGCAGAGCACUCUGUGAUUUGGGAGCCAGUAUUAAUUUGAUGCCAUUAUCUGUAUUUAAGCAGUUGGGAGUAGGAGAAUGCAGGCCAACAACAGUGACUCUGCAAUUAGCUGACAUAUCUCAUGCAUAUCCUGAAGGAAAAAUUGAGGAUGUACUAGUGAAGGUUGAAAAAUUCAUCUUUCAAGUAGACUUCAUUGUAUUAGACUUUGAGGCUGAUAAAGAGGUACCCAUUAUACUUGGAAGAGCUUUCCUAGCAACAGGGAAUACUCUGAUAGAUGCGUAAAAAGGAGAGCUAACAAUGAGGGUGAAUGACCAACAAGUCACAUUCAAUGUAUUAGAGGCUAUGAAGAACCCUAAUGAGGCAGAAGAUUGCAAUUUCCUAAGUGUUGUGAAUUUUAUUGUAGCAGACAGAAUCGACAGAUGCUACAAUAAUGAGGUCAUCAAAGUUGCCACCUUUGAGAGCUUUGAAGAAAAAGUUGUUGCAGCAAACCAGAUAGAUUGGAUGGAAGAAAGGCAAUCUAAUAGACAUAACAGAUUUCUUGAACAUCUAAAUCUUUCAGACAGGGAAGUAAAGAUAACUUUACCAUCUAUUGAAUCACCUCCUUUUCUUGAAUUAAAAUUGUUGCCCUCACAUUUGAAAUAUACUUAUCUUGGUCAAAAUAACACACUCCCUAUAAUCAUUUCAUCUACUUUGGAUGCAGGUCAAGAACGGAGCCUAGUAGAUGUGCUUGGGAAAUACAGAAAAAUAAUUGGAUGGACCAUGACAAACAUCAAAGGGAUCAGCCCAUCCAUAUGCAUGCAUAAAAUUCUAUUAGAAGACUGCUACAACAACUCAAUAGAGCAAUAGAGAAGGUUAAACCCUAUUAUGAAGGAAGUUAUGAAGAAAGAAAUCAUUAAAUAGUUGGAUGCUGGGAUCAUAUACCCGAUAUCAGACAGUUCAUAGGUAAGCCCAAUUCAAUGUGUUCUAAAGAAUGGAGGAAUAACAAUGAUAACAAAUGAGAAGAAUGAACUUGUUCCUACAAGAACAGUGACUGGAUAGAGGGUAUGUAUGGAUUACAUGAAGCUCAACAAAGCCACUCGAAAGGAUCACUUCCCACUUCCAUUCAUAGAUCAAAUGUUGGACAGAUUUGCUGGAAAACAAUACUAUUGUUUCCUAGAUGGGUAUUUAGGUUACAACCAAAUUGCUAUAGCUUUAGAGGACCGGGAAAAGACUACAUUUACUUGUCCUUAUGGAACUUUUGCCUUCAGAAGGAUGCCCUUUGGUUUGUACAAUGCUCCAGCAACUUUUCAGAGAUGUAUGAUGUCUAUUUUUUCAGAUAUGGUGUCGCAAACAUUGGAAGUCUUUAUGAAUGAUUUCUCAGUCUUUGGAGAGACAUAUACUGAUUGUUUACACAACUUGGAAUAAGUUCUUAAAAGAUGUGAGAUAACUAACUUAGUACUCAAUUGGGAAAAAUGCCACUUCACGGUGCAAGAAGGCAUAAUGUUGGGUUAUAAGGUGUCCAAGAAUGGCAUAGAGGUAGAUAAAACAAAGAUAGAAGUGAUAGAUAAAUUGCUACCUCCCGCUUCAAUCAAAGGGAUUAGAAGUUUUUUGGGUUAUGCUGGAUUUUACAGAAGAUUCAUAAAAGAUUUUUCCAAGGUAGCUAAACCAUUAUGCUUAUUGCUAGAACAUGACAAGCCUUUUCAUUUUGAUAAAGACUAUCUUCAAGCCAUUCGGGAAUUAAAGAAAGUUUUGAUCACUGCAUCAGUGGUUAUAUCACCAGAUUGGACUAUACUAUUUGAACUGAUGUGUGAUGCCAGUGACCAUUCUAUUGGGGCAGUGUUGGGGCAGAGGAAGGAUAAGAUUUUCCACUCUAUAUAUUAUAUUAGCAAAACUCUUACUCCAACUCAAAUUCAUUACACUACUAUAGAGAAAGAGUUGCUAGUAGUAGUAUUUGCUUUCAAUAAAUUCAAAGCUUACUUGGUGGGUACUAAAGUGACAGUGUACACAGACCAUGCAGCCAUCAAGUACCUAGUCUCAAAGAAGGAUGCUAAAUCGAGAUUAAUAAGAUGUAUCUUAUUGCUUUAGGAGUUUGAUUUGGAAAUUAAAGGUAGAAAGGGAACUGAGAAUCAAGUAGCAGACCAUCUGUCUAGGCUAGAAGCAGACGCAAGCACAUUGACAAAAAAAGACAUCACUGAAACUUUUCCUGAUAAACAACUGUUAGUAAUACAGCAAGCACAGAUGCUAUAGCAAUCAGGAUCUCCAUGGUUUACAGAUUUUACUAACUACUUAGUAAGUGGAUUGCUACUACCUGAGUUGAAGUUUUAGCAGAAAAAUAAAUUUCUUCAUGAUGUUAGAAGCUACCAGUGGGAUGAUCCAUAUUUGUAUAAGUUAUGUUCAGAUCAAGUAAUACGAAGAUGUGCUUCAGAGGAAGAAAUUCCUCAUAUACUAGAAUCCUGCCAUGCUGCAGCAUAUGAAGGACAUUUUGGUGGUCACAGAACAGCUGCUAAGGUUCUGCAAUCAGGUUAUUACUGGCCUUCCAUUUUUAAAGAUGCUUAUGAGUUUGCUAAAUAUUGUGACAGGUGUCAAAGGACAGGAAACAUAACUCAAAGACAUGAAAUGUCAUUGACGAACAUUCUGGAAGUGGAGAUUUUUUAUGUAUGAGGAAUAGACUUCAUGGGUCCUUUUCCACCAUCUUUUGGGAACUUAUAUAUCCUGGUUACUGUGGAUUAUGUAUCCAAAUGGGUAGAAGCUGCAACAUUACCUAUCAAUGAUGCUAGAGUAGUAAUGAACUUCCUUCAGAAAAAUAUUUUUUCCAGGUUUGGCACUCCACGAGCAAUUAUUAGUGAUGAGGGUACUCAUUUCUGCAACAAAGUAUUUGCUAUAGUUUUGGUGAAAUAUUGAGUCAAGCAUAAAAUAACAACUGCAUAUCACCCACAAUCCAAUGGCCAGGCAGAAGUGUCUAAUAAGAAGAUUAAGAAAAUCUUAGAAAAAGUAGUGAACCCAUCAAGAAAGGAUUGGUCCUUGCACCUAUAUGACUCCCUAUGGGCUUACAGAAUAGCAUACAAAACACAACUUGGCAUGUCUCCCUAUCGAAUUGUGUAUGGGAAAGCUUGUCACUUGCCACUCGAGCUAGAGUACAAAGCAUACUGGGCACUGAAGCAAUUAAAUUGGGAUAUACAUGCUGCAGCAGAGCAAAGGAAACUUCAACUAUGUGAGCUUGAUGAAUUGUGUAUGUUCUCAUAUGAAAAUGUAAGAAUUUAUAAAGAGAGAACAAAACACUGGCAUGACAAACAUAUCCAACAUAGGAAAUUAAUCUCUAGUCAACUAGCGCUGCUCCAUAAUACGAAGUUAAGACUAUUUCCAGGGAAACUGAAAUUUUGAUGGUCUGGACCCUUCAAGCUGCUUAGAAUCUACCCUCAUGGGGCUGUUGAUUUCCUAGAUGAAAAGAUAGGCUAGGAAUUCAAAGUCAAUGGGUACAGAGUUAGGCAUUACAUGCAUUCAGCUGCAGAUUGUUCAAAGGAGGUCUUACUCUUUAGAGAACCAAGUUUAUGAGCACUCAAGUAAGGUCAGGCUGAAGGACCUUAAAUCAAGUGCUCAAUGAGAGGCAACCCAUUGAGGAGGCAGCCACUUCAAUUGAAAUGGAUCCUCCUUGGUUUUGUUAAAUACUUUUCAUCUUAUUUUAUUUUUUUAUUAUUAUUUAUUGUUAUUUAUUUUUAUUUCCCUUAUUUAGGAUUGUUUAACUCUUUUUUUUUUUCUUGUUUUGUUAUGAAAAAAAAAAGAGAGAAAUGUGUGUGAUAGAUGGACUCAAUACUAACAAUUGGAGCUGUAAUGUUAACAUAUGGCAGAAGCAAGCUACAUGUCAGCAGUUAUUUGAGGAGAGUUGUAACCUUUGCUAGAGCAUACAAUUGGGUGCUGUAGCAACCAAUAUUACCGUUAAAGUAACUUAAUCAUGGAGCCUCUCACUUACCGUUGGAGAUAAUAUGUGACAGAUGGGUGGAUGGAUUUGGAUAGAAAUUGAGAAAGAAGAUCUCUUAAAUUAAUGCAUUAAUUUCUCUUGCCUAUUUUUAUAGGAUAUAUGUAAUGAAUUUAAAAAAAUAUUCUUCCCUAAUUUAUCUCUUUUUUACCGAAUUUGUUUUCAUUUUAUUCCACCUAUAUAAGGGCGUCACUGUGCAUAUUGACCUCUAACACUAUUUUCUCUCCCCUUCACAGUUACAACUUUAGUACUCCAUAACCUCUUCUUCUCAUUUUACUCUUGGGCAUAUUACCAUCGAAUUCUUACUGCUACAAUAAUGCCAAGGUACAAAAGAACAGCCAGCCGACUAAAAAAUCCCUCACGAUUCCAAAGUUACCAUAGAAAAAUAUGAAGAAUUCAUUGAACCGCGAAAGAUUCUGGAGGAAAAAGGGUUUCAGUCCCAACUCAACCCACAAGAAUUGUGCAAUCAUUAUACAAUGUUGCAGCAAAGCGCGGGUGGCUAAAGUUUUGUAACUACCCUCGAGACGUUGUGUUGCCAUUAGUGAAAGAAUUUUACGCCAAUUUGGUACGCCCUGGUCAGGACAAUAUUUAGGUAAGAAACUCGCUUGUUCCAUUAAAUUCUCGAGUUAUAAAUGCUUUCUAUAAUUUACCUGCUGAAAUUAAUUGCGAGUAUGCCAAGUUGCUUGACAAAUUAACCCCGCAAAGAUGGAACAAAAUUUUCACAACACUUACAGUAGAGGGUGCAUCUUGGGCUAAUAAGGAAGGGCGUGUAAUUAAUAGGAUAGAUUUAAAACCCAUUGCUAAGGUGUGGGUGAAAUUUCUAAAAUCCAGACUUAUGCCAACCGCCCACACCACUAUUGUUUCACAAGAAAGGUUGGUAUUGUUGUAUGUUAUUGUUAGAGGGCUUUCCAUAGAUGUGGGAAGCAUUAUCGAAAAAGAAAUUCGGGAUUGUGCCAUGAAAAACCACAAAGCAGCUGCCUUGCUAUUUCCUUUACUCAUCACCAGCAUCUGUGUAGUAUCGCAAGUUCGUCUUGAUGCAAAAGAUGAGCAUAUCAAGAAUGAUGGUGCCCUUACUGCACGCGCCAUCGAGAGAAUUGCUGGUGAAGUUACUGGAGCCCCAUCUGAACCAGCUGUUGUAACAUGGGCAAGACGAGUUAUUAGGUUAGAACAGAGAAUCCAAGCACUGAGCACCAGCAUCAAUCAAUGUGCUGAAGCUCAGCAGAGGGAAAACAAUCGGUUUUGGAGCUAUUUGCAGCACUUGGACAACCACCUACACUAAUUUGCUGUAUAUAUGAAACGUAACCACCGAGAUUUUUCUGAUUCAUUGCUCCAGCAAUAUAAUUUUGGUACUCCCACUACAAAGGCUCCAACAGCAGUUAGUGAAAAGACUACUGACACAUAUGAACCAAAAGAGGAAGCUACAGCAGAACCACAAGCAGAUGUUGAAUUCGAUGUUGAUGACCAGUCAGACCAGCUAGAAGAAGAGGAUGUUAAGUUUGCAACUGACAGUUCCCCAACAGAGGCAGAGAAAGAGCCUGAGAAAGAACUCGAGGAGCCCCCAGUCAGGAUCUCUUCCAAGACCAGAAAAAAUCACAUCAUACAAAAAGAGGAUGAUGAACCAGCAGAAAAGCCUCUGAUUCCAGUCCUUUCUAGAAAGGGCAAAGAGAAAGUAAUCACCCCUCUUGCCUCUAACAAUGAAGCAGAGCAAAUUGAUGCAGAGCUGGAAGCUGCAUCAGCCAGAGUCACUCGUACACCCACAAAGACAAAGCAGUUCCUUGAUAUUAUUGCCGCCAUCACAACUGAGGGACAUGCAGCUAAAGCCCCAGCUCCAACCCCUCUACAGCAAACUCCCAGAAAGCCUAUUCGUGCUAGUCCUAAAGGACCCAAUAAAAGAAAGAGGGGCACUUCUGAAGGCAUUGCUGCAGCAGCCUCACUAGAACAAAAAAUGACCAGAUUUGUUUCAACCAAGCAGGCUGCCCACACCUCCCACCAGCCCAUUGUAGAAAAAGAAAAAGACGUUGCCAGCUGCCUCACCAUAAGAAUCCCCUAAGGAAAGGCUGCGAAGUGCAUCUAAAAAGCGCUGAAUUCACUACACAAUGUUGUAGUAGUGUCUAAACAACAGGGGAGUACCCCCUUCCUGCUAGUCAUUUUAAUUAUUUCUGAAAAACUUUUCUUUCAUUAAGUUUUUAUUUUCUGAUUCAUUCUAUAUGUCCUUUUAUUUAGUGUAUGCAUGUCUGGUUAUGUGGUUUUUUUGUGCACUUAUGAAGACACAGCACCACUUAAGUUUGGGGGGUUGUGUUUCUGAAUGUGUAUGUUUACGCUUAUGCUGUGUGAAGCUCUAUUAUCUAAUAUUUUUGUAUGGAUUUGAAAACCUAAUGAAGAUAAAAUGAGUGUUAUUCAGUAUUUAUGAGAAAGCCAAGUAGAGAUAGUUGUAGAUGGAGGUUCAAAUUCUGUCAUGACACUUAACUAUGCUCAUUAUAAAAUAAAUUUAGCUCCAAUGGCUCAAGUUGCUAAUUAACCAGGGCUGAGUAUGUACUCCAUAUGCAGACUUGAGUCCAAAGGCAACAAGAGUUACGAGCAAUGCUGUAGCAAAAUAAAAAAAAAAAAAAAAGGCCCUCUGUAUAGGAUAUUGAGUAGUCAGGUCUGUUUAUGAGCCCCAUGUUCAGCCUUGAGUUAAAAGAUAUCUUUAGAUAAGACUAUGCUACGAAUAUUGCUACAACAACUCUGAUUUGUGCAUUGAUUGAGUAACUGGGUGUCAUCAUUACAAGUGAUCGACAUUCACAUAAAAAAUAAAUGUUGCAGUGAAGAGGGUUGUUAAAAAAAAGAGCACUUAAUUUUUGUUUUUGUUAUAACACAGUGUGAGUAUGUGUGAUUUCUGCUACCCUAUAUGUGAAUAUAUUUGUGUUCUACCUCUGAAUUAUAUACAAUAUCUUUGUAAUGUUGUAGCACCUCUGGAACUUAAUCAAAGUGGCACACACACACUUUGGAUAGAAUGAAGCUUAAGUCUAGAACUGAACUGUUAUGGUUAUUUUGCAUGAUUGAGAUUGUGAUCUGAGGGUGGAAGAAUCCUUGCAAAUUUGAUGACAGAGCAAAGUUAUUUGUUGCAUGAUUGUGUGCAUGAAGUGUUAGUAUGUUGUCAUUACUUGAGGACAUGUAACAAUUUAAGUUUUGGGGUGUGAUAGCUCUAUGAAAUGAGAGUUAUUAUGGAAAUUCUAGACUCAAAUCAAGAUCACUUAGAGAGUAAAUGAUGUGUUUUUAUUGCAUUUUUGUUAUCGCUCUCUGAACUUCUGUUUGUUCUUGGAAAUUGCAUAAACAUUCAUUUUAAUUUAGUCUUAAUAAGUUUUGCUUAAUUUAAAGUAAUUUGUGCUCAAAUCACGUGCAUAAUUGUAGGUUUCCAGAAGCCUAUAAUUCAUGGAAGGGAUGCUGAUGCAGUAGGCUGGCAAAAAGGAGGAAGAAUAUGGCCACAAAAGAAGAGAAACAAAAUCUAGAGCAGUGGAGAGUUGUAGCCGUUGCUAGAGCAACCAUUGCUGUAGUAAUCCUGGAACAACGACAAAGAAAACUUAGUACAGGAUAUCUGCAGAAUUGCAAUCUACAGUUUCCUAACCUGACUCAUGCGCGCCCUAGGCUUUUGUUUACCCUAGUUUUCAGUUAUAAAAAGGGGCGCGCAUCACAUAAAACAACGGCAAGGAAUUAACAUGGGAAAAAUCGAGAGGAAAAGAAUAAAACAAUUAGAAUUCAAGGGAACCAAUUAUGCAUCAGUGAAGAAUUCAACAGAGUUAUUUGGAUUCAAUCUUCAUCGUUCUCUACUUGUUCUUUUUUUAACUCUUUGAUUGAUCCGAUGUAUUUCAUGACCAAUAUUUUGCUAUUUGUUUUUCUUUUUCAAAGUAUGAACUAAAUUUGAUUGUAGUUGAGUGACAAACAAUCUAAAUAGGUUUUUUAUUGUUCUUAUGAGUUGCUAUACGAUUGCUGUGGCAUUUUACUCUAGUAGCUUUUAUUAUAAUCGUUAUUUCGGUUGACCACUCAUUUAAUGGUUCAAGUUAAGAUAAAGUCGCAAAAGGGCCUGUCUUAGAGGAUAUUAUUAGAGUAAUACUUGAUCUUAAUUUAAGUUUCCUAGAUUAAGUUUUUCUUGAAUCCCAUAAGGGCUAUACUUGAAGUUAAGAUUUGUGAAGAACUAGACAUAGGCAUUCACUUUGUAGGGUAGAGAGAGUAGAUGUUCAUAAUGCCAUACCUUAUAUAGAAUAAAAACUGGUCAUUGUUAGGAUCCUUAAGGGCAUGAGAAGUCCAACACGCGACAGCUGAGGAUGCAAAAUAAUUCCGCCCAGUGAUGUAGGAAUUGCUGUAGCAACUCGUGCUAAUUUGAUGAAAAGCAGUCAACCCAUGAAGAGAGUUUGAUCAUUCAGCUACUGCAUUCUCAUUCGAUUCUUUUACACAAUUUAUCUAAUCUAUUUCAUUACUACAAUUAUUUUUUUUUAUUUUCUUACAAUGGUUAGUUUCGGUAAUAAUCAACUUUAUCUAGGUUCAUCUUGAAAUAAAGGUAAACUGCACUAUUGUGAUUGCUGUAGCAUUUCUAGUAACAUCAGUCCCUGUGGAGACGGUCUAGAAUUUCAUCACUUUAUUACUUAUUGUGUACACUUGCACAUUGGCAUCAAUAGCAAUUGAGUAAAAAUUAACCAACAGGUAUCCAGUUCUAAUCUUGAUUUGACAGAGUUGAGGUGGCGUUCUUUGCUCAGGUGAUUUCUGGCUGCGAGACAAUAAUAUUGACUAGAUACCAAUAUUUCCAAGUAUACCACCGACCUGACUUUUUUUCAUAUCAUUUUAAAUGUCAGUGACGUGGCACUCUCUACACCCUAUAUUUGAAAUUUGAAAUGGCGGUUUACCUGCCCUUGAGAUGCGUCAAUUGAAUUGACACUCGCGUUACUUAAACGUUUCGUUUCUCUCUCCUUUAUAAAAUCCAUAAAUCAAAGAUUUUAUUAAACUUGUUCCUCCGUUUCCUACUGAAAAUUGAUUCUUAAUCCAAGAUUAAGUGUCUUCUCUGCGCUGGAGACUCUCAUUCUUCCACCGUUUUCGCUGCGAUAAUGACACUAUCUACACUAAACCAUCCCAGGCAUCGCUCUCUAAACCCACCUCUUGUUGUUGUUGCGUUAGUCUUGUACUAUGCUUUCUUGUUCGAUUAUUUGGAUUUUUUUUUUACAAAAAAAUUCCUCCAUGUCGAAACGAAAAGGAAAAAUAAUUAAGAAUGAAAGUAAUGAGGAAAUAGAUUCUUACCCCUUUCUAUUAAAAGAAACUCCCCUCGGUCCCCAGAUUCCCUCUAGUGAUGUAGGCCCCUAUAGUAGUAAGAACACUAUGAGACAACCACAAUUAGAAAUUACCCCACCACCUUCUGCCCACGAACCCAAUGGGGGUAACGAUGAGCAAGCAUCGGGCUCUAGCGAAAGUCGUAGCUCUAGUGGGGCGGAAAGUCUCGAGGAAGAGAAUGAUAAUGAGGAGAGUAGCCCGGAGUCGAGCCGACCAGCCAAAAAAAGGAACCUUGGUCAUAGGGUAGAAGCUGGUUCUUAUCCUAUUAACUUUCUGAGGUGUAGCACUACACAAAAUGAUUUGUUCAAACUGAGGAACCUUUAUUGUAUUCCUGACGACAUCCAUCUCGUCAUCCCCGGAAAAGGUGAUAUCCCCAGUCGGCCUCCUAGGGGCUAUGUGACCUUGCACUUGGAGUGGUUCAAACUAGGAGUUAGAUUGCCCCUUCAACUCUAUUUUGCCAAGGUGUUAAGUGACCUGCAUUUGGCCCUUGGUCAACUAAACCCAAAUGGAUGGAGGGUACUCUUAAGUUUGUUCGUGUUAUGGGAUAGGUGCGGAGUCGAAGAACCCACCAUUGAGGAAAUAAAAAACUUAUAUCAACUGAGGAACAACCAAAAAGAUGCAGGUUGAUACUACUUCAUGUCAAGCUCUACGAAAGGGAAACCCCUCACAGACUUUCCUUCCUCAUGUAAAAAUUGGAAGAGUAAAUUCUUUUUUGUUAAGAGAAACUGGGGUCCCGUGAUUCAGUUGCCUAGUAGUGGUAUUCACGUCCCUACGCGUUUUUGCACCCUAGAUUAUUUGUUUCUCUUCAUACCUCAUGCCUUUGGUCGUCAUUCACCUUUCCUCUUACCUUUGACUAUAUUUUUCAGAUUCUUGGGGCCUAAUUUAUAAUAUCAAGGAGGAAUUGUUGCUCCAAGUCCAGACCGCUCUGGUCAACGCUUGUUCGUGCAAAGACCUUUUGACGUCAACGAGUCUCGUCGAGUCCCAUUUAGUUGACGUAGCUCCUAGAUGGAUAACAAUAUCCUCAGCACCAUGACAAGAAAACGUGAUCGGGGUUUGGGUGACUCUAGCAAUGCCCCCACCCCAUAAAAGAAAAGCAAGGUCACCCCGACCAGGACACCUCCCCCAGCUCUGCCUCCUCCUCCAAUUGGAAAGGUUGGAGGCGAAAACUCUGGUGAAAAGAGUCCCGAGGGUGCCGCCCCUCCUAUGGAUCGAACUUCAUCACCUCCGCCCUAGGACCAGAGCGAUUACUUGGGCAUAUACUAGAGGGAGUACUCCAAAGUAAUGGGGUCGAAGUUGAUUAAAGAGCUGGAGGGUAUGACUCUUACCGAGCUAUGCGGGUCCUUUUAGAAGAUCGCUUUUCAGCUUGCUACAGCAGCCUUUUGCUAUAAGUUUAAGACUUCGCGCCAUGAGAAGAAGCGGCAAGCGGAGGUCCAAGACCUGAAGAAAAAAGUGGAGUCUGCUGAUCGUUUAAAGGAGAAGAUGCUCGAGUUACACAAGUAGGUUUUUGACCUCGAAGAGAAAGUUGCUCUUACUGAAUCCAAGUCUACUUAGCUUGAUAGCUAGCUGGCAGACUUAAAAUCUGAUCUCGAUGUUGCUCAAAGUGAACGAGACACUCAGAAAACAGCGUAUGAAGAAUAAAUCAAGUAUUUGGAAUCGCUGAUAGCUGAGUUGAAAGAUAAGGCCAGGGACGUGGAAGAUCGGAUAGAUGCAGAGUACAACUUUGGGCUUGCCUUUAGCUACAAAUGUAUUAUGUCCGCCCUUAAGAAGGAAUAUUUGGAGCUAAAUAUGGACAAGUUAGAGGCAAAUGUGAACGAAUACAUGGCCGAGCAGAGUCAGUGCGACAAGGGCCAAGAAGGGACUCCUUCGGGUGUUAAAGAGCAGGAAAAAGAGGUGGGGGACAAGGCACCAAACACAAAUGUGGAGGCGGUCCCUACUCCAUCUAGGGUCACUAAUCCCUCCUCGACUAAAGCUAUGGAUUCCUCCCCUGCUGAGGUAGUAGAGCCUCCUUCUCAAGACCCAUGAAUUUCUCUUUAUGUUUAAAUCGCAGACUUUUUACUUGGUUAUAUACCUUGGAUCAUUAAUGAACUUUUGGCUUCUUCUUUCUAUUCUAAUACUUUGCUGCUCUGUCUUUUAAAUGUUCACUUGUUUGAUCUGCUCAUGAAUCCUAAAACUUUUAUUGGCCCUGUUGUUUGUUUAGUGGGCUUUGUAUGCUCAUCUUCGUUCGAAGGUGCAUAUAUUUUGUAAAUCUUGUCUGCACGUCUUCACAUAGUAGAGUAGAUGUUCGCAAACUUUUGCUUUAGAGUAAUUUUUGCAAAUUUUUCCUGUUCAUCCUCAUGUGACAGAACAAGUUUUCGCAAACAUUUGCCUUCAUGCAAUUUUUACGAAUUUUAUUUGCUCGUCCUCAUGCGACAGAGCAUAUUUUGGUAACUUUUGCCUUAGGGUAAUUUUUGCGAAUUUUUCCUGCUCGUCCUCAUGCGACAGAGCAGGUUUUGGCAAACAUUUGCCUUCAUCUCGCCUUGGGUAGACUAUGAGACUAUUGAGACUUUGUUUGCCUUCGAACUGCUUUGGUAAGGUGUCUUUGAAUGGAAUUCAUUAUCUCAUAAUUAGUGAAUGCUUGAUUAAUUAGAGAAAAUAGAACAUAUAAGCAAGUGGUAACUUCUUAUUACAUCUAGCGGAAACAACUAAACUGGAAAAUUCUAUAAAAAUAGCUUACUUACUGGAAGUAUUUCUUCAAAUGCUCUGCAUUCCACGAUCUCUUCACUUCUCGUUCGUCUAGGUAAGCUAGCUUGUAAGCUCCUAGACCAGUUGCUCGUAUUACCCUAUACGGGCCUUUCCAGUUAGGGCAAAAAACAUCUUGGUUAGGAUCUCUCGUACUUUGAUUUACUUUCUUGAGCACCCAAUCUUCUACUUGGAAUCGCUUUACGCACACAUUCUGAUUAUAGUAGCGCAUGAUCCUCUACUGAUACUGGAUCACCUUCCGUGAGGCUUUUUCUCUUUUCUCCUCUAAUAGAUCCAGAUUCAUACACAUCUACUCAUCGUUCUGCUCCUCAUUGAAAUAUUCUGUUCGAUGCGUCCCAACUCUAAUUUUUGCUAGCACUAUAGCCUCAUGGCCGAAGGCUAAGGAAAAUGAGGAUUCUCCGGUUGCAGUUUUGUGAGUUGUCCGAUAAGUCCAUAGUACACCCAACAGCUCAUCAACCAACGCCCCCUUCUUCUCCCCCAACCUUGUUUUCAGGAUCUUUUUUAUGACUUUAUUGAUUGUCUCCACCUGCCCAUUUGAUUAGAGAUGUGCUAGAGAGCAUAACUUCAGCUCAGCACCCAAAAUUUUGCCAGAAUUCUCUAAAGUUAUGGUUGUUAAAUUGUCUCCCAUUAUCCGUUAUGAGUACGUAAGGGAUUCCAUAUCUGCAUAUGAUAUUUUUCUAGAUGAACCCGGUUGUUUUCUUCAGCGUAAUCUAGCUUAAAUCCUCAAUUUCUACCCACUUUGUGAAGUAAUCUAUGGCUACAAUAGCAUGCGUAGCAGCUCCUCAUCCUUUGGGCAAGAGACCAAUCAGGUCAAUCCCCCACUGUGCAAAAGGCCAUGGAGAGGACAUAACAACAAGUUUCUCUUAAGGCUGAGUAGGAAUAUCUAAGAAACUUUGGCAGAUUCUAUAAUUUUUAGUCAUUUCUCUCGCAUCCGGGUGCAUGGUCGGCCAAAAAUAUCCCUGCCUUAACGCUUUAAAUGCCAAAGUUCUUGCUCCAGAAUGGUUGUCACAUAUUCAUUAGUGUAUCUCUCGUAGCACGUAGUUUGCCUCCGCAUCGUCCAAGCAUUACAGAAGGGGAAGGUGAACCCUCGUCGAUAAAGUAUCCUAUCGAGCAACGUAUAUCUAGCCACUUGACAUUUCAAUUUUCUCGCUUACUUCUUAUCCACCGGUAGGCUUCCAUCACGAAUAUAUGAAAUGAUCGGAUCUAUCCAGGAUGCUCGAGCAUCCACCCCCAUUACUUUCGAUUAUUGGCCGAUGCUUGGUCAAGUUUUGACCUCUACUAGAACCGACUUGGGCAGUUUUGGGUCCGCAGUUGCAGCCAUUCUAGCCAACAUGUCUACUUGGUAAUUUUCUAUCCUGGCAAUCUAGUAUAUCUUCACCUCCUGGAACACUCCGACCAUUUGCUUAGCCUUCUUCAAUUAAAGCUUCAUCUUCUCGCCUCUCACUUGGAAAUGUUCAUUAAGCUGAUUACAAACCAGCUGGGAAUUUGCUUGGAUUUUGACUCUUUCUGCCCGUAACGAAUGCGCCAGCUUAAGCCUAGUGAUGAAGGCUUCGUACUCUGCCUAGUUAUUCGUCUCCUAAAAUUUAAAUUUCAUAGCAUAAGAAACUUCAACCCCAUCUGGACUGCGUAUCACUAUUCUUGCUCCAGGUCCCUGCUCACUGCAUGGCCCGUCAACCUUUAUCAACCAAAAACCUAUCGGCUCUGUAUCUCUAGCUGAUUGCUCUUUGUGAGUCUUUUCUCCUGACUCUGUACAUUCUGCCACAAAGUCGGCCAAGCCUUGUGCUUUAGUAGCCCCUCAGGGUCGAUAAGUUACGUUAAACUCACUCAUUUCCACUGACCAUUUGACUAAGAGGCACAUACAUCCGGUUUCAAGAGUGUUUGUCGAAGAGGUUGGUAUUCAUCACAAUUACUGGGUGUGCCUGAAAGUAUGGCCUCAGCUUGCGCGCCGCGGUUAUUAGAGCCAGUGGCCAUUUCUCCAUCGUCAGGUAUCUGGUCUCUGCGUCCACCAAGGCCUUGCUAGUAUAAUACAUUGGAUGUUGCAUUCCUUCUUCUUUUGUCACCAACACUGAACUGGUAGCCUAUUUCAAAACAACUAAGUACAGGUGCAAUAUGUCACCCUCUUUUGGUGUUUGCAGUAAUGGAGUUUAGGCGAGAUAUUUCUUCAACUACCCGAAUGCCUCCUCACAUUUUGCCGUCCACUCCAUUUUUCUGCCAUUUCUCAUAAUCUGGAAAAAGGAGUGGCAUUUAUCUGUUGCCCUCAAGAUGAAUCGGUUCAGGGCUACUAGUUUUCCCGUAAGGCUCUACACCUUCUUAAUUUCCUGAGAAGAUCUCAUUUAUGUUAUUGCCCAUAUCUUCUUCGGGUUGGCUUCAAUUCCUUGAUGGCUCACCAUGAAUCCCAAGAACUUUCCCGAGCACAAUCUGAAUGCAUACUUCUCCGGAUUAAGUUUUAUAAUAUAUCUAUUCAGCAACUCAAAGGUUUCCUCUAAGCGCAGUAUAUGUUCUGCUAGUUUUUUAGACUUCGUAAUCAUGUCAUCCACGUACAUCUACAUAGUACGUCUGAUCAGAGGCUUAAAGAUUCUAUUCACCAAUCUUUGAUAUGUGGCCCCUGUAUUUUUUAGACCGAAUGGCAUUACCUUGUAACAAAACAAACUCAUGUUAGUAAUAAAUGUGGUGCUCUCCUCAUCCUGCUCGUCCAUAGGUAUUUGGUCGUAUCCAGAGAAUGCAUCCAUGAAGCUGAGCAGGCUGUGGCCAGCCGUCGAGUCAACUAACUGGUCUAUCUUAUGCAAAGGGAAGCUAUCUUUCAGACACGCUUUGUUGAGGUCCGUGAAGUCUACGCACAUUCUCCACUUUCUAUUUGCUUUCUUCACAAGCACUACAUUGAAAAUCCACUCCGGAUACAAGGCUUCCCUAAUAAACUCAUAACAGUUUCUCCACCUCAAUAUUUAUGGCCUUAUACAUUUCCUGGUUGAAGCACCUCCUCUUUUGUUUCACUGGCGUGGCCCCUUUUUGAAUUGCUAGCUUAUGACAAGCAAUCUUGGGAUCAAUUCCCGUCAUAUCUACGUGUGACCAGGUGAACACACCAGCAUGGGAUCUUAAACACUGUAUCAGCUCAUCUUUUAAGCCUUGGUUUAAAUUGGAUCCAAUCUUGACGGUCUUGCUCGAAUCAUCCUGCUUCAUUAUCACUUUUUUCUAAGUUUUCAACUGGUUCUUGCCGACCCACUACAAGAAAAAGUACCUACUAUGACAGGCAAAAACUAUCAUAGUACGGGGUGGAUGACAGUUGUUCAUACCGUCAUUGUAGCCAGCGUCAAGAAUUGAUGGCAGAAUAAUAUCAAUCAUAACCUAUGAUAGAUAUAAUCAGUCACACAACCAUCACAACUUUAAUUAGAGGGAAAUAUAAUAAUUUUGAAUUUGGGUUGCCUUUUUUGAAUUUCGCGCUCUAUUUUUUGAAUUUUUGUAGGAAAUGUUAAAUUUACAGUGAAAAUGGAAAUUGUAAUUAAUUGAUUUUUUUCAAUAAAUUGGAAAAUUGAAAUUAUAAUUAAUAAAAAUAACUAUUUUGUUUGUACCAUGAAAUUAUUAUCAUGUUAAUAAAAAUCUUGCAAUUGAUUUACAAAUUAAGAUUUCAUAAUUUAGCUAAUUAAUUAGAUUAUUAAAAUUAGUUGCAAUUAAAAAUUCAUUGACAAAGAAAACAAAAUAAAUAACAUUGACUAAUUAUUGAUAAUUGUGAACAAACAUAAUUUAUCCAAAUACAAGUGACAAGUCCAACAUAAAUAGGAGAGUAAAUUGACAACAUAAAAACUAAAUUCCUGAAACAUGUACAAGACUAAUGAACCAUGAUCAGUUCAUUUCCAGCAACACCAAGAAAGCCAACACACAGUUCAUUUUCAACAACACAAGAGGAAGCCAACAACACUGAUCAGACUAAGAAAAUCCAUUCUAGCAGCUUUGGUGAAGCAUACAACAAAUACCAAUCUAAGAAAAAGCUAAAUGUGCAAAGUUGCAUCAAUAUUCAGGACCUGUGUUUGCAUCAAAUAAAAAAGGUAGCGAACUCCAGCAGUACCCACCAUCUUCAUCAAAUUCCAACAUAGCAAGUGUAAGAAGCUAGGUAACUGCACAAGUAAAAUAUAACAAAUUCAAAGUCCGUGACAACUCAUAUAGAUUAGAAUACUAGGCAAAUAGAAUAAUAGCUAGCAAAGUUUGUAUUCAACGAACAAAAAUUUGGUAAAUUAAUUUGUUUCAUCAAUGAACUCACUAUAACAACAUAAUAGGUAAGGCUUACCUCACAUAGUAGCAAGUAAUUCGGAAACAUGGUUUGCCCACUCAAUACGAACUUCAUCUAAUUCAGCAUCAGAAUAAGUUGUCUUUCCAUUGAACUGUAAAAAAGUAUCCAUGAACUAUGUAAAUGAACUACAAAAACAAAACAUUAGUUGCCCAAAGUUACCUACCUAAAUCACAAGCUUUAACUUUGUUGCCUGUUAAAGCUUUCUGCCGCCUUCUCAAGUAUUAAACUCAGCCUUAGAAUUACCAAAAAGCCUACUCAAAACAUAAAAGAUCAAAGAAAUAAUAAUCAAUCACUACCAUUAAACAAAGUCAUAAGAGGUUAUUGAGAAAUCCAGGGGUUUUACCUAAAAACAAAAGGAAGCCCAUUGUCUUCUACCACUUUCUUUAGUUUCAACCAGAUUUUUACCCCCUACACCAGGUUCUAUACUCCCUAAAUCAUAAAAGGAGAAAAAUUUGUGGUUGGACUACAAUGGUGAGUCAAGAGUUCUGAGAUAGCAUUAGAAUAGCUCACAAUGGCUUCAAACUUACACCAACUAUAGAAAGGAGAGUAAAUUAACAUACAUAUAAAGCAAUUUAAGGUAGACUUAGAAUUUUGAUGGAUUUGAGGCUGCCAAGCUUGGAUAAUUUAACAUGCAAGAAUGGUUCUAAAGCCUUGGCAAGAUAUGUUUCAAAUUGACACUGAAACUAAAGAAAUUGAAGUUUAAUUGGUGAAAUCAGAAAAGCUUUUUAAACUUUGUAUCAGGUUCUGUUUCUUUUUCUCAAAUGGUGGAUAGUGGCAAUGUCUUUUGCCUCCAUUUCUUACACAUGAGAAUGACAAGUAAACAUAUUGUUUAAGUUAUUUAGUUAAGUAAUAAAGAAAAUAGGCAUUUAGAAAUGGCUAAAUAUAUAAUGAUUGGGCUUAAACUUAAGAGUUAAUAAAAUCACAAGUAAAGGAAUAUAGGAUGUUACAGUUAACAUAUGCACAUUCUACAUCAAACCACAAGACAAUGACAAGUGGUACUCUCUAGACUCACUUUUCAUCCCCUUCUAUCUGAUGGAUAAAUGUAUUAUCAAAAAAAAAAAUUGAAUUGGAUAAUGUAAUCAUCUGAUUUGUGCAUCAACCAUUUAACAAGUUAAUUUCUAAACCCAGAAAUUUGAAUAACUUGGAUUAAUGUAAGCUCAAGAAGUAUUAUGAACUUACAGUUCUAAUCAACACCCAACAGACAGCUACCUAAUCACUUACAAGUUUUCAUAUUUUCAGCUCAAACAAUGCACAGAUCAACUACAACAAUUGAAUUCUUAAGCUUGUAUUUUCUGUCAAUCUCUCAAUUGAUUAUUUCCCAAAGAAUGAAUCAAUGUUAAAAGUAGCACUGUGCCUGAGUUGUUAAACUAACAACUAAACAUAUAAUGACCAAAAGACAGGCUACAUAUUAGCAUAAAAAGAACAAAUAUUAAAGCUUCUGCUUACUUCAUGGUUCUUGCAUUCUUCAAGCUCUUCCUUAAGUUCUUCAAACCAUAUAUCAUCGCUACCAAAAACAACAACAGAUUCAAUUAAAAAUGAAUUGAAUUCACAAAAUAACCUUAUAAAAAGAACAAGAAUCUAGUUUAUCAAGAACCAACUCUUUUUUAAAAACGGCAUAAAUUUCUUGAUCUUUAUUCUAAAUGUCCAAUAGAGAUCAGACCUCAAAGUAAUUAAAAAAAUACUUCCACAUAUUUAUUCGCAUCUUCCUCAAAAGUCAAGUCCCCAACAAAUGCUCCUAAAUUGAAAAUAUUUUUUAAGUCUCAUUUUUAUACAAACAUACAAAUACAGAAAAUCAGCAAAAAUAAACAAAAAUUAAAGGUAAUGAUGAAUUUCAUACCAAUGAACUGAUGAUUUCACAGUAAAAAAAGAAUCAAUUCUUCAAUUAGGGCUUUGCUGGUGAAAUAGAUUGGUAUAAUAGAAAUUGUUAUGGUUUAUCAGCAAAUCCGAAGCAGGAGCAAUGACAAUGGCAGAUAUUGGGAUUUCAAAUAUCUCUGGCGCAAAGUAGAAAUUGCGUUCAAACGAAAGGGUGAAAUCUUUGACAAACGGAGGUUUCGGGCAUAACUCGAACAGCGAAUGAGUGAGAAUGGUAGAUGAACGGUGUUGAAAAUAGCGGUGAGAAUGGCAGUAAAUGAGAAUGGCUUUGAAUGAUUAUGGUUUGUUGUGGCCCUAUGGGUUUGUCGUGGGGUUCUUCGUUUUCUCUUAAUUUGUCGAAGUCUUUUGUGUGUUUUGAAUGUGAGAGUGAAUUUCUCACACUUUUUUUUAAAGAAUUUCUCACACUUAAAAAAUGAGUUACCUCUUUAAAACUCUGCAUCUUUAUGUUUUUUUUUUCAAAAGUCACAACUUUUAUUUAUAAUUAUAAGUUUUAUAUUCGAAAAGGAGACGAUGUCGUUUUGCUUGCAAAAGAAACAACUGUGUUUCCAUUUAAUAUUAAUUUUUGGUAAUAACAUAAUUUUUAAAAAUAUAGUCAAACCCGAAUGAUUGAAGUCAAAAUUAAAUAUCAAUCAUAAAUUCUUGAUAGUUAAAAAAUCUAUCAUGAGUCUAUCAUAAGUUUUUGAUAGACGAAAUUUAUAUCACAAUUAUGUCAUAAUUGCAUGAUAGAAAUAAAAUUUAACACAAAUUCGUCAUUGUAGGUCUCCAGAUAAAAAACUGUCACACUAGAAACUGUCGUUGUAGGUCUUUUUUCUUGUAGUGGUACCCUUCUUAAAAUCCCCCUGGUUAUCGAGCGUGGUGACUUGUAAAGUCUCCUUCGUAGCUAUGGCGUAACAGCUCUUAGCCAUCCUCUGGUCAUCAUUUACUAGGCCUACUACUCCAUUCGCUCUAUACUUUAACGCCAAGUAGUGGGUGGACACUACACACUGGCUUAUCCUCAUAAAUGGUCGCCCCAAUAUCAUCUGGUAAGAAUUAUUUUCUUCAACAACAACAAAGUCGAGCAUCAUGACUUUUUUGGAGGGUCUUGUGCCUAUAGCAACUGGCAGCUCGACAAUCCUCAUUGGAGUCAACUGUCCACCUUUAAAUCCCUUCAGGGAUGUAUUCAUGCGUUCCAACUUUAGAUUCGUAAUUCCCAUUUUAUCUAGGGUUGACUUAAAAGGUAUGUCGAUAAAACUGCUUGUGUCCACCAGUAUUCGCUAGAAUUCUUUGGCCGCCACACUCGCCUUGAUUACUAGGGCAUCCCCGUGGGGGUAUAAGACGCCCUCAUCACAUCGUUCGUCCACAUGAUGGGAACUUACCUCACCCUCACCCUCUUUACUACAAGUAAAUUGAAAAACACAUAUUUACUGGUCAAAGCAUACCUCUCAUAAUUCUUCCAUGCUCUGUUUGAGUUACCAGCAAGUGUCGGUCCCCCAGCGAUUACCGUAACGGCGGGCUGCUCACGCUCUAUAUCUCUUACACUUUAUGCUCCCACUACGUAUUGUGAAUCCGCGACGGGAAACGAACCGUUGACGUACUCAUCGAGGUAUCAAUUCCUCACAAGGUCUUCUACUUGGUUUUUAAAAUCACAACACUGGCUAAUGGUGUGCCCAUGGGUGCUAUGAAACUUGCAGAAUCUAUUUUUAUCCCGCUUGUAGGCUGGUUUGGCAACUAGGGUAGGGGAUACAAGAUGCCUCACCCUUCAAUCCUCUCGUAUAAUUCUUCUAGAGAGACCUUUAACAGAGUAUAUUGCUUGUAUACUAGACUCUGAUCAAUCAGUUGGACUGCUCGGCUGUCAUGAAAACUGUCAUGGGAUGGCAUUAAGGGUGGUUGGUUUGGUCAGUUGGCCCUGGGGUUCCUCGUAUGGAACAUCCUUGAGGUAUUGUAAUGAGGAUGGGUAGCCAUCUGGCGAAAUCCCUUGGUUGUUCUAGAAUAGAGCGCGUUGAGGUUGAGCUCUGCCGUGCUAGAAUUGCGAUGGCCUAUGAGUUAUAUGAUAUGGGUAAGGCCGAGCAGAUGCUACUCCGCCUGUUGAUGAUCCCCCACUACGUUUUCCUGACCCGCUCCCCCUUAUGCUCUUUUCUCAUUCCACCUCAGAUCCUCUAGCUGCUUGCUUUUUAUUCUUGCUGCCUUCUCCUCCUCAAUUUCAACAUCCCUUUUUGCCUGCUCAUACUCCAUUGAAUAAUUUUGAAUGGUGGGAUUCCUCAAAUGUACCACAACCGACCUAUCUUCACUCCAUUUUUUAACCCUUUCAAAGCAUGUGGAUGAUUGAAGGCCCCCAAGUCAAGUACGGUCCAAUGAUACAUUUUCACAAAAUCCCUAAGGGAUUUUUUUUCCUCUUGUUUCAUCCCCAUCAAUUCCAUCAUAUCGUUCUCUGAGGCUACUGCUCCACGGAAUUGCUCGGCCAAUUCUUGGCACAUUUGCUCGAAACUCCUUAUGUUUCCACGCGGUAACUUAUGGUACCAGUCCCGAUCUCGUCCCUCUAAUGUGCACCAGUGGGUCGCUUUUUCCGAAAUAUUUGAGGUUAGGAAAACGAAAAUCUCUUGGUAUCAUAGUGCCCAUGAUCUCCACCUACUCAUUGGUUUAAUGUUCGCCCCCUUGGGGGCUACUCCUCGUCAUGUCCAUAACUACUUGUUCACCUCUUAUCUGCUAGUCGCUCUAUUUGUGGUAGCUUUUUGUUCAACUCCCCAUAAACGGUGCCAAAAUAUUGAUGCAGAAAUCUAGUCGUUUGUAAGGAUGACCAGGUUGUCUCGUCAACGUUUAUGCUAACUAUGGUUGAUGCACGAAACUUCUCAUUCCUUCCUUAAUUAAGUGAAUCCAGUAACUUAAAUCAACCUCUCUCCUUCCCAAUAACCUGCACUCACAAAAAGAGAUCAAGGGUGCUGGUGGUUUUUCCGACGAAAAUCCUCCGAUGCUUAAGUCGGUAUGUGGGGUUUCGAAAAAAACGUUAGAUUUUAUAUCAAUGCAAGAUAAUGAUUGUUGAGUGAAAGAAAAGUUUUUAGAAGGUUUUUAUGGAAAUGAAUUCUGAAUUCAAAAUGAUAGAGUUUCUCCUUGUUUUCUGUUUUCUCGUCCCCCUCUUCUGUCUUUUUCCUGAGUUUUAUAGGCAGCUGCUCCUUGCGUCUAGAACAUUCUCCCACGUCCUCCAUACUCGGGCGAUCAUGGACCCCCAUACACUGCGAGAACCAUGCGUAGGUUAUCGUGCCCCCUCAAACGGUUUGGACGGGGCGAAAUUGUUGCGUUGAUGUAGGAUCGUGCCCGCUUUUUAAGUAACAGUUCUCCGGUUGGCCUUCAACUGUACCCCAUAGAGUGUCUGGCACUAGGAUAUCCACUCAUGAUUUAUUAAGUCGAUGAGAUUCCUCCUCAACCAGAUAAUGAGAACAUGCGUGGCUGGUGCUCUUUUAAUCACCCAAACAAAUUAUCCUGUAAAAUUAUCAUUAAAAAUAUUUCCAUUCAACAAAUAUAUCUUACAUGAUUAGUUAUAUCACCUGCAAAAACAACAAUAUCUAGAAUUUUCAUUAAUUUAUAGCAAUAACGAUAUAUGUCAAAUCAGUAUCUUCAAAUUGACAGAUAAAUUCCUGCAAAUAGAUUUGUAUAUUACAAAGCAUUAAUCAAAUAUGAUACUUAAUAUCACAAUAGGAUCAAAAGAGUAAAAUAGGGUAUUCGAGGGAAGUUUAUCCAUUCUAAAAGUCAUUUUUUCAAAAUUUAUGGAUAAAGAUACCAAUGAAAGUCUGCUCAAUUUGCAACCCGAUACAUUAUUUAGCUUGCCUAAACUAUUUAUUUCAUUUUAAGCCAUAUCAAGGUCUUGUGCCACAUGUAGAGCAUUUGCCUCUAUAGGAGGCAGUGUCACUGUAGGGGUACAAGUCUCAUCAAUGACCUUUUGCUCUAAAGGAACAAUUUAUGCAUAAACUGUCCCAGGAUAUUGUUGUGCAAAUUUUAUUGAACUCACAAGCGCACGAAUCUAUUGUAGAAUAGACUAAUGGUGACGAGUGUCGAUCCCACGAGGAGGUGGAUUUUAAUUAUGUGUAGAAUUAAUUUUGUAAAUGGGUGGUUGGAUUUGUGGUGGAAGUGAUUUAAAUUAUCCUAAAAUUGGAAUUGAAAUGGCGAGAAUAAAUUCUAAAAUUGGAAUUGCAAUGACGAGAAUAAAUUGAAGAGAAAUCUAUUGAAAUGACGUACUUGGGUAUCUGGAUCCGUAUCAACAUGCAUCAUGGGCUAAAUAUUCCUUAUUAAUACCAAUUAAAUCAUGAGGGGGGAAUCCACACCUCAUGAACCACGCUUUAAUCAAUAUGGUGCUAAGGGCUUAUCGUGCCAAAUAAUAAUAACCUUGUACUAGAGAGCCGGUGUAACCAAGGCGGUAUCUAGACAAGACUAUUAUUAUUUGUUGACGAAAAGUCAAAUCAUCCACAAAAAUUAGAGGGGAAAAGAAAAUAAAUUUACCAAAUAAAGCCCAUGACACAUGUUGAGACUUCACCUUCAACCCAAGCUUGAAAGGAAAUUAGCUACUCAUAAUUGAACUAGGGGCAAAAUGGGAAUUUAUUAAAAUACGAAGAAAAUACAAGAUGGAGAAGGAAUUAUAGAAAAUGGAUCCCAAAAAUGGAUUCAGAGAUAUCAAAUUGGGGGGGGGGGGGGGGGGGAGGCCCCCUUUUUAUAGAUACAUGGAGUAAAUCAUGGCCAUCAGAUUAAAAACAGUUUGGACGCUCAGGAUUGCGCCACGUCAUCAGUCAACAGUACACGGUUUGACCACGUGGAUGAACAGUAACACGGUUUGAACCCGGGUGAACAGUGACGCGGUUUGAUUGAAAAUAAUCAUGUGUGAUGCAUAUACCGUACGCGAGAUUUUUCGUCCACUGAUAUGCUGCCACUUCACCAUCAACAGUACAUAAGAAUUUUAGCCCAAUAGGAUCGUGACACCUCAUCAGUCAAUGCCACAUCAUCGGUCAAUGCCACGUCAUCGAUCCGUCUAUGUGAACAGUGUCAUGAACAGUAACGUAGACAGUACCGUACACGUGAAUAGUACCGUACAUGUGAAUAGUGCCAUUUUUCCUUUUAUGCUCCUCCUAAGGUUUUCGACCGUCCUGAGUUCAAAAGUGAUGUUCGUUUUGCCGUCUGAUCUCUCGUUUAUUAUGAAAUGACCAUGAUGCCCCUAAAAUACAUAAAGUACUUAAUUAAAAUCAAACACACAUAAUUAAAUUGUAAGAAACUUAAAUACAUAAAAGUAAGGGUUGUUAGUAAAACUUGAAAUGUAAAAUGAUGAUUUUCUCCUUUAUAAAUAUACAUUUUCUAAUACUCAACACACCCCCCAACCAGCUUAUUACUAGUCCCUAGCAAAUAAAGCGAAAACGAAAUUCAAAUCCAAAAUGAUUUUUUUUUUAAAUAGAAACACUCGUGUUUAUUCAAUCAGAUUAAUGAUAGCAAUCAAAUAAAAGUAUAAGCAUUAUCUCCAGUCUAAAGAAACAUCACACCCACAUCAACCAUCCACAUGAAUCAGCCAGUAGACUUUGUUAUAGCUACUUUCAAGAAUGAUAUGUCAAACCCCAAAAUCUCACUGGAAGUAGUGACACUCUCACAAAGAAAUUAAACCCAAUAAAAAUAGUCACUCCAAUGAAUGGUAAUUGAGAGAAAAUAAUAAAGAAGUGAUAUCACAUGCUCUCACCAAGAUGAAAGAAAUAUGCCCUCAGCUUAGAAAUAAUACGAUCUCAAGUCAAACAAAAAUGCUAGUCAACCCAUUUUAUUUAUCUCUUUUUCUUUUAUUAUUAUGCACCACUACAUCUUUUUAACCCAUAUAACUAGCUUUUACUUCAAACUAUAGUUCCCUAAAAUCAAGAAGGACUUUUAUUAGGACGUAACGUAGGCUAGGGACAUGGCUAACACAGAAGGGAAAUAAGGAAAACAAAGUGUAUGUUUGAGAAAAAUGCAGAGAUUUUUUUUUUUUUUUUGAAGUUGCAAGGUGUAUUUCACCUAUUGUUGUUAUUUUUAUUCAAUUGAAACAACAACUUUUGUUUUGUUGUUGUUUUUUUUUUUUUUUGCUUUUAUUUGGCAUAACUUCACUGAACAAAAUAAUUAUUUACAUUUUCUCAAACAUAAAUAGGUGAUGGAACUUAUAAGACAUCGGGUAAUACUCCAAAUCGGAGUGGGUCAAGAUAAUAAGUUGACAAAGAAAAGGUUUUUUUUUUUUUUUUAAAGGCUCAAAAGGGAUAACUAUGGAUAUUUAAUAAAAGGGAUGGCUAGAAAGGUUCAAACGGAUCAAAGAUGGCAUUUCCAUCGUCUUUUAGGGCUCUAAAUAAUUAUCCAUAUCUUCUAGUUAGAUAGGCCUCCAAAUGUAGCAACACAUUUUUUUUCUUUUUUAUUUAUUUAUUUAUUUUUAAGGGUUAACUCAAAAGAAUCUAGAGGUCGUAUAUAAAAUAAGAAACUGCUAAGCUGUAUAAAGAAUGGGCAAAAGGGUUACUCUCCAAGAAAAAUGAUAGGCUCUAAAACUCACUUGGCACUUAUUUAUGACAUGUUCAUUCCUUCAAGCAACUCAUAUUUGUCUCUGGCAGCAACAUGUAAAGUAGCAAACAUAGCGUAACAUCACUUAAGACCAAAGAUAAUAUAAAUACUAAAAUUUGAAAUUAAUCAUGUCAUCUAAUGUUAAAACAAAUCACACAAUUUUUUUUUUUUUUAAACAACAUUCUACCCCCUAACCUAUUCUAAACAUGAAAGGAAAAUAUGCAUGUAGAAAUGUGAAAAUGAUGUAGAAAAAUUAAUUAGAAAAAGAAAAAAAAAUUUUAACUAAGAAGAUGCGUUUCUAGAGGCACUACACUCCAUAUUCAGCCAUCUUCGACUCAAAAAUUUGAAAAUAUAUAUUUAUAAAGGAGAAAGAGGAAGAAAACGGUUUUUUUUUUUUUUAAACGAUGAAGAUGUGUUUCUAGAGUAACUACACUCCAUAUUCAGCCAUCUUCAACACAAAACGUUAGCAACAGUUAGUUUCUACAACAAAAAAUUAGUAAAAACUUAACAAAGAUUCCACAAUUGUCGACUAUUCCCUCCCCCCAACCAGAACAAAACAUUGUCCUCAAUGUUUUAAAGGAAAGAAGUAGAGUUUAGAAGACAUCACCUGGGUGGUGCAACACAUAAGAAAAUAUUUACAGGCGGAGAGUUAAAUCUAAUUUGUACUUCUUACUGCGGCUACUGUUACCAUCAUUAUUUGGGCGCUCCAACACAAAGGUCCAAGGGUCUGGCUCCGGUUUAUAAGCUUGUAACAGAUCAAGUAGCUCAUUAGCAGUGUGAGCACAAAUAAAAAAUUUUUUCACAUUAGAAGGAAUGGAAUAGUUUUUUAUUGCAUGGUUAAGAAAUGCGAUAAAGCCAUCGUAAAAGUUAUUGACAUUUAACAAACUGAUGGGUUUCUGGUGAAUGUGCAAAUGGGCCCAAGAUGCUAGUGUGAUAAGUGCCUCUAGUGUUGCAAGAUCUCCUGGAAGGAAAAUAAAAGCAUCAGCAUGAUUAAGCAUUUCAGUUAUUCUUUCUUGCAUACCUGAGACGACUAACUCUUCUCCAGUUGAUGAGUCAGAUGAACUGCCCAAUGGUUUUAGGACUCUUGGGAUGAUGCCUAACACUUGACUUCCUCUUAUAAAAGCUGCUUCUGAGACCAUUUUUGAUAACCCUCAGUUACCUCCUCCAUACACCAAGUGUAAUGUUCUCGCUGCUAUGCUUCGACCAAGAUCUAUGGCUGCCUCAACGAACUCUUUAUGUUUGCCAUAGGUAAAUCUAGAAAGCACACAAAUGUUCUUGAAUUGUCUAUUGGGAGUAGCUGCCAUUGGGAUACUUCUCAAAAAAAAUUUGUGAGUGUUUGACAAAAGAAAUCACAGUUAAGAGUCUUGGUGACAGUGGGUCACAACUGUGUAUGAGGUAGCAUGUCAGUGUCAAAUAACACGUAAAACACAUGGCUCGCGAGUCAAAAAGGAAACAGUAAAAAGAAAAAGAAAUAAUGAUAAAAUAAAAUUAUUAAAGACAAUAAUGCAAAAGAUAAAAUAACAGUGAAAUAAAAUAACAGUGAAGUAAAAGGAUAUUUACAGGUAGUUGCGAUUGUGGCUCAUAUCUUCCUCUGGUUUUAUGUCCAGAAACGGCUUGAACGCCCUCUAUGGGUCGCGGAUGGGCUUCCCAUCCAGUUUUCUUAUAAACUGGCAAACAGGGUCGUUUAUAGUCAGAUUCCCGAGACUAUAUCGUGCAUGCUCUUUUUGGAAUAAUGGCCAUAACUGGAGAAUCGCUCCUUGCACAUAUCCACUGGGAUGCGUUUCAAGAGACAGAAUGAUAUCAUCCAAUGACUCCUUAUUCAAGCCAUCCCUAAUUAAUUGAAUCUUAUCUUCCCUGUUAUUAGACACCAUUCCUAAAGAACAUGGGUUUUUAUCACAACUCAUUCUGGCACACUUAUGACAAGCAACAGAAAUACAAGAUGGAGAAGGAAUUAUAGAAAAUGGAUCCCAAAAAUGGAUUCAGAGAUAUCAAAUUGGGGGGGGGGGGGAGGCCCCCUUUUUAUAGAUACAUGGAGUAAACAUGGCCAUCGGAUUAAAAACAAUUUGGACGCUCAGGAUUGCGCCACGUCAUCAGUCAACAGUACGCGGUUUGACCACGCAGAUGAACAGUAACACGGUUUGAACCUGGGUGAACAGUGACGCGGUUUGGUUGAAAAUAAUCCUGUGUGAUGCAUGUACCGUACGCGAGAUUUUUCGUCCACUGAUAUGUUGCCAUGUCACCAUCAACAGUACAUAAGAAUUUUAGCCCAACAGGAUCGUGACACCUCAUCAGUCAAUGCCACAUCAUCGGUUAAUGGCACGUCAUCGAUCCGUCUAUGUGAACAGUGUCAUGAACAGUAACAUAGACAGUACCGUACACGUGAAUAGUACCGUACAUGUGAAUAGUGUCAUUUUUCCUUUUAUGCUCCUCCUAAGGUUUUCGACCGUCCUGAGUUCAAAAGUGAUGUUUGUUUUGUCGUUUGAUCUCUCGUUUAUUAUGAAAUGACCAUGAUGCCCCUAAAAUACAUAAAAUACUUAAUUAAAAUCAAACACACAUAAUUAAAUUGCAAGAAGCUUAAAUACAUAAAAGUAAGGGUUGUUAGUAAAAUUUGAAAUGUAAAAUGAUGAUUUUCUCCUUUAUAAAUAUACAUUUUCUAAUACUCAACAGAUAUUUUGCUUUAAGGGAACAACAACUCCAGUAUUAAUAAUUAGAUCCCGAAGGAGCAAUUUCAUGCAUAUACUUCACAGGAUAUAUAUUUUGCUCUAUAGAAGCAAUAACUUGAGCAUUAAUGUAAUCAGAUCCUGAAUGUGUAAUUUCAUGCAUCUACUAUCACAGGAUCCUGUUCAAUAAUCUUUCCUUUCAAGGAAUAAAAAUCCAAUAAACCAGCGUGUGGUAAACAAUUCAUCAGCUGCAAGAAGCUUAAAUACAUAAAAGUAAGGGUUGUUAGUAAAAUUUGAAAUGUAAAAUGAUGAUUUUCUCCUUUAUAAAUAUACAUUUUCUAAUACUCAACAGAUAUUUUGCUUUAAGGGAACAACAACUCCAGUAUUAAUAAUUAGAUCCCGAAGGAGCAAUUUCAUGCAUAUACUUCACAGGAUAUAUAUUUUGCUCUAUAGAAGCAAUAACUUGAGCAUUAAUGUAAUCAGUUCCUGAAUGUGUAAUUUCAUGCAUCUACUAUCACAGGAUCCUGUUCAAUAAUCUUUCCUUUCAAGGAAUAAAAAUCCAAUAAACCAGCGUGUGGUAAACAAUUCAUCAGCUGCAAUCCUAGCUAAUAGAUUGUUCAACAUGAACAAACACCUGGCUGGGUUCCUUUUAUAGCUACCAUACAUGACUUAGUUUCUCCGGAUGCAACUGUAGGAGCAUCAUGAAAGUUGACAACUAAAAUCAUUAGGCAACUUUUUCUCGCUCCUAAUGGAGGGAAAUUUUAUCUUAACAGAUGAUAAUAAAUUCUGGAAAAUCUUAUUAUAUAAUAUAUUACUAUAUGUCAAACUUAAUACAAAAUAGAUAUAAAUAUAAAAACUUAUAGAAAUUAAUAACUAGUUUUAAUUGGCAUGAAUGUCUCUGCCAUGGUCAAUGAAUAAACCUAAAACAUCCGGAUGUGUGCUAUCACCAGGAUCAACAUAAUUUGUCUCAACGGUCUUCCCUUUUCUUUUUAGGGAUGCUUGAUACUAGUCAACAACAUGUCUGGUGGAUGAUAAGAUCUCCAAAAAUGGCCUUCUAUCCCACACCUGUCACAUAUCUCUUUCUGUUCUUUUUCUUGGGCUUGUCCUUCAUCAUUAUUCUUUCACUUUUGAUAAGUUCUAUUGUAACCAUCAUGAGGUUGAUAGUAAUUGUGACUAUAACUAUGAUCACGGUAAAAAAAAUAAAAUAAAAUAAACUCAUUUUUUAUUAUCACUAUGACUGUGUAAAAUUUGAUUCACUUCAGGUAGUAGCUUCGUAUCAAUUCAAACAAUGGCUUCGUAAGAGCAUAAUCUGUUAUUGAGGUCCACGACUUCUAGAUGAAUUACUGAGGCACAUAGUUUUUAGUUGAAUUACUGACACAUGGCUUCUAGCUGAAUUACCAAGGCAGAAUCAAAGAUAAAUUAUUUUUAUCAAAAAUAUUGAGGGCUUUCAAUUCAGGCUUCAUUGGAUUUGCCAUCUUCAAUUAUUCUUUAAAGGCUUCAAAAUCUCAAUAUAUGGCUUCAGUACGUGCAAGAAUGUUCAAAUUUAUGGCUUCAUAUAAACAGGUUUUAGUAUUGAAGCUUUAAUGCUUCAAUCUGAAUUUUGUACGCUUCAAUUUUGAUUAUGCAGGCUUCAGUCUUGAUUUACGCUUUAGUCUUGUACGCUUCGGUCUUUACUUUUAAUAUCAGUAACAGAAAUAAAAAAGAAAUAUUAAUUAGCAAAUGAAAUAAUAAAAUGAGACAAUAUAAUACUUCGUCUAAUAUAGCGAUCUAGUGUUGAUAACGUGUUGUAAUAUUGUUGGGUACAGAGAGCAUUGAAGGAAGAACAAUUAACUAAAGCGGAAGAGAACAAAGUGAAAUAAGCCAAGUAGCACCAUGCAAUCUCACGAAUUUAUCUUUCAAAUCGAAGUCGUGAGGAUGGGUUACAAAUGGGCUAUUUAUAGCCGGAUCAAGCAGUAUGCACUUGAGUCCAUAGAUGUGUGUGAUUACAAGAUCAAGUGGUGUGUGCAAGCAAAGUGAGGUGUAUCUGAUUGGCGUUUGUGGGCAUACAAAUCAAUCCCAUGCGAUAUGCAUGCGGUGGAAAUCCACAUAGCUUUCACAACAGGAGCAAUAUUUGCUUAAAUUUUGGAAGUCAUUGGUCAAGAGUCCUGCUAAGUGUUCAUAAUAAAUCAUGGUUCGCUUAAUGCGGAUCUAGAAAAAUGAUUUAUUGGGGUUAAAUUAAAUAAUAACAAGAUGUGAAAUCUGAAAUUUGAAUUUAUAAAUUUUUUAAUAAUACAUUUACAAUUGUUCUCUACGUGGUUUCAUAUUUUGAAAAUAUUGUGCAAUAGACUCAUUACCAAUACUAUUAAAUACAUUUUUUCUACGAAAACAAUCAAAUUAUCAUUCAUCCAUUCAUCUUCCAUUUCAUUCCGAAGUACAUUUUUUAUGAAUUUCAUUACUGAAAAUGUUCUCUAUACUGUAGUUGUGGAAAUUGGAGGAACUAAUGCUAAUGUCACCAACAAAUAUACUAGCGGAUACACCUUAUCUUUUAGCAAGGUGGUCGAUUCCCUUCAAUCUUGCAAACUCAGUACUAGCAUGCAUAUACAUUAAGUAAGUUUAAAGUUGAGUUUUAAGCACCAUAAACUCUAUUGAAGAAAAUCCUUUGGAUAAAAUUGAGCAAGACGUGCUGGCUUGCCUUUAUUAAAUGCAGCAAAUGAAUCAUUUGGACUUGGACAUGCUAAACAAAGAAGCAAUUCCAUAUUAACGUCAUUGAAACAAUUAUUUAACUCUUAAAGCUGCAAAUCUAAAACAAUCAAAAAUAGCUCAACUUGAAAAUAAUGCAUGUUUGAGAUCUCGCAAGCCUUACAUUGUAAUCAAUCCCACAAUAAAAACACAUCAUUCAUGAUAGGGACAUCAAUAUCAUGCUUCAAACAAAAAGAAGAAAUCUCAUAAAGUAAUGAAUCCCACACAUCUCUCAUCAUUUGCAAGUUUUUCAUACAUAUUUCAACCAAUUUUAUGGCAUUUAGAAUAUCUUGAUCCUUUCUUUGAAGUGCUUGUGACAACGCAUUUGAAAGUGCCAGUAUAUCUCUCAUCAAAUAUAGACUAAACACGAAAUCAAAAGAUUAAAUGAACUAUACCAGACAAUUUGAUUAAAAUCUUUGUUCACUAGAGUUUGACUUAUCUUUUCCAAUUAUCUCAAGCAUACUAAUUAUGUAUGGAAACAAAGAGAUUAUAUGAAGUAACGUACCAUAAUGCGAGCCCCAACAUGUAUCACCAAAACAUUUCAAUGUAGUUUCAUGAUUUUGGCCUUGCCCACUUGGUACUUCAUCAUUUUCAAGUGCUUCACCAAGUAAAAGUAAUUGCUUCUCUUGAAGAAUAUCUCAAUGUUUACAUGAAGCCCCAACAACAUCGACAACAUUAGCAACUACAUUGAAGAACCAAUUAAUUGGAUCGUAUUUCUUUGCCACAUACACAAUAGCUAACUAUAAUUGAUAAGAAAAACAAUGUAUACAAUAAUUGCACUCAUUCUCAUUAACAAUAAGUGUUUUAAGACCAUUGAACUCGCCUUACAUGUUGGUAGCCCCAUCAUAACCUUAUUUGCACAACCUAGCAUACUUAAUCCAUGCUUAGAAAAUAAUUGGUCAAUAGCUUCCUUGAGCGAGAUAAUAGUGGCACUAGUAACAUGCUUAAGAACUAUAAAACGCUCAAUAACAUAUCCAUUCCUAUCUACCAUAUCACAAUACAAUAGCCAUCUGCUCCUUCAUAGAUGCAUUAUUGGUUCAUCAAUCAAAACAAAAAAACAAUGCAUUACAUAUGUCUCUAAUAAUAGCAUUGGUAGUUUCAGUAGAGCAAACCCUUACAAUAUCUUUUUGAAUUAAAAGCGCAAUACAUGUCUUUUCCAGGAGCAUUUUUCAAAGUAACUUUUUUUAUAUCUUCAUUGUGAUUAGCAAGAAAUCUUAAAUUUCAAAGAUAAUUUCCUUAGUUACUUGAAUUAUUAGGCUCAUCAUGACCAUGGAAUGCAGACCCUUGUUCUAAAAGAAGCCUAACAACAUCAAUGGAUGCGAAUAGGCAAGUUUGAUAAUCUUUUCAAUCUUGAUCAAAAUAUUUGUUGAAAAAUGUUUGGACAUGUUGCUUUUAUUCCAUUAAAUCUUCGCAAUAACUCUUGACUUUGUUGUGAGUACUAUUAGGACCUCUAAUAUGCUCUUCUAAUCUUUCUAGUUUCUUCCAAUAUGAGAAGCCAUUUUUUUGUAAAUGUCGCACCACUUGCUUGUUCACUAAUUUCUGGUCUAAAAAGAUAGCAACAUAAACAAUAUACAACAUUUUUGUGAUAUACUAUAUUCUAACCAAUUUUCGUAUUUAUUGAACCAAGCCGGAUUGAAUCGUCGCUGUUGUUGCCCAAAUUUAGACUUACAAAAAUUGUGGAAUUUAGGUUGGUAAGAACCCAUUUGUAAAUAUGCUCUACGAACUCCAUCUCGAACAUUAGGAUUGUAAGAAGAAAUUGGGGGAUGUUGUCCAAGAUCAAAAGGAAGUUUUGACAAUUCUAAGCCAUACUUAUUUCGUUUUCCUGAACCACUUUUAUCUCUUUGAAAAUGGCGGCAUCACUAGUCUUCUUUUAAAAUACUUUUCCAUAUCUGUUUCAAAAUUAUAUAUGUGAUUACUUGUAUAAAAAUAAAUUUAAUUACAAUUAAAAGAAAAGAUUGAGUGUAAAGUGUGUUCAUUGUAUAACUAAUAACUAUGGACAAAAUUACUAAGAAAUUGUAAAGGCUAGAAUUAGUCACUCAAGCAAUUGCAAUUUUAUAUAGAGAUCUAUUAAGAUAAGUUAAAAUUACCCUAAAAUUGACAUGUGAAAAGAAAUAAAAUACUAAAUUAUUAACUUAAUUCGAAGAAAAAAAUAUUAAGUGUAAAGUGUCAAAGGCCAACCCACGAUUUUCUCCAAAAUAUUCAGGCACUAAACCAGUCCACUAACAGUCAUGUAAUGCGUCCACCAACGAUCAUGCAGUACGUCCACGCACGAUCAUGUAGUGAAUCCACUAGAUCAAAACUGGGGUGGUGGUUUUAGCUACCUAUAAAAGCCCCAACCAAGUAAAUAAGAGUUUCUUCUUUUUCUUUUUCUCUCUCCCUCUCCUUCUGACUACUCAAUCUCUCUCCUUCAUUUUUUCUAGGGAGUUAACUAAAAGAUUUCUUAUUAAAAUAGCAAGCAAAGUUAAGCAAUAAGAGUUACGGUAAAAGUUUUUCCAACAAAGGCCCGAUUACUGACUUGAGUGUCGGAAGGGUCAUGUCGAAGAAACAUUCGACGCUCUAUCUAACCAUUUGUUGUGAAUGCAAGUGGACUUGUUAGGAGGUGCUCGUCGUUGAAAGAAGUCACGUGUUACGGUAAGGAGGUGCAAGCAGGAUCUGUCUCCCAUCAAAUAAAUUCAAGUGUUGAGGUGGUCAUCUCGUCUCAAUAUAACUUGACCAGAUUUCAACAUCAACACUUAUAUUUCUAUGUUACAGGAACAAUUGAUGCACCUCCUCUCUCAAGUAGUAAAAAGUGUCCACACUCCAAGGUCUAAAACCCAUGCUGUCUCGUUGUAUCAACUUGUAGUACCACCAUUUUUAAGAUUGAUCAAGUUUUUAAUUUUGCAUUGUUUGAAUAUUAAAGGCCAAGUUUUUAUUCCCUUUGUGAUACUUGUAUGUAUAUAUAUAUAUAUAUAUAUAUAUAUAUAUAUAUAUAUAUAUAUAUAUAUAUAUAUAUACAUAUAUAAACCUAGUAUGAAAAACAAAGAGAGGUAGAAAGAUUAAAAUUAGAAACUUAUGAAUCCAAAUUUUAUAGCAAAGAAGAAAGGGGCUUGAAAUGGGAGAGAAAAAGAGCAUGACCGAGGAAUUUCUUUUUCUUUUCUUUUCUUUUCAUUUUUUUAUAUUUUAAGUACUAUUGUAAGGGUUUAUUACGGAAGAAAAGCAAACAAAGAUUAUUUUAGGAAUUAAAAAAGAUAUAGAAGAAAGUUGGCUUUAAUAAGAUAUUAGAGGGGUGCAAAAAGUCCAACUCUUUUUUUUUUUUGUGCCUAUUUUUAAGGUCGUAUGAUAAAGAAGUAUACUGCCUAACAGAGGGUAACACGUAACUAAUUAAUUUUAAAAUAAAUAUAUGUGUAUGCAAAUUUUAUUUAGUGGAUUUUUAAUUUAUUUUAAAAUUAAAGAUGCAUAUGCUACGAUUUUAUUGAAUAAACAUAAGAUUUGUAAGCUUUAAUGGAAAAGGUACAAAUAAAAUGGCGGGUGCAUUCUUAAGAAUAUACAAAACUUCAUAUGUUCGUUUUCUUACCAGAUCUAUAAACAAUCAAAAUUAGUAGUUUUGGUGAUGCAAUUAGAAGGAAUGAAUGGAUUUUAACUCAACUUUGUGUUGGUUAAAAAUCAGUUUUUCUCAAAAAAACUUACAAGAUCGUUAUCAUAUAAUAUAUAAGAAUUUGUAAUCUAGAAAAUCAUACCUUAACAAUUCAAAAAGAUGAACAAUCGAAAUUACUUUAGGCUUUCAGAUCACGAUCCAUCACCACCACGUUGGUUAGAUCACGAUCUAUCCCCAAAUAAUCUUCCAAGCUAUGACUCAGGUUUGAUCUGCAUUUGACGUGUGGGCGCCUUUCUCACCACAAAAGCAACUAGCAAUAGAAAAUAUUCCUCUCAAAAUUAGAGAGAAAAAACCUUUGUCUUUGAUUUGUAUAAUGUGACUCUUUUUUUCUUAGAAAACAAGCCCUUUUAUAUCUCUAUUUUGUGGAAACCCCAGGCUCCAUAUUUAUUUAUUUAUUUAAUUCAAUAAAAUCACAUUUGAUUUAAAUUAAAAAUAAUAAAAAUCAAAGUGGUGUUACUUGUUCUUGUGUUAUAGGGGCCCACCUUGUAAAAUAACACAGAGCCCCUUACACACAAACAUAUUAAAUGGAGUCUCCAACUAAAUAAUAUAUUUAGGCUUUUAACCCAAAUAACUAGUUAUCUUGUUUAUUAAUCCAGUAGCGGUGCAGUCAAUUAAAUGAGCUAACCCGAGGAUCAUAUGGGUACAUACAAUAGUGGCUACAAUAAUUAGGCCUGUAAUUAAACUAGCCCAAUUAUUUAAGAUCUUGUAGGAACUUGCAGAGCCAUACAGCUUCUUUUGCAGCUUCGGAUGUAGCCACAUAUUCAACUUCAGUUGUGGAGUCUGCAAUACAAGAUUGUUUCACACUCCUCCAACUAAUAGCUCCACUUCCUAAUGUAAACACAUAGUCGGAAGUUGAUUUUCUAGAAUCCUUAUCUGACGUAAAGUCAUAAUCAUUAUAACCCACUAGAAUGAGUUCAUCACCAGAAUACACAAGCAUAUAAUUUUUAGUUCUUUUCAGAUACUUCAUUCUAUGCUUGACUGUAGUCUAGUGUUCAAGUCCAAGAUUAGAUUGAUAUAUGUUUACCAUCCCUAUCGCAAAAUAGAUGUUUGGCCUAGUGCAAAGCAUGGCAUACAUGAGACUUCCCACAGCUUCUGCAUAGGGAACUCAUCUCAUUAUCUCAAUCUCUUCAAAUGUUUUAGGUGAUUGAUCCUUAGAGAAUGCAAUUCCAUGUUUGAAUGGUAACAAGCCAGUCUUGGAAUUUUCUAUGCUAAAUCUAGCCAAUAUCUUGUCAAUAUAAACUGCUUGAGACAAGGCUAAAGUUUUACUCUUCCAGUCUCGUAGUAACUUGAUACCAAGAAUAUAACUUACCUCUUCCAGGUCUUUCAUAUCAAAUUAUUUUGCUAAUCAACUCUUUAUUGUAGUCAAUACUCUUAUAUCGUUUCCAAUUAGGAGAAUAUCGUCUACAUAAAGAACUAGGAAGGCUAUAGAUUUUCCCUGAAUUUUCUUAUACUCACAUGGUUCAUCAACGUUCUGAAUGAAUCCAAACGAUUUAAUCGCUUGAUCAAAUUUGAUGUUCCAUGACUGGGAUGCUUGCUUCAAUCCAUAAAUGGAUCUCUGCAACUUACAUACCAUGUGUUCUUGGCCUUUUUGUAUGAAUCCAUUUAGUUGCUGCAUGUAGAUGUCUUCUUCAAUAUGCCCGUUAAGAAAGGCAGUCUUGACAUCCAUUUUUCAAAUUUCAUAAUCUAGCUCUGCAGCAAUGGAAAGCAAAAUCCUGAUGAAUUUAAGCAUAGCAACCGGAGAAAAUGUUUCCUCAUAAUCGAUUCUCUCUUUCUGAGUAAACAAUUUGGCUACUAAUCUUGCUUUAAAUGUUUCCACCCUUUUGUCUACUCCUCUUUUUCUCUUGUAUAGCCACUUGCACCGUAUAGGUUUUACCCCAUUUGGUGCCUUUAUAAGUUCCCAGACUUUAUUGGAAUACAUAGAUUCCAUUUCUUGAUCCAUGCCCUUUUUCUAAAAUUCAAUAUCUCUAUCUAUUAGAGCUUCGUUUUAGCUAGUGGGAUCUUGUACAUGUUCAUCUGAGAUAGUCGUAUAGGUUUCUCCCAAUAACAUGUAUCUUGCAGGUAACCUAGUUACCCUCCCACUACGACGAGGUUCUAAAAGUGAUGGUUGUUUAGGGAUAAUUUUGUGGUGAUCAGCUGGUUGUUGUUGUUCUUCCUGUUAUAUAACAGGUGUUGAAAGCUGAGCAUCAACUUGAUCAUUUGACAGUUCUUUAAGUAUUACCUUACUCUUAGGUUUGAAGUUAUUCAUAUAGUCUUCCUUGAGGGAAGUGAAAUGUGUGCUCACGAUCACUUUCCUAUCUUGAGAACUAUAAAAUAAACCUCCCAUUGUUCCUUUGGGAUACCCCACAAACAUACAAACCUCAAAACGUGAAUCCAUUUUGUCUGCCUUUGGUUUUAGCACAUGUGCUGGUGAUCCCCAAAUACGGACAUGUCAUAAACUUGGUUUGCGACCUAACCAUAAUUCUAUUGGGGUUUUAGGCACUAACUUAAAUGUAACUAAGUUCAAGAGGUAAACUACAGUUUCCAGUGAUAGUCCCUAAAAAGAGAUUGGCAAUGACGAAUAAAUAAGCAUAGAUCUCACCAUAUCCAAAAGAGUUCUAUUUCUCCUUUCAGCUACCCCAUUUUGUUGUGGUGUCCCUGGGGUAGUUAACUGAGACAUAAUCUCAUUUUCAACCAGAUACUCCUUGAAAUCUCCAGAGAGAAAUUUACCACCUCGAUUAGAUCGAAGUUUCUUUCUGUUCUUAUCUACUUGCUUUUCUGUCUCAGCUUUAUACUCUUUGAAUUUUUCAAGAGCUUUAUAUUUAUGACGCAUCAGAUAAACAUAACCAUAUCUCGAGUAAUCAUUGGUUAAAGUGAUGAAGUACUCAUAACCUCCUCGAGCUUGUACACUGAUUGGUCCAUAUACAUCUGUAUGUACCAAUUCAAUUGGUACUAUUGCACGCACUCCUUUGCCCAAGAAUGGCCUUUUGGUUAUUUUUCCUUCUAAAUAGGAUUCACAGAUUGGCAAUUAUUCAUUUUCUAAUAAACCCAAGAGUCCAUCUUUGUUCAUUCUCCAUAUCAUAUUUUGGUUUAUAUGACCCAAGCGUAAAUGCUAGAGGUAACAUUGGUUGGAAGAAAUAUCUUUUUUCUUAGAUAAAUGUAUAUGCUCAUCAUUAUUGAUCACUGUGUCAUGCAUAAAAUGGAUCAUCAGACUUAAAUGAUAUAAGUUAUCUUCCAAUAUACUUGAACAAAUAAGUAUCUUAUUAUAAAAAUAAAAUAAAAACAAAGGAUCCAAAAUUUACAGUGUACCAUUGUUUUGACAAAUAAACUGCUGAAAUUAAAUUCCACUUAAUGUCUGGAACAUAAAGACAAUUAUUCAAAACUAAAGUCUCAUUAUUAAAAGAUAAUAAAAUAGAUCCAAUCUUUACUGCUGACACGAACUGUCCUGUCCCUAACUACAGCGUGACGCUUCCAUCACUUAGUUUCCUGGUUUCCUAAAACCAAUAAAGUGAAUUGCAAAUAUGAUUAGUUGCUCCUAAAUCCAACACCCAAGUGUCAACAGGAUUCUGAACUAAACAAACCUCAAUUACAAAAAGAUUUCCCAUAUCUGAUUCACAAUCUUAGGGCAAUCCUUUUUCCAGUGACUUUUCUGUCCACACUUGAAGCAUUUGCCUUUUGGCUUGCCAUCUUGCUUGGUAGACGGUUUCUUUUUCCCAGCUUUCUUCUUACCUUUGCCUUUCAGCUUAGGUCUAGAAGAAUAACCUUUUUCAGUAAUAUUAAUGCUUCCUAGAGAUUUCUCAACACAAUAGACAUCUUCAGCAAAAUUGAGUUCAUUCAUCAAUUCAGUUAAGGUCAUCUUUCUUUUGUUCAUGCUAUAAUUGACCUUAAACUCCUUGAAUGCUUUUGGCAGAGAUUCUAGCACCAUGUCAAUCUUUGCGUUAUCAUCGAUUUGUGCUCCCUGAAUCUCAGCCCCAUUCAAAUACUCCAGCAUUUUGAGGACAUGAUCACGAACUCUUGUGCCCUUCCCCAUUUUUCUAUUCACAAUACAUUUCAGCGCUGCUUGUCUCGUAGAGCGAGUACUCUGCCCAAACAUCUCUUGGAGACUAUCCAUUAUUUCAAUGGCAGUCUCAAAGUGCUGAUGUUUAGUCUAUAGAAUAUUAGAAAUCAAGGCUAAAAUAUAGCAUUUUGUCAUUUCAUUGGCCUUUUGCCAUUUCUCAUAAAGCAUCAUCUGAUUUCUGUGAGCAUCUUCCGCUGGAACUGGAGGGCAUGGCUGGGUUAAAAUAUAUUUAUAAUUUUCAGCAGUCAGGACAAUGAAUAGAUUUCUUUUCCAAUUUAUAUAGUCUCGCCAGUGAGUUUGUUUUGAUUUAGAAUAAUAGUAAGUGGGCUCAGGGAAGACAUUUUCUGAAAAAUAAAACAUCCAUGCAUAAAUAAUUUGAUAUAAAAUUUACAAUAAAUGACAAAAAUGCAUAAAACCAUAAAUGCAUUUUAAUUUAUUGUAACGACAAUCUAGUACCGCUUUGACAAACUAUCCAUUGGGGGAUUUGUUGGGUAUAAAUACUAAUGAUAUUGGUGUCAAUGUGCAAGUGUACACAACAAGUAAUAAAGUGAUGAGUAUUCAAGAUUGUCUCCACAGGGAUUGAUGUUAUCAGAUUUGCUACAGCAAUCUUAAAAGUGCAGAUUUUGUGCUAAAAUAAAAUAAAACACUUAGUGAAACUGUUAUACUAAUUAAAAUAAAAAUGUAAUAAAUAAAAUGCAACAAAGUAAAUUAUCACGUCAAUCUCAAGGAUAAAAUCAAUGGGAAUAUAAAGUAGUUGAGUGAAUAAACUCUUCUAAUGGUCUUGACUAUUUUCUAAUGGUUGGCUCGGUUGCUGCAAUAUCUGCUACAGCACUGGGCAGAAUCCUUAUGUGUCCUCAGCCGUCGCAUGUUGGAUAUUUUAUAUCUAUAUGCAACCUAACAGUGAUCAAUUGUUAUGCCCACAUAAGAUACACCAUUACACGCUUAGGUUCUAUUUACCCUACAAGGUGAAUUCAUAUGUUUAGUUCAUCACUAAUUUUAGAUUAAGCAUAGCCCUUUUGGAAUAAGUUAAACUCAAUCCAGGAAACUCAAUUUAAAACCAAGUAUUGCUCUGAUAUGUUCCACUAAGAUAGGCCCUUUUGCGGCUCUCUCCUAACUUGUAUCAUUAAAUGGGUGAUCAACCGAAAUAAUGAAUAAAAAUAAAUACUAUCAAAACAAACUGCUACAGCAAACAUGCAGCAACACAUAUAUUCAGUCAAUAAACCAUCAAUAUUGUUUAUCACUCAACCACAAAUAAAUUUAGUUUAUGCUUUGCAAAAGAAAAAUAAAGAACAAAGUUUUAGCCAUGAAACACAUUGUUAGCCUAAAUGGCUAUAAAUAUUGAUUUUGAUGAUAACAAACCACAUGUAUUUAUUAAGUAAAGAUUUACGAAUUGUGCUUUUAUAAUAAGAAAAUGAUGUUAUGGAAUUAAAGCAUUUUGGACUAAAAUGAAAGUAAUUUCAAAAUCUUUGAUAGUGUUUUAAAUUUCGGAUUUGGACCUAUUUGAAACUAUUUAAAUGUUUUUUGGUCAUUUUAUAAUUUCACAAAGUUUGGGCGAAAUCAUAAUUUCAGAAAGUUUUGGGAUUAACGAAGCAUUACUUAGAAAUUCUGAAAUUGGACCUCUUUGCAAAGUUUCAUAACGUUUUGGGCCAUACUAUAGUUUUAUAAAGUUUUGGGGUCAAACUGAAAAUUUAAAAAAAAAUUUCAUUGUAGCAGGUUACUGUAGCAUCCGGCUUACCGGUUAUAAAAACCAGAAAAUUAAAUUCGGGGCAAAAUGUAUCCAGAACGAAAACGGCUUACCGGAUUCCGAAUUCGGCAAGCCGGUUAGGCAAAAUUUUGAAUUUUGCCUUAACGGUAACAUAAAUCCGGCUUACCGGAUUCCAUAAACGGCAAACUGGAUACGCCUGGAAUGUGAGUAACGGCUAGUUUUUGAGCUCAAACUAUAAGAACUCAAAUCCAACUCAUUUUGAAGCUCUCCAACAAGCAAAAACAAAAAGCACACGAGAUAUCUUGAGCCUUCAAACUUGCAAACUACAUACAUUGAAUCAUUCAUUGUUCUUCAUCUUUGAAUAUAUACUCAUUGAGUGAGUUUCAUUGUAACUUUCAUUUCUUCAUUUCAAUUGUAAGAAUUUGAGUGUGUGAGACACUUGAGUGAAGAGAUUGGGAGAUAAUUUCUUCGUUGUAAAGGUUUAUUGACACCUCAAAGUCAAUUGUAAUCGGUUGAAGCCUCGGAAAGGCUUGGAUAGUGAAAUCCUCAAGCUUGGAUUGCUUGGAGGCGUGGACAUAGGCGGGGAUUGCCGAACCACGUAAAAAUUCGUGUGUUUGUUUCUCUUCUCCCUUACUCUUUAAUUAUUGUGCCUUUAUUAAACUUAUUGCUUUCAAUUUUUAUUAAGGCAUUAGAUUGUUUGUUGUGUGGAUUUGCUAGGAUAAUUUUUAAAUUUCCAAUUCACCCCCCCUCUUGGGUUGCACACUUAUAUUUCAUUUGGUAUCAGAGCUUGGUGCUCUUAUUUAGAUUUAACCAUCUAGAGUUAAAGAUCAAUGGCAACUCAAAAUGAUUCUACAUUUAGGGAAGGGCAGUCCAUCACUAGACCACCUUACUUUGAUGGAAAUGAUUACCCAUAUUGGAAAACUAGGAUGAGAAUUUACUUGCAAGCCUUAAAUUAUGAGAUUUGGGAAAUCGUUAAUGAUGGUCCUUUCAUGCCUUUGACUAAAAAUGAAGUAGGAGAAAAUAUUCCAAAACCUUCACGGGAUUGGAAUGAUUUCGAAAAGAGAAAAGCUUCUCUAAAUUCCAAGGCCAUGAAUGCCUUGUUUUGUGCUUUAGAUAAGAAAGAGUUUCAUAGAGUAUCUAGUUGCGAAAGUGCUAAUGAGAUUUGGCACAAGCUUGAGGUUGUCUAUGAAGGCACGAACCAAGUGAAAGAGUCUAAAAUAAGUAGGUACACUCGACAAUACGAAUUGUUCCAAAUGGAACAGAAUGAAAAUGUGUACUCUAUGUAUACUAGAUUCACGGACAUAGUGAACACUCUAGGAGCCCUAGGAAAGACUUUUUCAAAUAGCGAAAAAGUCAAGAAAAUCAUUAGGUCACUACCUAAGGAAUGGAGACCAAAAAGGACUGCCAUUGAGGAAGCCAAGGAUUUAAAUGUAUUACCUAUUGAUGAUUUAAUUGGCUCUCUUAUUUCAUAUGAAGAAGAUUUGGCAGCUGAAAAAGGGCAUGAGGAAAAGAAGAAAAACAUUGCUCUCAAGGCUUCAAAACGUGAGAGUGAUGAGGAAAGCGAAAUGGAUGAUGAGGAGCUGGCUAUGUUGGCUAGAAGAUUCAGAAAAUUUUACAAAAAGAACAAUGAGCAGAGAAAGUUCAGAGGCUACAAGAGUAAGAAGGAGAAGAAGGAGCCAAUCACUUGUUAUGAAUGCAAGAAGCCCGAACACAUACGACCAAAAUGUCCUCUUCUCAACAAAUUCAAGAAGAAGGCUAUGGUGGCCACAUGGGAGGAUAGUGAUGAGGAAACAAGUGACGAUGAUGAGCAACAAGAAAUGACAAACUUAGCUCUCAUGGCUAUUGGGGAAGAAUCAUGUGAUGAACUUGAUGAGGUGAGUGUUCUUCCUACAUAUGAUGAAUUGCAUGAUGCUUUUAAGGAUUUGCAUGAUGAGCUAAUGAAGAUUGGUAAAAAGAAUAUAUGUCUUAAAAAGAAGAUGAUAGAGCUUAAGAAUGAAAAUGAUUCAUUUAGUGCAAAGAUUACAUGCCUAGAAUUAGAAAAUAAAAUAUUGCGUGAUAGUAUUGCAUUAUUUGAGAAUUCUAGCACCUCACAUGAGCACUUAGAGUCACACAUGAAUGACUUGAAAAAUGAGAAUGAAAUGCUUAGAAAGAAGAGCAAUGAACUAAAUGAAAUUGUGCUAAAAUUCACAAAUGGGCAAAAGAUGUUGGACAAUUUGCUAAACUCACAAAAAUGUGUAUUUGACAAAAGUGGCAUAGGUUAUAAACCGACUUUGAAACAAAAAUUUUACAAGAGUUAUUUUGUGAAGAAUACAUCUAUUAACAAUAAAAUUGUAUGUCAUUAUUGCAAUCAAGAUGGCCAUACGAAAAAUAGAUGUGUAGUGAAGAGAAAUGCAUAUUAUGGUAUGAAAUGUGUUUGGGUUCCGAAAGGAACCAUUGCUAACUCUCAAGGACCGAAAAAGGUUUGGGUAUCUAAAACUUGAGAUUUUUUCUACAGGGCUCAAAGAAGAAGAAGAAUAAGUGGUACUUGGACAACGGUUGUUCAAGACACAUGACAGGGAAUUAUUCUUGGUUUUCAAGCUUUACCAAGAUCGAAAAUGGUGGAGAUGUAUCGUUUGGGGAUAAUUCAAAAGGAAAAAUCAUUGGAAUUGGAAAUGUCGGUAAUGUAUCCUCUACUCUCAUUGAGAAUGUGUGUUUGGUUGAAAACUUGAAACGCAAUUUGCUUAGUAUUAGUCAAUUAUGUGAUAAAGGAUAUAGAGUAAUCUUUGAUGAAUCGAAAUGUGUUAUUGAGAAUGCAUGUGAUGGGAAAGUCUUGUUUGUAGGAAAUAAAUGUGUUAAUGUCUAUACCAUUAAUAUAGAUUGUGCAUCUAUACAUGAAAAAUGUCUCUCCGCAUUGCAUGAUGAUGGUUGGUUAUGGCAUAGAAGAUUAGGUCAUGCAAGCAUGGAUUUGAUUUCAAAAAUCGUGAAAAAUGAUUUAGUUAAAGGUCUUCCAAAAAUCAGUUUUCAAAAAGAUAGAAUUUGUGAAGCAUGCCAAUUUGGAAAACAAAUCAAAACUUCCUUCAAAAGCAAGAAUCAUGUCUCUACUUCAAAACCACUUCAAUUGCUUCAUAUAGAUUUGUUUGGACCUUCUAGAUAUGCUAGUUUAAGUGGCAAAUAUUAUGUAUUUGUAAUUGUGGAUGAUUAUUCUAGAUACACAUGGGUAUUGUUCUUAGCUAAUAAGGAUGAUGCCAUUGAUGCAUUUAGAAUUUUCUAUAAAAAGGUUCAAAAUGAAAAAGGUUAUUCUAUUACUUGUAUUAGAAGUGAUCAUGGUGGAGAAUUUGAAAAUCAUGCAUUUGAAAAUUUUUGUAAUGACUUUGGCAUUGAACAUCAAUUUUCAUCACCUAGGACUCCACAACAAAAUGGAGUAGUAGAGAGAAAGAAUAUGUCUAUUCAAGAAAUGGCUAGGACCAUGUUGAAUGAAAACUCUUUGCCUAAGUAUUUUUGGGCCGAAGCCGUCAACACCGCUUAUUAUGUUUUAAAUCGGGUGUUGAUUAGACCUAAUCUUAAUAAAACUCCAUAUGAGCUUUGGAAAGAUAGAAAACCCAACAUUGGUUAUUUUAAAGUUUUUGGAUGCAAAUGUUUUGUUUUGAACACAAAAGAUAAUCUUGGUAAAUUUGAUCCAAAAUCUGAUGUUGGUAUCUUUCUUGGUUAUUCAAAUUCAAGCAAAACUUAUAGAGUUUAUAACAAAAGAACUUUGGUUGUGGAGGAAUCUAUGCAUAUUACAUUUGAUGAGUCUAACCCCUCCUCUACGGAGAAAGUUGUUGUUGAUGAUAAUGCAGAAGAAGAACAACAAGAAGAAGCAUCAAAUGACAACCAAGAAGACGCACCACCUGGAAUUCAAGAGGAACAUCAUGAAGAACCAAAUGUACAGCAAAAUGAAGGUACUUCUCAAACACUCCCUAAGGAGUGGAGGUAUGUUUCCUCUCACCCUAAGGAUGUAAUUCUAGGAGAUCCCUCACGAGGUGUUACCACUAGAUCAUCUCUUAGGAACACAUGUGAGCAUGCCGCAUUUAUUUCUCAAAUUGAACCAAAAUCCUUUGCGGAUGCGGAAAAUGAUGAAUCUUGGAUUAUGGCAAUGCAAGAGGAGUUGAAUCAAUUUGAGAGAAACAAUGUGUGGGAGUUAGUUCCUAAUCCGGAACAUCAAUCCAUUAUAGGUACUAAAUGGGUAUUUAGAAACAAAAUGGAUGAAUCCGGGGUGGUUGUAAGGAAUAAAGCUAGAUUAGUGGCUCAAGGUUACAACCAAGAAGAAGGAAUUGAUUUUGAUGAGACUUUUGCACCUGUAGCAAGGCUAGAAUCCAUUAGGAUGUUGUUAGCAUAUGCAUGUCAUAAGGAUUUUAUUUUGUAUCAAAUGGAUGUCAAGAGUGCUUUCUUAAAUGGAUACAUUAUGGAGGAAGUUUAUGUGAAACAACCUCCUGGUUUUGAAAAUGAAAAAUUUCUAGAUCAUGUGUAUAAGUUAUCCAAGGCUUUGUAUGGUUUAAAACAAGCACCUAGAGCUUGGUAUGAUAGGCUUAAAAACUUCUUGUUGGAUAAUGAUUUUUCGAUGGGAAAAGCGGACACAACUCUAUUUGUUAAGCAUAAGAACCAAGAUAUACUUAUUGUUCAAAUUUAUGUUGAUGAUAUUAUUUUUGGUUCUACUAAUGAGUUGUUAUGUAAAGAUUUUUCAUCAUGUAUGAGUAAAGAGUUUGAGAUGAGUAUGAUGAGAGAGUUGAAGUACUUCCUUGGACUUCAAAUCAAACAAAACGAGGAAGGAAUUUUCAUAAACCAAGCCAAGUACGUGAAAGAUUUACUCAAAAGAUUUGGCUAUGAUAAUGGAACGGCAAAAAGCACUCCUAUGAGUACUACCAUCAAGCUGGACAAAGAUGAGAAAGGUAAGGAAGUUGAUAUCAAGACAUAUUGAGGUAUGAUCGGAUCCUUACUCUACUUGACUUCUAGUAGGCCUGAUAUUAUGUUUAGUGUUUGCUUGUGUGCUAGAUUUCAAUCUUGUCCUAAAGAGUCUCACAUGCUUGCUGUCAAACGCAUUUUUCGGUAUUUAAUUGGCACUAUUAAUCUUGGCCUUUGGUAUCCUAGAGGAACUCAUAUUGAUUUAACUUGUUAUUCGGAUGUCGAUUUUGCUGGGUAUAAGGUUGAUAGAAAAAGUACUAGUGGAACAUGUCACUUCCUAGGCCAUUCUCCUGUCUCUUGGUUUAGUAAGAAACAAAACUCGGUUGCGCUUUCAACCACCGAGGCAGAAUAUAUUGCCGCAGGUAGUUGUUGUGCACAAAUUCUUUGGAUGAAACAAACCCUUAGAGACUAUGGUAUUAAGCUUGAUCAAAUUCCUAUCUUAUGUGACAAUACUAGUGCUAUAAAUCUCUCUAAGAAUCCUAUUCAACAUUCUAGGACUAAGCAUAUAGAAAUUAGGCAUCAUUUCCUUAGAGAUCAUGUUCAAAAAGGGGAUGUGGUAAUUAAAUUUGUUUCCACUGAAAAUCAACUUGCAGAUAUCUUUACAAAACCUCUUAGCGAAGAGCAUUUUAUAAAGAUAAGACAUGAGCUUGGAAUGAUGAAUGUUGAAUCUUAAUUCAUGUUUCUCUUAAUGGCUUGAUAUGUUUGUUAUCAUAUGGAUUUAUGCUUCAUGGAUUAGAUAGCAUGAUAUGCUUGUAAAUUUAUGGUUUUAUGAUUUUGUGUUUCAUGCAUUAAAUGGCUUAUUGAAAAGUUUUAAAUCUCAAAAUGAUUUAAAAUUAAUCAAUUUUUAAGGCCGGAAAUAAAAUGGUGUGUGUAGUACAAGUAUAAGAGCUAGCAAAUAUUCCCUUUCGGAAAAACAUUCUUUCCUAUUGAUCUCUCUCGGGACAAAUUCCGGACAACCGGAUUUUCAAUCCGGAAAACCAGAUUAGCUCUGGUUGGUCUCUGGACAACAUUCGGGUGACCGGAUUUUCAAUCCGGAAAACCGGAUUUGCUAAGUUAACUCACUGCCUCACAACCGGUUCACCGGUUUACAAAACCGGAAAGCCGAAUUUGCUUUGGAAACUUGCUGGAACAAACCCGGAUUUCCGGUUCAAGAAAUCCGGAAAACCGAUUUUGGAAGGAAAUUCUCGAAACCGGCCAGCCGGUUCAGGAAACCGGCAAGCCGAAAUCGAGAUAUUUGGUCUCGGGUUCAUUUUCGGCUAACCGGAUUUGCAAUCCGGCAAGCCGUUUUCGCGUGUCUUGAAUCUGUCCACGAACCAGCGCGCCGGUUAGCAAAUCCGGCAAACCGGAUUCGUGCCCUUUAUCACUAUUCAUCUUCUCCUCUCUUGUUUCGGUUUUCCGUUUCUGUUCUCUCUCAAAACCGUUUCCAUUUUCUCUCUUUCUUACUCCAAAAUCCUUCAUUUUCUAUCCUUUUCACAUCAAAUUGAAUCUCAAAAAUCAUUCCCCAUCUCAUUAAGAACACAAAACCAUCCUUGAAACUCAUUUUCAACAUCUAAAUCCUUAGAUCCCAAUUCCAACCUAGGUUUUGAGCCGAAUUUUCUCUCUCUAGAUUUCUCACUCUCAAGCCAUUUUUGCUCCAAUUUAUUUCACCAAAUCACUUUCAAUCUUCAUCAUCUUCAUUCUAUUUGGUGUUUUUAUCUUCAAAUCCAACAAAAUCACCAUGUCAAGCUCUCGGCCGGUUCGUAGAAAAGGCAAAGAACCGGUUCAACCAUCCACACGGCCACGGGAAGCAAGGGGCACCUCCAGUCAAUCCACCUUUGAGUCCAUUCAUUUUCAGAACAAGCAACACUUGAUCAAAAGGUUCCAACAAAACUUUCGGACUCGUGAGGUACUCAACAUUUUCUUUGUUUUACUGGAUGUUUUGCAUACUCUCCAGAUUAGUCAUAGAACUUUAUUUCAAUUGUUGGGAGAUGUUAGUUGGAUUGAUGCAUUGUUGAUUGAGGAGAAUGUGUAUCCCGACUUGGUGAAAGUAUUUUACUCGAAUAUGGAUUGUUCCGCAGAGAAAGAGAAUCGAGUAAUCACCACAGUUGGAGGAGUUUUAAUUGAGUUUGAUGAUUCAGACUUGGACAACAUCCUAGGAUCUUCUGAUGAUGGCUUGGACAUUUUUUCUCUUAGGAAACCUCCUGAAAUUGAUGAUUAUGUUCAUGUUGAUGCCGUUCGUAAUAUUUGUCGGCGUAAUGAUCUUUCUGUUGAAGACUCUACCAUUCAUUUCCGUACUCAAUGUCUUUGUCUUCAAACUCGUUUUUUGCUUCGUAUCAUCCAGUCCAUUGUACUUCCUAGAUCAGGACAUUUGGAUGAGGUGUCUCACAUGGAUGUCGCCAUGAUUGACUGUAUUCUUAGAGGUUGCCCGGUUGACUUGGGCUAUUCUAUCGUUCGCACCAUGUUGAGCAUUCCAGCCUUGAUUACCCGUUCUCUUCCUUAUGGUCAUUUCAUUACCCGAAUUCUUAAAUUCUUUGAAGUGCCGAUUCUAGAACCAUCUUGUAGGCCGUCCAAGGGUAUUGGGGAUGAGGUUAUUGUUGGGUUAGGCUUUGAGUGGAAGGAUGGCACUUGGGUCAAAUACAGCGAUAACAAGUUUACCUUUCUAACCCCAAGUGAUGAUCGGCCACUUAAUGCUGUGAUUCCAGCAGAUCAGCUUCCAGUUUUCUCACUCUCAUUUCGAGGGCACCGUAGGCGCCGAGUUUCUUCCACGGUUGCUUCAGCUCUUAGUGCAUCUGCAUCUGUUUCAUCACCUCCACGGCCUCCUAACGCUGGAGAUGUUACUCUUCAGCAGCUUAUGGAUGAGGUGCGGACACUUUCGGUGCGGCAGACUGAGCUUCAGCAGGAGCAGCAGCAGCAGCUCAUUCAUGGACAGCGCCUCCUCUUUGAGCACUUCGGCAUUCCAUAUCCGUUUCCACCUCCUUCACCUCCAUCCUCACCACCUGAGUAGUAUCUUAUACUUGUACUUGGACACACCUACAUUUCAUUUACUGCAUUAUGUGUUCUUUUAUUUUCGACUCUAUGGAUCGUUAUUAUGCUUUUCGGUUUAUGUAUUUGUUUUGGAUGAUAUGGAUUUGUUGUGACUAUUUAUGUUGGAUGUUAUGGAUUUGUUUUUGAGUGAUUAUUAUGGAUUAUCUGGAUUUUCUUAUGCUUAUGGAUAUUUUUUUUUACUAAUGUGCUUAUGUUGCGAUUUUGAUGAUUGAUAGGGGGAGCCUUUUAUUCUUUUUGAUGAUGAAGGGGGAGAAUGAUUUAAUAUGUGUUAUGAAAAUAUGCAUGUAUCUAGGGGGAGCAUGUAUGCAAGGGGAGUUUUUGUUAAACCAUUUUCAAAUCAUUUUUUAACUUGCAUUGAUUAAGGGGGAGCUUUUUCAUAACAAGAUUAAAGUUUUGAAUGUGUUUUGUCAUCAUCAAAAAGGGGGAGAUUGUUAGCCUAAAUGGCCAUAAAUAUUGAUUUUGAUGAUAACAAACCACAUGUAUUUAUUAAGUAAAGAUUUAUGAAUUGUGCUUUUAUAAUAAGAAAAUGAUGUUAUGGAAUUAAAGCAUUUUGGACUAAAAUGAAAGUAAUUUCAAAAUCUUUGAUAGUGUUUUAAAUUUCGGAUUUGGACCUAUUUAAAACUAUUUAAAUGUUUUUGGGUCAUUUUAUAAUUUCACAAAGUUUGGGCGAAAUCAUAAUUUCAAAAAGUUUUGGGAUUAACGAAGCAUUAGUUAGAAAUUCUGAAAUUGGACCUAUUUGCAAAGUUUCAUAACGUUUUGGGUCAUACUAUAGUUUUAUAAAGUUUUGGGGUCAAACUGAAAAUUUAAGAAAAAUUUCACUUAGCAGGUUACUGUAGCAUCCGGCUUACCGGUUAUAAAAAUCGGAAAAUCGAAUUCGGGGCAGAAUGUAUCCAGAACUAAAACGGCUUACCGGAUUUCGAAUCCGGCAAGCCGGUUAGGCAAAAUUCAAUUUUGCCUUAACGAUAACAUAAAUCCAGCUUACCGGAUUCCAUAAACGGCAAACCAGAUACGCCUGGAAUGUGAGUAACGGCUAGUUUUUUAGCUCAAACUAUAAGAACUCAAAUCCAACUCAUUUUGAAGCUCUCCAACAAGCAAAAACAAAAAGCACACGAGAUAUCUUGAGCCUUCAAACUUGCAAACUACAUACAUUGAAUCAUUCAUUGUUCUUCAUCUUUGAAUAUCUACUCAUUGAGUGAGUUUCAUUGUAACUUUCAUUUCUUCAUUUCAAUUGUAAGAAUUUGAGUGUGUGAGACACUUGAGUGAAGAGAUUGGGAGAUAAUUUCUUCGUUGUGAAGGUUUAUUGACACCUCGAAGUCAAUUGUAAUCUGUUGAAGCCUCGGAAAGGCUUGGAUAGUGAAAUCCUCAAGCUUGGAUUGCUUGGAGGCGUGGACGUAGGCGGGGAUUGCCGAACCACGUAAAAAUCCGUGUGUUUGUUUCUCUUCUCCCUUACUCUUUAAUUAUUGUGCCUUUAUUAAACUUAUUGCUUUCAAUUUUUAUUAAGGCAUUAGAUUGUUUGUUGUGUGGAUUUGCUAGGAUAAUUUUUAAAUUUCCAAUUCACCCCCCCUCUUGGGUUGCACACUUAUAUUUCACACAUCCCCAUGAAUAAAUAGAAAACACGAAAAUAAGAGAAGGAUGAGAAGGAUUAAGCUCUCAAUUGAUCUCUACAAUUUUUCCUCUUGUGUAGCCUUCAAUCUCUCUCUUGAAUCUUGUUUUUCUUUUGUUUCUUUGUGUUUUUCUCCUUGGGUGACGGCCCUCCCCCAUCCUUAUGAUGUGUGCUUCUUUUAUAGUUAAAAAUUAGGGUAAACGGAAGCCUAGGGCGUGCAUAAGUCAGAUUAGGAAACUGCAGAUCGCAAUUCUACAAGUAUCCCGCAUGGAAAUUUCGCUGUCGUUGUUCCAGGAUUGCUACAGCAAUGGCUACAACAACGGCUACAGCAACUGCACUGUUCCAUAUUUGUUUCAAUUCUUUUAUAGCCUUGUUCUUCCUCCUUUUUGCCAGCCUAUUGCAUCAGCAUUCCUUCUAUGAAUUAUAAGCUUCUGGAAACCUACAAUUAUGCACACAAUUUGAGCACGAAUUACUUUAAAUCAAGCAAAACUUAUUAAAACUAAACUAAAAUGAAUGUUUAUGCAAAAUGUAACAAAAAUGCAAUAAAAACACAUCAUUUACUCUCUAAGUAAUAUUAAUUUAAGUCUAAAAGUGCUAUGAUAACUCUCAUUUUAUAGAGUUAUCACACCCCCAAACUUAAACUAUUACUUGUCCUCAAGUAAUGACAACAACGCUAACACUUCAAUCACGCAAUCAUGCAACAAAUAACUUAGCUCUGUCAUCAAAUUUGCAAGAAUUCUUCCACCCUCAGAUCACACUCUGAAUCACGCAAAAUAGCCUUAGCCGUUUAGUCCUAGACUUAGGCUUUAUUAUGUCCAAAGUGUGUGUGUGCCACUUUGAUCAAAUUCCAGAGGUGCUACAACAUUACAGAGACAUUGCAUAUAAUUCAAAGGUAGAACACAAAUAUAUUCACAUAUGGGGGAGCAGAAAUCACAAAUAUACUCAAACUGUGCUACAACAAUAAUAAAAAUUUUUUUUCAGUUAAACCCUUCAAUGCAACAUUGAGCUUUCAUGUGAAUGCCUAUCACUUGUAAUGACGACACCCAAAUUACUCAUUCAAAGUACAUGUCAGAGUUGCUACAGCAACGCAUUCAGGAUGUUAUAUCUAGGUCAUACCUUUGGAUACCUUUGACUCAAGGCUGAACAUGGGGCUCAUGAACAAGCCAGGUUACUCAAUAUCCUAGGUAGCGGACCUCUUUAUCAGCAUUUUUUUUUUUGCUUUUCUUCUUCUUUUUUUUCUCUUUUUUUUUUAUAAUUGCUGCAGCACUGCUCGUAGCUCGUGUUGCCUUUGGACUCAAGUUUGCAUAUGGGGUGCAUACUCAACCCUGGUUACUCAACAACUUAAACCAUUGGAGCUGAAUUUAUUUCAUAACAGGCACAAUCCAACAAAGAUUUUCCCCCAAACUUGAGAUAUUUUCUACUCUUUUUUUUGUUUUCCUGGCUCUGCUACCGCAUUCUCAUAAAACUCAACCAAAGUCUAAGUGUUGGGACAGAAGUUCAACCUCCAUCUAUAAUUAUCUCUACUUGGCUUUCUCAUAAAUACUGAAUAACACUCAAUUUAUCUUCAUUAGGUUUUCAAAUCCAUACACAAAUAUGAGAUAACAGAGCUUCACACAACACAAGCAUAAACACAUGCACUCAGAAACACAACCCCCCCAAACUUAAGUGGUGUUGUGUCCUCACAAGCACACGAAACAAAACCACAUGAACCGGACAUGCAUACACUAAAUAAAAGGACAUGCAGAAUGAAUUAGAAAAUAAAAACUAAAUGAAAGAAAAAUUUUACAGAAAGAAGUAAAAUAAACUAGCGGGUAAGGGUACUCCCCUGUUGCUGGAAGCACUGCUACAACAUAGGCUGUAAAGGGUCACUUUUCCUUUGAUAUAUUUCUCAAACGCUCCUUAUUAUAAAAUCUUAUCAAUCCAUUUGCUGCUGCAAAAGCAAGAAAUGCCUAUGUUGUUUGAGAAUCUUCUGUUAUGUCAUGCUGUAAGUGAUGCUGCAGCAAUUCCCUCCUGCUCUUUUUGCCAACAUAUUUUUUUUUUUACUUGCUGCAAUGUAACAUAAAGACAUAAAAAAUUAGAUGCACACUUAAAAUAAAAAAAAAGACAAAUUAAAUAAUUUAAAAGCUAAAUUCAAUGCCAUAAAAACUUGAAACAACUUCCCUUAUUGGGUUGCCUCCCAAUUAGCGCUUGAUUUUAGGUUUUUCAGCCUGACCUUUCUUCUUUUCUCAAUCUGGAUCCUUCAAGAACCGAUCCUUCUUUAGGUUGUUCACAUCAUCUCCCAUAUAGUGCUUCACUCUCGGCCCAUUAACCUUGAAUUCUUGUUGUCUGGAGUGAGUUCCCUUUGCUGGAUUUGCUCAUCAAUUCUGAAAGGUUGCUUCUCCCCUAACCAUGCUAUGUUAGCUGCUCCAUGAUCUUCAUCAUCAAGUUCUUCAAAUGUUACAACAUUGAUUUCUUCCUUACUGCAGCAACUGUGUAAUCUCUCUGCUAUAACAAAGUCCACAACACUGAUAAAAUUACAAUCUUCAAUCUCAUCAGGACUUUUCAUGGCAUCCAGCACAUUGAAUGUAACUUGCUGUUCAUUCACCCUCAUGGUUAAUUCUCUUUUUGAACAUCAAUUAAAGUCUUUCCCGUGGUUAAGAAAGGUAUUCUUAGAAUGAUUGGCACUUCUUUGUCUGCCUCAAAGUCUAGCACAAUGAAAUCUAUCGGAAAAAUAAAUUUAUCCACCUUCACCAAUACAUCUUCAAUCUUCCCUUCUGGAUAGGCAUGAGAUCUGUCAACAAAUUGUAAAGACAUUGUUGUUAGUCUACAUUCACCAACUCCCAAUUGCUUAAACACUGAUAAAGGCAUGAGAUUGAUGUUAGCCCCCAAAUCACAAUGUGCCUUGCCACUGUAUUUAGUGCCUAUGGAGCAUGGAAUUGUGAAGCUUUCUGGAUCCUUCAUCUUCUGUUGUAUCUUACUCUGAAGCAUUCGGCUGCACUCUUGUGUUAGAGCAACUAUCUCAAAUUCUUCAAGUCUUCUUUUCUUUGUCAAGAUAUCCUUAAAUUUUUUUGCAUAAUUUGGUAUUUGCUCUAGAGCUUCCACAAAAGGGAUAUUGAUAUGUAGCUGUUUCAGCACUCCCAAAAUUUUGCUGAACUGCUUGUCUUGUUUUUACUUUUGAAACCUUUGAGGAAAGAGUGGUGGAUGUCUAAAUUGUUGUGCUGCCGCAGGUUGUGCAUACUGCUUCUCUUUUGCUCUACUCAGGGCUGUUGUUGUUGCUGCUGUAGCUUCCUCACCACCAGGUGCUGGAUCAUAACUUUCUGCAGAUACUGUAGCAGAACUGUAUUGAUUUGCAUUCUGAAAAGCGAAAGACUGUGACUCAUUUUCUACUUGAGUGUCUUCUUGGCCUUGGGUGGACUCAAUUCUUCUUUUUGGUACACCAACGGGACUAUAAACAUCCUUUUCAGAUCUCAAGUUAAUCACUUUGCAGUGCUCUUUCCCUUCUCUUCUUAGGUCCUCUGUAUUACUGGGUAAACUACCUUGAGGUCUGUUGCUCAAUGCUGUAGCAAGUUGUCCAAUUUGAUUUUCCAAGUUUCUCAAAGAUACAGUAUGACGUUGGACAACUGCUUCAUUCUUCACAAUAUAAUCCAUAAUCAAACCUUUAAGGGAGCUAAGUUGAUCAUUGUUGAUACUUCUUUGCUCUUGAUUUUGCUGAUAAAAUCCAAGUGGUUGAGCAAGUCUGUUCUGUCCACUGAGUGCUGCAGUGGUCUGGUUCUGAUAACUCCAUGAAAAGUUUGGGUGCUGUCUCUAUCCAGGGUUAUGAGUGUUUGAAUAUGGAUUGUCCUGGUUCUGUCUAUUGAAGCUGCCCAUAUAGUUAACCGAAGCUGGAUUACCAGGACAAUUGUCAAAUACAUGCCCUUCUCUACAAUAAACGCAAGACAUAUCAGAUAUUUGGUUAACAGUUGCUGGAGCAGUAGUCAUAGCCUUUACCAUCUUUGUUAAUGAAGUUACUUGGGCUGACAAUGCUGUCAAGGCAUCUACGUUAUAAACUUAUGUUGUUCCUCUUGCUGCAACUUGUCUGGUUGAUGGCCACUGAUAGUUAUUGUUGGUUAUCCUCUCCAAAAUGUCAUAAGCCUCAUUGUAAGACUUAGAUAACAAGGCCCCAUUUGCUGAAGCGUCCACCAUCAAUCUAGUGCUUUGGUUGAGACCACUAUAGAAAGUUUCCAACUGUACGCAACAAGGAAUACCAUGAUGAGGACAUCUCCUGAGUAACUCCUUAAAUCUCUCCCAUGCAUCACACAAGCUCUCAUCUUCAAAUUGAUGGAAAGAUGUGAUCUCGUUCCUCAACUUUGCAUUCUUGGUUGGCGGGAAGUAUUUCAUCAAAAAUUUGUCAGCCAAAUCAUUCCAUGUAGUGAUAGAAUCUGGUGGUAGAGAAUUCAACCAUGCUCUUACUUGAUCUCUCAAAGAAAACGGGAAAAGUCUGAGUCUCAAUGCUUCUUGUGAUGCUCCAGCAAUCUUGAAAGCAUCACUCACUUCCAGAAAUAGCUUAAGGUGUAGAUGAGGAUCUUUAGAUAGCAAACCAUUAAAUUGCCCCACUGUUUAAAGCAUCUGAAACAUCACGGGUUUGAGUUCAAAAUUGUCAGCUUGAACGUCGGGUCUAACUACUCCCGGAUGUAUGGCUUGGGGAGUCAACACUGCGUAGUCUCGAAUGGCUCUAUCUCUAUCGUUCGCCAUGUGAAUAAUGUUGUUGUUCCCUGGUUGCCUUUGAACACAUUGUCCAUUCAAACCAUCAUGUACAUUGACAGGUUGUAUCCCCUCUCUACGGUUUAAGUUUCUCAAAUCUUACAAAUCAUCCAUUGCUACAGUAGCUUGUAAUUCCCGAUACUCUCUUCUCAAUCUCCUUGCAGUUCUUUCAAUUUCUGGAUCAAACUGGAAGUCAACAUAUUUAUAUUUGCGCAUGCAAGGGUUGCUAGAUCACCUAUGUUAAUAAAAUAAACAAAUUAAAAUAAAAUAAAAAAUUAGCACCGUUAAAACUAAUUUUAUAAAUCACAUUGAACAAUCGAUCCCCAGCAACGGCGCCCAAAACUUGUUGGGUAUAAAUACUAAUGAUAUUGGUGUCAAUGUGCAAGUGUACACAGCAAAUAAUAAAGUGAUGAGUAUUCAAGAUCGUCUCCACAGGGAUUGAUGUUAUCAGAUUUGCUACAGCAAUCUUAAUAGUGCAGAUUUUGUGCUAAAAUAAAAUAAAACACUUAGUGAAACUGUUAUACUAAUUAAAAUAAAAACGUAAUAAAUAAAAUGCAACAAAGUAAAUUAUCACGUCAAUCUCAAUGAUAAAAUCAAUGGGAAUAUAAAGUAGUUGAGUUAAUAAACUCUCCUAAUGGUCUUGAUUAUUUUCUAAUGGUUGGCUCGGUUGCUGCAGUAUCUGCUAUAGCACUGGGCAGAAUCCUUAUGUAUCAUCAGCCGUCGUAUGUUGGAUAUCUUAUAUCUAUAUGCAACCUAACAGUGAUCAGUUGUUAUGCUCACAUAAGAUAUAUCAUUACACGCUUAGGUACUAUUUACCCUACAAGGUGAAUUCCUAUGUCUAGUUCAUCACUAAUUUUAGAUUAAGCAUGGCCCUUUUGGAAUAAGUUAAACUCAAUCCAAGAAACUCAAUCUAAAACCAAGUAUUGCUCUGAUAUGUUCCACUAUGAUAGGCCUUUUUGCGGCUCUCUCCUAACUUGUAUCAUUAAAUGGGUGAUCAACCGAAAUAAUGAAUAAAAAUAAAUACUAUCAAAACAAACUGCUACAGCAAACAUGCAGCAACACAUAUAUUUAGUCAAUAAAUCAUCAAGAUUAUUUAUCACUCAACCACAAAUAAAUUUAGUUUAUGAUUUGCAAAAGAAAAAUAAAGAACAAAGUUUUAGCCAUGAAACACAUCCCCAUGAAUAAAUAGAAAACACGAAAACAAGAGAAUGAUAAGAAGGAUUGAGCUCCCAAUUGAUCUCUGCAAUUUUUCCUUUUGUGUAGCCUUCAAUCUCUCUCUUGAAUCUUGUUUUUCUUUUGUUUCUUUGUGUUUUUCUCCUUGGGUGACGGCCCUCCCCCAUCCUUAUGAUGUGUGCUUCUUUUAUAGUUGAAAAUUAGGAUAAACGGAAGCCUAAGGCGCGCAUAAGUCAGAUUAAGAAACUGCAGAUCACAAUUCUGUAAGUAUCCCGCACGAAAUAUUCUGUGUCGUUGUUCCAGGAUUGCUACAGCAACAGCUACAGCAACUUCAUUGUUCCAGAUUUAUUUCAAUUCUUUUAUAGCCAUGUUCUUCCUCCUUUUUGCUAGCCUAUUGCAUCAGUAUUCCUUCCAUGAAUUAUAAGCUUCUGGAAACCUACAAUUAUGCACACAAUUUGAGCACGAAUUACUUUAAAUCAAGCAAAACUUAUUAAGACUAAACUAAAAUGAAUGUUUAUGCAAAAUAUAACAAAAAUGCAAUAAAAACAUAUCAUUUACUCUCUAAGUAAUAUUAAUUUAAGUCUAAAAGUUCUAUGAUAACUCUCAUUUCAUAAAGUUAUCAGAAUUCAUGUCUACACUUACUAAACCCAAUUAUCCAUUGGAUUAUUUACUUUCAUUUUGAGACAUGAUAAAUAAUUUUCAUUAUCUUUUUGGGGCUAAAUUUGUUAACAGAGUUUCGUUGGGAAGGCUAAUAAUAAAUAUUUAGUUGAGUGUAUAACCAUUGUUUCAAUCUACGUAUUUUUUAUAUCAAUAGUCACCAUUGGGGUGAUCAAUUGAUUAAAAAAUAUUUCAAUUUUAUCUUUGAAGAAGUUCAUCAAAUAAAAUGUCUAAUAUAUAUACCCCCCGAAGGGAGCAUCGCCGUAUCAUGAAGUUAAGGUAUAUAUAUAAUUUUAUUAUUAAACUAACAAUAAAGCCCGUGGGAAAAAUUAUCUUGAUUUUUCCCUCUCCCACUUAAUAUUUUAAAAUUGGUUUUUCCAUUUUAAAAUAUACAUUAAUUAUAUAUUGUUAAUUGCAUGCUUCGUAUAAUAUUAUUUAGAUGAUAUCCAAUAUUAUUAAGCAUAUGCAAAUUUCAAACAAUAUAAUGAAAUUCAUAAUUAAUGAAUGACAUGUAUCAUUAUGCAUAAAGUGACACUACCUAUUUUAUAUGACAUGUUAUCAUGGCAUGAUAUCAUCCAAAACAUAAGAUAUAGAAAAUUAAUUAAAUAAUCUUAAUUCAUGACUUUUCUAAAAUGAAAAAAUACAUUAACCCUAAACCUAAUCUUCAUUGGGCUUCUUGUCAAUGUCCAUCUUUCAUAGCCUUGUAUUUGUUAAUGGACUAAGAUAAAUUAGACUUUUAAAUUUAUUAUUGGUCCAAUUUUAAUUUAGAAAGAAAAUAAAUAAAUAAUUUUUUUAAAUAAGACUUUUAAAUCAAAAAAUAAAUUUAAUGUGAUAAAUUUUAUCUAUGUAUUUUAAUCUAUUAAGCCUAAUUUCAAUUGGGCCUAAAACUAAGGCUCAUUGGGCAUAUAACUGUUUUUAGACUUAAAUACAUAAAUAAAAAAUAUUUCUGUCAAAAAAAAAACUACAAAACUAUAGGGAUCUCAAUAAUAAAAACCAUGAAACCCUAAAAUCCAUAUAUUUCUUUCCCUUUCUUCUCCAGCCGCCAUCAAUGCAAAGCUCAGCCGCUGUUCACCAUAGACCAGCCACUGUUCAGAGACGCCACCCAUCUCCGUCGCCGAGUUUACUGCCGCCGUCACACCGAAAACCAACCGAACCCGCGUUUCAAUGUUUUAAUUAUUAUUUUGUUAGUUAAAUUACAUUUUUCUUUAUUUAGAUGUCGUUAAUUCAUGUUUAUGGAAUCAAAAUAACUAAUAAGUUUUAAAAUUUUACUCUUUUUUUUUUUUUAACAGCCUUUCUUUUCCCAAGUCUUCAACUCGAGGAACCUCGCUCCAGCUAAAGGACCCUCAUGAAGAACCUCCCAGGAACUCAAAGCAACCCCUUUCUAUCUUCCUUUUGUGUGAUCUAGUGUGCGAGGCGUGUCACGCUCUUACUGGGGGGUGGUAGGCCCUACAGCAGAUUUCUCCAAUGAAAGCUUACCGCACGUGCCGUCGUAUCAUGACCUAGCCGACGGUGCACGCUAAAUCAAGCUCCAGUUUCUACAUUGUAAUCUACUUUCCAUCAAAGCUAAAGAUGAGCUGGAAAAAAAUGUUGCUGCAAUAUGGAAGUGGAUGGACACUUUUAACAUUUUGAAAUGAAAAAAUACUUGCGUCGUCUUUAGUAAAAAAUGAAAAAAUAUUAUUAUUCUUGUACCAAAAUAUUGCAAUUUUGAUGUUUAUCUGUUUUAUUUUUUAUUACUUUGUAUUUACAGGGAAUGACGCACCAUAUCGAAUUUGGAGAAGGAAUUGUGUGGAACAAUCCAAUGGUUAAAAAAGGAAAGGCUCAAAAUUUUAUUUGGAAAAAUCAAAAGGAUCACGGCAUGUCACAUGUGUGAUUGACUGGAACACCACAAAUAUUACAAAAAAUUCAAACUAACUUUUAGAGUCCCUCACCACAAGGGCAAAGAAAGUUGACAACGUGUUGACCAGGGUAGAAGACUUAGAAAGUUAACAACGGGAGUUCAAGAAAUAGGGUUUGUUUCACGCACUUUUAUUCUCAUAAAUUGAAGUGAAUCCGAUCUCAAAACAAUUAUUAGAAAAUUUUCUUUCCUGUUUUAUGAAUGGCGAUACUUCCAUGCUUUAGCAUCUUUUGCUCUUUGAUCUUGUCGUUGAGCGUGAAGGUUUCAUUAGCAGCUGAUACAGUGACUCCAGCAUCCUUCAUCCGUGAUGGUGAGAAGUUAGUUUCAUUUUCUCAAAGGUUUGAGCUAGGCUUCUUCUCCCCUGGAAAAUCAAAGAGCAGGUACCUGGGAAUAUGGUUCCGGCAGGUCCCUGAUACAGUUGUGUGGGUUGCAAAUAGAGAUAGGCCUAUCUCCGAUCAUAACGCAGUAUUAACCAUUAGCAACAAGGGAAAUCUUGUUCUUCUCAACCAAACAAAUGGCACUAUCUGGUCUACAAACGUGUUUAGCGAAGUAAAAAAUCCAGUGGCACAACUCAGAGAUGAUGGAAACCUUGUUAUAAGGGAUAACUCCAGCGGUAAUACUACUGAAAGCUACUUGUGGCAGAGCUUCGAUUACCCAACAGACACUCUGUUGCAAGGCAUGAAGAUGGGCUGGGACUUAAAGAAUCGUCUGGAACGAUAUUUAUCAUCAUGGCAAAGUGAUGACGAUCCAUCUCCUGGGAAAUUCACUAGCAGACUUGAAAUUCAGGUGCUUACUAAAAUGUGUAUUUUCAAUGGAUCAGUAAAAUUUACCUGUUCCGGACAAUGGAAUGAUCAAGCUGGUUUUGUAUCUGCUAUUUCAUAUACAAACUUUCUUUAUAAACAAUUUUUGGUGGAAAAUCAAGACGAAAUUAGUUACUGGUAUGAGCCCUACAACCGUCCAAGCAUAAUGACUUUAAAACUCAACCCCUCAGGUCUACUCACACGUCAAAUAUGGAACGAGAACAGCAAUGAUUGGGACCUGGUGUUCUCAUUUCCAGAUGAAUAUUGUGGUAAAUAUGGGUACUGUGGUGCUAAUACUAUUUGCAGCCCCGACCAGAAACCUAUAUGUGAGUGCUUGGAGGGAUUCAAACUCAAAUCAAAAGUCAACCAGACAGGGCCUAUAAAAUGCGAGAGAAGUCAUUCUUCAGAAUGCAUAGGGGGACACCAGUUUAAAAGGCUUGAUAACAUUAGAGCGCCAGACUUCAUAGAGGUUUUUCUCAACAAGAGUAUGAAUCUGCAGCAAUGCGCGGCUGAAUGCUUGAAAAACUGCACUUGUAGAGCUUAUGCUAAUUCCAAUGUAACAGAAGGCAGCGGCUGUUUAAUGUGGUUUGGGGACCUGCUUGAUGCCAGUAGGCCAAGAAGAAACUUCACCGGACAGUCUGUCUACCUACGAGUACCCGCUUCAGAACCAGGCACAAUUUUUGCUUUCCUGAAAUUGAUGUUGUAAAAAUUUUUCAAGUUGAAUCAAAAUGUAUUUAAGCCAACAUGUUUGAGGAAUUAAAUGUUAGAGAAACAGAUGAACAAAACUAAAACUAGGGGUGAUUUAAGUAAUUUAAUUUAUUUGGCUCAGCUACCUAGGAUUUUAUUUACUUUCUAUUGAAUUUCUUUGACAACAUAUAUGUGUCUGGAUGUAGGAAAAAGGAAGCUACUCUGGAUACUUGUAAUACUUGUUCUGCCACUGGUACUUCUUCCUUCCUUUUACAUAUUUUGUCGACGGAGGAGAAACUGCAAAGAGAAAGGUAAUUUUUUUCAUAUCACUCACUGGUAUGUUGUAUGAUAUGGCAUGUGAUAGAAGAAGUAUACUCAGUUUUAAAAGUUGUCGUCUUACAGAAACAGAGAAUAUGGAAACAAACCAGGAUCUGCUGGCAUUUGACAUAAAUAUGGGCAUUACAACAAGAACAAAUGAAUUCAGUGAAGCAAAUGGAGACGGCAAAGAUAAGGGCAGGGAUUCUUGGUUGCCAUUAUUCAGCUUGGCCAGCGUGGCUGCUGCUACUGAAAACUUUUCUAUGCAAUGUAAGCUUGGAGAAGGUGGUUUUGGCUCUGUUUACAAGGUAGAAUUGUUGAUACCUGAAAUGUCCUUAGUGAAGUACUGCUGGUGUAAAACAUUAACAAUAUUUAGAAUGCAGGGUCGAUUACUUAAUGGACAAGAAGUUGCAGUUAAAAGGCUCUCAAGUCAGUCAGGGCAAGGACUCAAAGAGUUUAAAAAUGAGAUAAUGCUUAUAGCAAAACUUCAACACAGGAACCUUGUUAGACUUUUGGGUUGCUGUGUAGAGCAUGGCGAAAAGAUUUUGAUCCUCGAGUACAUGCCUAACAAAAGCUUGGAUGUUUUCCUUUUUGGUAUGUGAUUUAUAUUCCCAAGAAUUUACAUUUUCAUUACUUUGCAAUGCUAUGUCAGAUUUUAUCAUCAGCAUUUUUUUUAAACUUGUAUCAUUUUGGUAUUACAACAGAUCCAACCAAAAAGCACCUCUUAGGUUGGCAAGCACGUGUUAGAAUUAUUCAAGGAAUUGCUCAAGGGUUAUUAUAUCUUCAUCAGUAUUCUAGAUUUAGAAUUAUUCACAGAGAUCUUAAAGCUAGUAAUGUUCUCUUAGACAGGGACAUAAACCCCAAAAUCUCAGAUUUUGGCCUAGCAAGAAUGUUUGGUGGUGAUGAAUUGCAGGGAAAUACUAAACAGAUUGUUGGAACCUAGUAAGUAAAUUUCUAUUGCCGAAAAAUGUUGUUUGCUUGUCGCGUUUUCUUAUAUUAUUUAAUAUUUGUCAAAACAAUGAAAUUUCAGUGGUUACAUGUCACCUGAGUAUGCCCUGGAUGGUCUCUUCUCUAUAAAAUCAGAUGUGUUUAGCUUUGGAAUUUUGAUGUUGGAAACGUUGAGUGGCAAGAAAAACACAGGCGUCUACAAUGCUGAUUCCUUUAAUCUUCUCGGCUAUGUAAGUAACAAGUCGUUUCACUUUUAUUUAAUCUUUAGUGAAUGAAUUUCGGAAGUUAAGAAUUGCCCCUGUCAAUUAAACUAAUAUGAUCUUGACUUCCUUUAGGCUUGGGAUCUAUGGAAAGAUGAUAAGUUUCAUGAACUAAUAGAUCCAGUAAUAUUGCAAGAUGAAAUAUCGUUGCCAAUGCUGGUGAGAUACAUUAAUGUAGCUCUUCUAUGUGUUCAAGAAAAUGCAGCGGACAGACCAACCAUGUCAGAUAUUGUCUCAAUAAUUAACAAUGAACAUCUUGAAUUACCUUCACCCAAGGAACCUGCUUUUACCAAAGGUAUAAAUGUGAAGAAUUCAUCUCAUUCAAAUAGUGGGGUGUCUGAGCUUUGUUCAGUGAAUGAUGUAACUGUUUCACUGGUUUAUCCUCGAUAGACAUCAAUCUUCCACAACUGUUUAAUGUGCUAUAAUUUGUAUAUUUAUAGCUAAAUGUUUUUUAAGUUGAUGAUUCUAAACUACCUGCAUUGUUUAAUGGAAAUGUCACGUCAUAUUAAAAUUUAAAAUUAAUAAAUUAAUAAUAUUGGGACCAUGAAAAAUCUUUUAAUUUAGUGAAUAUUAAUAUAUCAAUACAUUAAUAAUUAUUAUUUUAUAAAAAUAAUAUCACGUUAAUUUUUAUGGAGAAUAGAGGUAGUAUAAUUAAGGAAUUUUGGUAGCUUUUGUGUUUUUAUUUGAAAUUUGAAUGAGUUUGAAUGCUAUUGAAGUUUGAAUAAGUUUUAAAUACCUGUAUUUUGAAUGAUAUGUUAAUUUUUAUUUUUAUUUUUUUGAUGUUUGAUUGUAAGUCAUAAAUUAUUUGUUUUAUAAACUCAACAAAUCUUAAAUUUAGUAUUUUUACAUUUAUACUCUUAAAAGAGUUAAUGAAAAUGCAACAAAGAUUAAUGAAAAUUAUGUCGGGACAAUAAAGAAAAUCAUAAAGAUAUGAUAUGUAUUUAGUUUCAAAUUUGUUAAUUAUUAAUUUAUGUAUUAAUUGGGUCCUAUAGAAAAAUAAGAUUUUUUAAAAAUUUUAUUAUCAAAUUGUUAAUUUAUCACAUUGACCUCAAGUUAGGAUAGACAAAAUUUAUUAUUUAAUGAAAGUUAACAAAAUAUUAACUUAAGAUCUCAUUAACUUUGUACCCUAAUUGCCCUGCUCUUUUUUUUAGAUUUGAAGCCAAAUUGUCCAUAGUUUAAUACAGUUAACAAUCAUUCUUUACGCUAUGUCAGUUUUCCAAAGAAACAUUUUGGAUUUUGCCCUAUAUAUAUAUAUAUAUAUAGAGAGAGAGAGAGAGAGAGAGAGAGAGAGAGAGAGAGAGAGAGAGAGAGAGAGAGAGAGAGAGAGAGAGAGAGAGAGUUGUGAAAAAUCCAAUAGGGAUGGCAAAAAUCUCCACUGGGACGGGAACCCUUAAGGAUUUUUCUAAUUUGGAGAGGGUAUGAGAAUGAUUUUAUACCCAAUUUCUUAUUCAGGGAAAGGACAUGAAUGAUUUUUCACCUAAUUUAUUUUUGAGACAUGGACGGGGAUGAGCAAGAAUUAGGCAUGGAAAUAAAAUCUGGAUCCAGCCCGCAUCCGCAAGGAUCUGAAAGAUUCGGAUCCGAAAAAAUACGAAUCUAUAUAUUAAAAAAUAGAUAUUUUAGAAAUUUGAGAUCCGCAUAGAUCUGGACUUGCAUCAGGAAAACCGAAUAUCUGGAUAUGGUAAAUUUUAUUUUAAAUUAAAAAAAUUAAAUUAAAAAUUAAAAAUUAAAUUUAUUUGAGGAUUUAUGAUGAUGUUGUAUAUUAUUCAUGUUGAAUUACUAAUUGUUGAAUUAUGAUUGAAUUUUAUUUGAUAUUAUUAGGUAAAUUAUUGAAUUUUAACUUAAAUUAAAAAUUAAAUUAAAAAUAUAAACUAAAAAUUGAAAAUUAAAUUUUAUUUGUGAAUAUAAGAUAUUGUUGUAUGUUAUUCUUGUUGAAUUAUUAAUUGUUGACUUAUAAUUGAAUUUUAUUUGAUAUUAUUAGGUAAAUUAUUGAAUUUUUAAAUUAUAUAUUAAAUUAUUGAAUUUUGAUUUUCGCGGAUCCGAUAUCUGGAAUAUUAACACGCAUCCGUUGCGGAUAUUACCCGCAUCCAGAUCCGCAUUUUUUUUAUGGACCUAGAUAUGGAUCUAGAUAGAGAAAUGUAAAUGUGUAUCCAGAUCCGGAUGCACCCACAUCCGAAUUUGGAUUCAGAUUUUGCCAACCUUAGCUAGAAUGCCCAUCCCCUCCUCAAUUCCCCAUUUCCCUAUUUUAAUUUUUAAUUUUAAUUUUAAUUUUUUAAAAUAUUAAUGAAUAAAUAAUAAAAUUUAAUUCAUAAAAUAUUAAUAUAUUAGUAUAAAUAACAAAUAUUAAAAUAUUUAUACAAAUAUUAAUUUGUACCUAUGUUUAUUAAAAUAUUGUAACGGAAUGUGUUUAAGCAAUAGACGAGGUGUCAUUAUUUUACUUUUGCCGUCCCAUAUUCUGCUUCCGCUGUCUCACUAAGGUGACGUUUAGUUUUUAACUUAAUGACUUAAAGUGACUUAACUUAAUUAUUUAAGUUAAUUAGAGGUGUUUGUUUUUAUAACUUAAUGAGACUUUUUAGAUAAUUUUGACUUAAUAAAAUAAGCCAAUUUUUUUGGCUUUUUACUUAAUGGAGAAAUCUGAAUUAAGUCAAUUACUUGCUAAUCUAAAAAAUAUCCCUGUUUUAUAAUUUAUUUUUCAUGUCUAUCCCAAAACUCACCCAUAGACAUUUACCCCACAUAAAAAUUUCCCUAUUUUUUCUUUCUUAUAUUAUAUAUGAUAAAAUUUAAAAUUUAUGGUAUUUUAUAUAUUCACUUGAAUAUAGUUUUACUUAUAAAUGUUAAAAUAUUGUGGUAUUUAAUUUAUUAUUUAUUUGACAUUCAAAUUUAAUAAGGAUACAAAUGUAAAAGUACAUAUUUUCAGCUUUUUAAGUUGAAAAAAACAAACAACUUAAUACUUAUUUUCUGAGAUUCAAACAAAAAAAUAAACAUAUUAUUUAGAUUCAGACAUUCAGAUCUAUUCAGAAUUUAGAUUAAUUCAGGUCUAUUCAGAUUUCAGAUAAAAAAACAAACGCCACCUAAGUCAUAAAACAAUUUCAGUGAAUAUAAGGGCCCUAAUUAAAAUUUUACCUUUAAGAAACCUUUCAGCCUCUAACAAAGCAAAGUAUGGACUGUAAUGGAAACUUCCUCGAGUUGACUCAUACAACAAAGGUGGCUCUAGAUCGCUUUAAAUCCAUCUCAAACACCAACACUUUGGAGAAGACUAUGGUAUGGCCAACUUGUUUGUCGUUUGCAAUAAAGAAACAUAAUUAAUUUUUAACAGCCUUUCGAAAUGGCAUGUGACUGCAAUUGAAGAAAGAUAUCCAUCACUUUCAGUGAUUAAAAUUUAGCAGUUGUAGAUUGGUAAGCCCUAUUUGCAAUUGAGAUUGGACAAUUGUAACUUAAAAGGUACGGCUCUAAAGUAUUAGUUAAACAUUAAUUAGGAUAUAACUCAGCGGUAGAGUGACACCUUGACGUGGUGGAAGUCAUCAGUUCGAGCCAGAUUAUCCCUAAACCCAAUAGGAGUUGUGAGUUUUUCUAUUUUGACUUGCCACCACCAUGAUCAAAUAAGAAUGGGAAUGGAUAAGAGGCUUGUGGGAUUGACGUGAAGGGGUAGGGCUGGCUAUAUUUCUAGGAGCGAACUCCAGGCGAAUAUGAAACGCAUGGAUACAAGUUAUGCCUUGGAAUGAAAGACAAUUCCGAAUCAGCUUUGUUUACGAACAAGAAAGCUAAUAGUAGUAACUCAGUACCAAACAAGCCGUAGUACCAUUGUGUACCCGAAGUAUUGAAGGAAGAGCAAUUACCUAAACCUGAAUGGAAAAAAGUGAAAUAUGCCAAGAAAGCACUAUGCCAUCUCUCGAAUUUAUUGUUCAAAUCCAUGAAAAUGGGUUAGAAAUGGGCUAUUUAUAGCCAAAUCAAGCAAUAAGCACUUGAGCAGUGGGUACUUGAGUCCACAUAUGUGUGUGAUUACAAGAUCAAGUUGUGUGUGCAGGUAAAGAGAGGUGUACGUGAUUGGCGUGUGUGUGCAUACAAAUGAAUCACAUGAGAUGUGCAUGUGGUGGAAAUCCAUUCAGCUUUCGCAGUACUCCCCUUAUUCCUUAGAUAUCCAUCACUUCAUACGAAUUGCAAUUGACCAAAAAUUCAAUGGGACAAAAUCCAAGCAAAAAAAAUAAAAUUACAAUUUCAUAAAGGAAAAUUUACAACCGUCCACCUGUUUGUUUUGUCUUUUUCAAAAAUACACAAACACUUUUUUUUUUUCAGCGCGCCACCUGAAGUUAGUUUUUGGUUGCAUUCGUCCACUUCCGUCUAAUUUCCGUUAGCGAAUUUAACGGAAUGACCUUUUUACCCCUCAAAAUUACAAUUUAACCCAAAAAAAUAGAAAUUGGAGAUAAAUUGGAUGGAUUUAAUUUUUUUCAAAGGUGGAUGCUAGAAAUUGGAGGAAAAUAAUGUUUGUUACUAAAUUUAGAAAAAUUUGUAUUUAUUUUUUUGAAAGAGAAAAAAUAAAUACAAAUUUUCUAAAUUUAGCAAGCAACAAACACUAUUUUCCUCCAAUUUCUAGCAUCCACCUUUGAAAAAAAUUAAAUCCAUCCAAUUUAUCUCCAAUUUUCAUUUAUUUUGUGUUAAAUUGUAAUUUUGAGGGGUAAAACUGUCAUUUCGUUAUCAUUUCGUUAAAUCCACUAACGGAAAUUAGACGAAAGUGGACGAAUGCAACAAAAAGUAAACUUCAGGUGGCGCGCUGAAAAAAAAAAUGUUUGUGUAUUUUUGAAAAAGACAAAACAAAUAGGUGGACGAUUAUAAAUUUCCCUUUAAUAAAUCAUAAAGUAAGGUUGGACGCGGUUCAAAAUUGCCUCAUUAAAAGUCUUUACUAAUAAAACUCAAUAGAAAAACUUGAUCAAAGAAAAAAAAAAGAAUACAACGCAUGUGUUUCAUUUUAACUUUAAAAACUCUUCUAUUAUCUGAUGAGCGCUCCCCCUGAUGAUAACAUAUAUCAACUCAAUAAUUUGUUCAAAUGUUACAUAGUCAAUAGCUUAUUUUCAAUUGUUGAUGCAGGCAAAUCUUUCAUAAAUUAUGUUGAUGCAGAAAUUUGGUCGUCUGUAAGGCUGACUAGGUUGUCUCGUCAACGCUUAUGCUAACUCUGGUUGGUGCACGACACUUCUCGUUCCUUCCCCAAUUAAGUGAAUCCAAUAACUUCAAUCAACCUCUCUUCUUUCUAGUAACCUGCACUCAUAGAAACAAAUCAGGGGUGCCAGUGGUUUUUCCUGCAAAAAUCCUCCGGUACUUAAGUCAAUCUGCGAGGUUUCGAGAAAAAUGUUGGAUUUUAGAUCAAUGCAAGAUAAUGAUUGUUGAGUGAAAGAAAAGUUUUUAGAAGGUUUUUAUGGAAAUGAAUUCUAAAUUCAAAAUGAUAGAGUUUCCCUCGGUUUUUUGUUUUUUGUCCCCAUCUUCUGUCUUUUUCUCAAGUUUUAUAGGCAGUCGCUCCUUGCGUCUAGAACAUUCUCCCACGUCCUCCAUACUCGGGCGAUCAUGGACCCCCAUAGACUGCGAGAAUCGUGUGUUGAGUGUUAGAAAAUGUAUAUUUAUAAAGGAGAAAAUCGUCAUUUUACAUUUCAAUUCUUACUAACACCAUUACUUUUAUGUAUUUAAGCUUCUUGUGAUUUAAUUACGUGUGUUUUAUUUUAAUUAAGUAUUUUAUGUAUUUUAGGGGCAUCAUGGUCAUUUCACAAUGAACGAGAAAUCAGAUGGCAAAACGGACAUCACUUUUGAACUCAGGACAGUCGAAAACCUUAGGAGGAGCAUAAAAGGAAAAUGCCUAUGUUCACAUGUACGAUAUUGUCCAUGUUACUGUUCACGACAAUGUUCACACAUACGGAACGAUGACGUGGCAUUGACCGAUGAUGUGGCAUUGACUGAUGAGAUGUCACGAUUUCAUUGGAGAAAAUUCUUAUGAACUGUUGAUCGGUGACGUGGAAGCAUGUUAGUGGACCAAACAUUGCGCGUACGCUACAUGCAUAUACACAGGAUUAUUUUCAACCAAACCGUGUCACUGUUCAAGCCAGUUGACUGUUCAAAUCGCGUGGUUAAACCGUGUCACUGUUCAAACUGCGUGGUCAAACCGCGUACUGUUGACUGAUGACGUGGCGCAAUCCUGAGCAUCCAAACUGUUUCUAAUUUGAUGGCCAUGAUUUACUCAAUGUAUCUAUAAAAAGGGGGCCUCCCCCCUAAUUUGGCAUCUCUGAAUCUAUUUUUGGGCUCUAUUUUCUGUAAUUCCUUCUCUAUCUUGUAUUUUCUACGUAUUUUAAUAAAUUUCUAUUUUGCCCCUAGUUUAAUUAUGAGUAGCUAAUUUUCUUUCAAGUUUGGGUUGAAGGUGAAGUCUCAACAUGUGUCAUGGGCUUUAUUUAGUAAAUUUAUUUUCUCUUCCCCUUUAGUUUUUGUGGAUGUUUUGACUUCUCGUGGACAAAUAAUAAUAAUCUUGUCUAGAUACCGCCCUGGUUUCACCGGCUCCCUAGUACAAGGUUAUUAUUAUUUGGCACGAUAAGCCCUUAGCACCAUAUUGAUUAGAGUGUGGUUCAUGAGGUGUGGAUACCCCCCUCAUGAUUUAAUUGACACUAAUAAGGAAUAUUUAGCCCAUGGUGCAUGUUAAUGCGGAUCCAGAUACCCAAUCGCUUCAUUUCAAUAGAUUUCUCAUCAAUUUAUUCUCGCUAUUUUAAUUUAAAUUUUAGAAUAUUUCAAAUCAUUUUCACUACAAAUCCAAUCACCAAUUUAGAAAAAUUAAUUAUACACAUAAUUAAAAUUCACCUCCUCGUGGGAUCGACACUCGUCACCAUUAAUCUAUUCUACAAUAGAUUCGUGCACUUACGAGUUCAAUAAAAUUUGCACAACACCGUGCGUAGGUUAUCGUGCCUACCCCCAAACGGUUUGGAUGUGGCGAAACUGUUGCGUUGAUGCGGGAUCGUGCCUGCUUUUUAAGUAACAGUUCUCUGGUCGGCCUUCAGCUGUACCCCUGAGAGUGUCUGGCACCAGGAUAUCUGCUCAUGAUUUAUUAAGUCGAGGAGAUUCCUCCUCAGCCAGAUAAUGAGGACAUGUGUGGCUAGUGCUCUUUUAAUCACCAAACACCAGUCCCCCUAGUUUCUAGUGUUGCGAGUGAAACGAGCUAAAACUAGAAAUUAGGAGUCGAAUCUGGUCAUACUGUGGGUUUGGGUAUUGAUAACUCUAUGAAAUGAGAGUUAUUAUGGCAAUUCUAGACUUAAAUCAAGAUCACUUAGAGAGUAAAUGAUGUGUUUUUAUUGCAUUUUUGUUACGUUUUACAUAAACAUUCAUUUUAGUUUAGUCUUAAUAAGUUUUGCUUGAUUUAAAGUAAUUCGUGCUCAAAUCAUGUACAUAAUUGUAGGUGUCCAGAAGCCUAUAAUUCAUGGAAGGGAUGCUGAUGCAGUAGGCUGGCAAAAAGGAAGAAGAAUAUGGCCACAAAAGAAGAGAAACAAAAUCUGAAGCAGUGGAGAGCUGUAGUCGUUGCUGGAGCAACCAUUGCUGUAGCAAUCCUAGAACAACGAUAGAGAAAACUUAGCGCGAGAUAUCUGCAGAAUUGUGAUCUGCAGUUUCCUAAUCUGACUCAUGCGCGCCCUAGGCUUUUGUUUACCCUAGUUUUCAAUUAUAAAAAGGGGCGCGCAUCACAUAAAACGGCGGCAAGGAAUUAACAUGGGAAAAAUUGAGAGAAAAAGAAUAAAACAAUCAGAAUUCAAGGGAACCAAUUCUGCAUCAGUGAAGAAUCCAACAGAGUUAUUUGGAUUCAAUCUUCAUCGUUCUCUGCUUGUUCUUUUCUUUACUCUUUGAUUGAACUGAUGUAUUUCAUGACCAAUAUUUUUCUAUUUGUUUUUCUUUUUCAAAGUAUGAACUAAAUUUGAUUGUAGUUGAGUGACAAAUAAUCUAAAUGGGUUUUUGAUUGUUCUUAUGAGUUGCUAUACGAUUGUUGUGGCAUUUUACUCUAGUAGCUUUUAUUAUAAUCGUUAUUUCAGUUGACCACCCAUUUAAUAGUUCAAGUUAAGAUAAAGCCGCAAAAGGGCAUGUGUUAGUGGAUAUUAUUAGAGUAAUACUUGAUCUUAAUUUAAGUUUCCUGGAUUAAGUUUUUCUUGAAUCCCAUAAGGGCUAUACUUGAAGUUAAGAUUUGUGAAGAACUAGACAUAGGCAUUCACCUUGUAGGGUAGAGAGAGUAGAUGUUCAUAAUGCCAUACCUUAGGUAGAAUAACAACUGAUCAUUGUUAGGAUCCUUAAGGGCAUGAGAAGCCCAACACGCAACAGCUGAGGAUGCAAAAUAAUUUUGCACAGUGAUGUAGGAAUUGCUGUAGCAACUGGUGCUAAUUUGAUGAAAAACAGUCAACCCAUGAAAAGAGUUUGAUCAUUCAGCUGCGAUAGUGACACUAUCAACACUAAACCAUCCCAGGCACCGCUCUCUAAACCCACCUCUGGUUGUUGUUGCGUUGGUCUUGUAAGGUGCUUUCUUGUUCGAUUAUUUGGAAUUUUUUUUUACAAAAAAUUUCCUCCAUGUCGAAACGAAAAGGAAAAAUAAUUGAGAUUGAAAGUGAUGAGGAAAUAGAUUCUUACCCCUUUUCUGUUAAAAGAAACUCCCCUCGGUCCCCAGAUUUCCUCCAGUGAUGUAGGCCCCUAUAAUAGUAAAAACACUAUGAGACAACCACAAUUAGAAAUUACCCCACCACCUUCUGGCCACGAACCCAAUGGGGGUAACGAUAAGCAAACAUCGGGCUCUAGCGAAAGUCGUAGCACCAGCGGGGCGAAAAGUCUCGAGGAAGAGAAUGAUAAUGAGAAGAGUAGCCCGGAGCCGAGCCGAGCAACUAAAAAAAUGAACCUUGGUCAUAGGGUAGAAGUUGGUUCUUAUCCUAUUAACUUUCUGAGGUGUAGCACUACACAAAAUGAUUUGUUCAAACUGAGGAACCUUUAUUGUAUUCCUGACGACAUUCAUCUCGUCAUCCCCGAAAAAGGUGAUGUCCCCCGUUGGCCUCCUAGGGGCUAUGUGACCUUGCACUUGGAGUGGUUUAAACUAGGAGUUAGAUUGCCCCUUCAACUCUAUUUUGCCAAGGUGUUAAGUGACCUGCAUUUGGCCCUUGGUCAACUAAACCUAAAUGGAUGGAGGGUACUCUUAGGUUUGUUCGUGUUGUGGGAUAGGUGCGGAGUCGAAGAACCCACCACUGAGGAAAUAAAAAAUUUAUAUUAGCUGAGGAACAUCCAAAAAGAUGCAGAUUGGUACUACUUCAUGUCAAGCUCUACGAAAAGGAAACCCCUCACAGACUUUUCUUCCUCAUGUAAAAAUUGAAAGAGUAAAUUCUUUUUUGCUAAGAGAAACUGGGGUCCCGUGAUUCAGUCUCCUGGUGGUGGUAUUCACGUCCCCACGCGUUUUUGCACCCCAGAUUAUUUGUUUCUCUUCAUACCCCAUGCCUUUGGUCGUCCUUCACCUUUCCUCUUACCUUUGACUGUAUUUUUCAGAUUCUUGGGGCCUAAUUUAUAACAUCGAGGAGGAAUUGUUGCUCUAAGUCCAGACUGCUCUGGUCAACGCUUGUUCGUGCAAAGACCUUUUGACGUCAACGAGUUUCGUCGAGUCCCAUUUUGUUGACGUAGCUCCUAGAUGGAUAACAAGAUCCUCAGCACCAUGGCAAGAAAACGUGAUCGGGGUUUGGGUGACUCUAGCAACGCCCCCACCCCAUAGAAGAAAAGCAACGUCACCCCGACCAAGACACCUCCCCCAGCUCUGCCUCCCCCUCCAACUGGAAAGGUUGGAGGCGAAAACUCUCAUGAGAAGAGUCCCGAGGGUGCCGCCCCUUCUAUGGAUCAAACUUCAUCGCCUUCGCCCUGGGACCAAAGCGAUUACUUGGGCAUAUACCAGAGGGAGUAAUCCAAAGUGGUGGGGUCGAAGUUGAUUAAAGAGUUGGAGGGUAUGACUCUUACCGAGCUAUGAAGGUCCCUUUAGAAGAUCGCUUUUCAGCUUGCUACAGCAGCCUUUUGCUAUAAGUUUAAGACUUCGCGCCAUGAGAAGAAGCGACAAGCGGAGGUCCAAGACCUGAAGAAAAAGGUGGAGUCAGCUGAUCGUUCAAAGAAUAAGAUGCUCGAGCUGUACAAGUAGGUUUUUGACCUCGAAGAGAAAGUUGCUCUUGUUGAAUCCAAGUCCACUUAGCUUGAUAGCGAGCUGGCAGACUUAAAAUCUAAUCUCGACGUUGCUCAAAGCGAGCGAGACACUCAGAAAACAACGUAUGAAGAAUAAAUCAAGUCUUUGGAAUCGCUGAUAGCUGAGUGGAAAGAUAAGGCCAGCGACGUGGAAGAUCGGAUGGAUGCGGAGUACAACUAUGGGCUUGCCUUUAGCUAGAAAUGUAUUAUGUCUGUCCUUAAGAAGGAAUAUCCGGAGCUAAAUAUGGACAAGUUAGAGGCAGGUGUGAACGAAUACAUGGCCGAACAGAGUCAGUGCGACAAGGGCCAAGAAGGGACUCAUUCGGGUGUUGAAGAGUAGAAAAAGAGGUGGGGGACAAGGCACCAAACACAAAUGUGGGGGUGGUCCCUGCUCCGUCUGGGAUCACUAAUCCCUCCUCGGCUAAAGCUAUUGAUUCCUCCACUGCUGAGGUAGUUAAGCCUCCUUCUCAAGACCCAUGAAUUUCUCUUUAUGUUUAAAUCGCAGACUUUUUACUUGGUUGUAUACCUUGGAUCAUUAAUGAACUUUUAGCUUCUUCUUUCUAUUCUAAUACUUUGCUGCUCUGUCUUUUAAAUGUUCACCUGCUUGAUCUGCUCAUGAAUGCUAAAACUUUAUUGGCCCUGUUGUUUGUUUAGUGGGUUUUGUAUGCUCAUCUUCGCUCGAAGGUGCAUAUAUUUUAUAAAUCUUGUCUGCACGUCUUCACAUAGUAAUGCAGAUGUUGGCAAACUUUUGCUUUAGAGUAAUUUUUGCAAAUUUUUCCUGCUCAUCCUCAUGCAACUGAACAGGUUUUCGUAAACUUUUGCCUUCAUGCAAUUUUUGUGAAUUUUACUUGCUCGUCCUCAUGCGACAGAGCAUAUUUUGGUAAACUUUUGCCUUAGGGUAAUUUUUGCGAAUUUUGCCUGCUCGUCCUCAUGCAACAGAGCAGGUUUUGGCAAACCUUUGCCUUCGUCUCGCCUUGGGUAGACUAUGAGACUAUUGAGACUUUGUUUGCCUUCGAACUGCUUUGGUAAAGUGUCUUUAAAUGGAAUUCAUUAUCUCAUAAUUAGCGAAUGCUUGAGUAAUUACAGAAAAUAGAACAUAUAAGCAUGUGGUAACUUCUUAUUACAUCUAGCGGAAACAACUAAACUGGAAAAUUCUACGAAAAUGGCUUGCCUACUAGAAGUAUUUCUUCAAAUGCUCUGCAUUCCACGAUCUCUUCACUUCCCGUUCGUCUGGGUAAGCCAGGUUGUAAGCUCCUAGAUGAGUUGCUCGUAUUACCUUAUAUGGGCCUUCCCAGUUAGGGCCAAAAGCAUCUUGGUUAGGAUCUCUCGUACUUUGAUUUACUUUCUUGAGCACCCAAUCUCCUGUUCGGAAUCGCCUUACGCACACAUUCUGAUUAUAGUAGCGCAUAAUCCUCUACUGAUACUGAAUCACCUUCUAUGAGGCUUUUUCUCCUCUAACAGAUCCAGAUUCAUACACAUCUGCUCAUCGUUCUACUUCUCAUUGAAAUAUUAUGUUCGAUGCGUCCCAACUCCAAUUUUUGCUAGCACUACAGCCUCAUGACCGAAGGCUAAAGUAAAUGGGGAUUCUCUGGUUGCAGUUUUGUGAGUUGUCCGAUAAGUCCAUAGUACACCCAACAGCUCAUCAACCCACACCCCAUUCUUCUCCUCCAACCUGAUUUUCAGGAGCUUCUUUAUGACUUUUUUUAUUGUCUCCACCUGCCCAUUUGAUUGGAGAUGUGCUGGAGAGCAUAACUUCAGCUCAGCACCCAAAUUUUGGCAGAAUUCUCUGAAGUUGUGGUUGUUAAAUUGUCUCCCAUUAUCCGUUAUGAGUAUGUAAGGGAUUUCAUAUCUGCAUAUGAUAUUUUUCUAGAUGAACCCGGUUGUUUUCUUCAGUGUAAUCUAGCUUAAAUCCUCCAUUUCUACCCACUUUGUGAAGUAAUCUAUGGCUACAAUAGCAUGCGUAGCAGCUCCUCGUCCUUUGGGCAAGAGACCAAUCAGGUCGAUCCCCCACUGUGCAAAAGGCCACGGAGAGGACAUAACAACGAGUUUCUCUCAAGGCAGAGUAGGAAUAUCUGAGAAACUUUGGCAGAUUCUAUAAUUUUUAGUCAUUUCUCUCGCAUCCGGGUGCAUGGUCAGCCAAAUAUAUUCCUGCCUUAACGCUUUAAAUGCCAAAGUUCUUGCUCCAGAAUGGUUUUCACAUAUUCAUUAGUGUAUCUCUCAUACCACAUAGUUUGCCUCCUCAUCAUCCAAGCAUUGCAGAAGGGGUAAGGUGAACCCUUGUCGAUAGAGUAUCCCAUCGAGCAACAUAUAUCUAGCCACUUGACAUUUCAAUUUUCUCGUUUGCUUCUUAUCCACCGGUAGGCUUCCAUCACGAAUAUAUGAAAUGAUUGGAUCUAUCCAGGAUGCUCGAGCAUCCACCCCUAUUACUUCCGCUUAUUGCCCGAUGCUUGGUGAAGUUUUGACCUCUAUUGGAACCGACUUGGGCAGUUUUGGGUCCGCAGUUGCAGCCAUUCUAGCCAACAUGUCUGCUCGGUAAUUUUCUAUCCUGGCAAUCUGCUUUAUCUUCACCUCUUGGAACACUCCGACCAUUUGCUUAGCCUUCUUCAAGUAAAACUCCAUAUUCUCGCCUCUCGCUUGGAAAUGUUCAUUAAGCUGAUUACAAACCAGCUGGGAAUCUGCUUGGAUUUUGACUCUUUCUGCCCGUAACGAAUGCGCUAGCUUAAGCCUAAUGAUAAAGGCUUCGUACUCCGCCUAGUUAUUCGUCUCCAGAAAUUCAAAUUUCACAGCAUAAGAAACUUCAACCCCAUCUGGACUGCGUAUCACUAUUCCCGCUCCAGGCCCAUGCUUACUGCACGACCCGUCAACCUUUAUCAACCAAAAACCUAUCGGCUCUGUAUCUCCAGCUGAUUGCUCUUCGUGAGUCGUUUCUCUUGACUUUGUGCAUUCUGCCACAAAGUCGGCCAAGCCUUGUGCUUUGGUAGCCCCUCAGGGUCGAUAAGUUAUGUCAAACUCACUCAUUUCCACCGACCAUUUGACUAAGCGGCCAGAUGCAUCCGGUUUCAAGAGUAUUUGUCGAAGAGGUUGGUCAGUUAUCACGAUUACUGGGUGUGCCUGACCGCGGUUAUUAGAGCCAGUGGCCAUUUCUCCAUCGUCGGGUAUCUGGUCUCUGCGCCCACUAAGGCCUUGCUAGUAUAAUACAUUGGAUGUUGCGUUCCUUCUUCUUCUCUCACCAACAUUGAACAGGUAACAUAUUUCAAAACAGCUAAGUACAGGUGCAAUAUGUCACCCUCUCUUGGUGUUUACAGUAACGGGGCUUGGGCGAGAUAUUCCUUCAACUACCCGAAUGCCUCCUCACAUUCUGCCGUCCACUCCAUUUUUUUGCCCUUUUCCAUAAUCUGGAAAAAGGAGUGGCAUUUAUCUGUUACCCUCGAGAUGAAUCGGUUCAGGGCUACUAGUUUUCCCGUAAGGCUCUACACCUCCUUAAUUUCCUGAGGAGCUCUCAUCUAUGUUAUUGCCCAUAUCUUCUUCGGGUUGGCUUCAAUUCCUCGUUGGCUCACCAUGAAUCCCAAGAACUUUCCCGAGCACACCCCGAAUGCACACUUCUCCGGAUUAAGUUUCAUAAUAUAUCUCUUCAGUAACUCAAAGGUUUCCUCUAAGUGCAGUGUAUGUUCUGUUAGUUCUUCAGGCUUUGUAAUCAUGUCAUCCACGUACAUCUACAUAGUACGUCUGAUCAGAGGCUUAAAGAUUCUAUUCACCAAUCUUUGAUAUGUGGCCCCUGUAAUUUUUAGACCGAAUGGCAUUACCUUGUAACAAAACAAACCCAUGUUAGUAAUAAAUGUGGUGCUCUCCUCAUCCUCCUCGUCCAUAGGUAUUUGGUCGUAUCCAGAGAAUGCAUCCAUGAAGCUGAGCAGGCCGUCGCCAGCCGUCGAGUCAACUAACUGGUCUAUCUUUAGCUAAGGAAAGCUAUCUUUCAAACACGCUUUGUUGAGGUCCGUGAAGUCUACGCACAUUCUCCACUUUCUAUUUGUUUUCUUCACAAGCACUACAUUGAAAAUCCACUCCGGAUACAUGGCUUCCCUGAUAAACUCGUAACAGUUUCUCCACCUCAAUAUUUAUGGCCUCAUACCUUUUCUGGUUGAAGCAUCCCUUCUUUUAUUUCACCGGCUUGGCCCCUUUUUGAAUUGCUAGCUUAUGACAAGCAAUCUUGGGAUCAAUUCCCGACAUAUCUUCGUGUGACCAGGCGAACACAUUAGUAUGGGAUCUUAAACAUUGUAUUAGCUCAUCCUUUAAGCCCUGAUUUAAACUGGAUCCAAUCUUGACGGUCUUGCUCGGAUCAUCAUGCUUUAUUAUCACUUUUUUCUAAGUUUUCAACUGGUUCUUGCCGACCCUUCUUAAAAUCUCCCUGGUUAUUGAGCGCGGUGACUUGUAAAGUCUCCUUCGUAGCUAUGGCAUAGCAGCUCUUAGCCAUCCUCUGGUCAUCCUUUACUACGCCUUCUACUCCAUUCGCUCUAUACUUUAAUGCCAAGUAGUGGGUGGACACCACACACUGGCUUAUCCUCAUAAAUGGUCGCCCCAAUAUCAUCUGGUAAAAACUAUUUUCCUCAACAACAACGAAGUCGAGCAUAAUGACUUUUUCGGAGGGUCUCAUCCCUAUAGCAACUGGCAGCUCGACAAUCCUCAUUGGAGUCAAUUGUCCACCUUUAAAUCCCUUCAGGGAUGUAUUCGUGUGUUCCAACUUUAGAUCCGUAAUUCACAUCUUAUCCAGGGUUGACUUAAAGAGUAUGUCGAUGGAACUGCCCGUGUCCACCAGUAUUCGCUAGAAUUCUUUUCCCGCCACACUCGCCUUGAUUACUAGGGCAUCCUCAUGGGGGUAUAAGACGCCCUCUUCAUCAUCGUCCGUCUACAUGAUGGGAACUUACCUCACCCUCGCCCUCUUUGCUGCAGGCAAAUUGAAAAAAACUUAUUUGCUAGUCAAAGCAUACCUCCCAUAAUUCUUUCGUGCUCUGUUCGAGUUACCAACAAGUGUCGGUCCCCCAACGAUUACUGUAACGGCGAGCUACUCACACUCUAUAUCUCUUACACUUUAUGCUCCCACUACGUAUUGUCAAUCUGCGACGGGAAACGAACCGUUGACAUACUCAUCGAGGUAUCGAUUCUUCACAAGGUCUUCCACUUAGUUUUUAAAAUCACAACACUGGCUAAUUGUGUGCCCAUGGGUGCCAUGAAACUUGCAGAAUCUAUUUUUAUCCCGCUUGUGGGCUGGUUUGUCAACUGGGGUAGGGGGUACAGGAUGCCUCACCCUUCAAUCCUCUCGUAUAAUUCUUCUAGAGAGACCUUUAACGAAGUAUAUUGCUUGUAUACUGGACUCUGAUCAAUCAGUUGAACUGCUUGGCUAUCAUAAAAACUGUCAUGGGCUGGCAUUGAGGGUGGUUGGUUUGGUCGGCUGGCCCUGGGGUUCCGCGCAUGGAACAUUCUUGAGGUAUUAUAAUGAGGAUGGGUAGCCAUCUGGCGAAAUCCCUUGGCUGUUAUGGAAAUAGAGCGCGUUGAGGCUGAGCUCUGCCGUGCUAGAAUUGCGACGGCCUAUGAGUUAUAUGAUGUGGGUAAGGCCGAGCAGAUGUUACUCCACCUGUUGAUGAUCCCCCACUACGUUUUCCUGACCCGCUCCCCCUUAUGCUCUUUUCUCAUUCCACCUCAGAUCCUCUGGCUGCUCGCUUUUUAUUCUUGCUGCCUUCUCCUCCUCAAUUUCAACAUCCCUUUUUGCCUGCUCAUACCCCAUUGAAUAAUUCUGAAUGGUGGGGUUCCUCAAAUGUACCACAACCGACCUAUCUUCACUCCCUCUUUUAACCAUUUCAAAGCCUGUGGAUGAUUGAAGGCCCCCAAGUCAAGUACGGUCCGGUGAUACAUUUUUAGAAAAUCCCUGAGGGAUUCAUUUUCCUCUUGUUUCAUCCCCAUCAAUUCCAUCAUAUCGUCCUCUAGAGCUACUGCUCCACGGAAUUGCUCGGCCAAUUCUUGGCACAUUUGCUCGAAACUCUUUAUGUUUCCACGCGGCAACUUAUGGUACCAGUCCCGAGCUCGUCCCUCUAAUGUGCACCAGUGGGUCGCUUUUCCUGGAAUAUUUGAGGUCAGAAAAAUGAAAAUCUCUUGGUAUCAUAGUGGCCAUGAUCUCCAUCGAGAGUAGAUAUUCGUCAUCCAACAUUAUUCUCCAGCUGAGGGGCUUUCUUCUGCCUUGCAUUUGGUCUAUUACCUGUGCCAAUCGCCGCACCUCUCCCUCCAUCUCUAAGGCUCGACCAAGAUCACAUGCAACCGGGUUCUUGUUCAAUGUUAUGCAGCCACUGUCUGAGCUCGCUUUCCUCGGCGUUCGUCCGUUGGCUACCAUUUCCCAAAACUCGCCCACUGUGGGGUUGGUCUCCUCCCUCGUUCCUGCGUUCUCUUGAAGUCUGACCUUCACUUCUGUAGUUAUGCACUCUGUCAAGCUGUCCCCCUAAUGAAAGAAUCUCCUCAUUUCUAUCCCUUCGAUGGCUGGGCUCCGCAGCGACCUCAUCUCUUAUCAAAUUGACCUCAUAAUCCCUUCUUCGCUCAUUUCUCAGCUCAUGUAAUAUAGCGAUGAGGGUCUCCAUCUACUUUUCCAUCCGCUCCAUUCAUUCUUGCAUCACUCUGGUCAUUUGUAAGGCUGACCAGGUUGUCUCGUCAACGCUUAUGCUAACUCUGGUUGAUGCACGACACUUCUCAUUCCUUCCCCAAUUAAGUGAAUCCAGUAACUUAAAUCAACCUCUCUCCUUCCCAAUAACCUGCACUCACAAAAAGAGAUCAAGGGUGCCGGUGGUUUUUCCGACGAAAACCCUCCGAUGCUUAAGUCAGUAUGUGGGGUUUCAGAAAAAAAACGUUAGAUUUUAUAUCAAUGCAAGAUAAUGAUUGUUGAGUGAAAGAAAAGUUUUUAGAAGGUUUUUAUGGAAAUGAAUUCUGAAUUCAAAAUGAUAAAGUUUCCCCUUGUUUUCUGUUUCUUCGUCCACAUCUUCUAUCUUUUUCCCGAGUUUUAUAGGCAGCUGCUCCUUGCGUUUAGAACAUUCUCCCACGUCCUCCAUACUCGGGCAAUCAUGGACCCCCAAACGGUUUGGACGGGGUGAAACUGUUGCGUUGAUGUAGGAUCGUGCCCGUUUUUUAAGUAACAGUUCUCCAGUUGGCCUUCAACUGUACCCCAUAGUGUGUCUGGCACCAGGAUAUCCGCUCAUGAUUUAUUAAGUCGAUGAGAUUCCUCCUCAACCAGAUAAUGAGAACAUGCGUGGCUGGUGCUCUUUUAAUCACCCAAACAAAUUAUCCUGCAAAAUUAUCAUUAAAAAUAUUUCCCUUCAACAAACAUAUCUUACAUGAUUAGUUAUAUCACCUGCAAAAACAAUAAUAUCUAGAAUUUUCAUUAAUUUAUAGCAAUAACGAUAUAUGUCAAAUCAGUAUCUUCAAAUUGACAGAUAAAUUCCUGCAAAUAGAUUUGUAUAUUACAAAGCAUUAAUCAGAUAUGAUACUUAAUAUCACAAUAGGAUCAAAAGAGUAAAAUAGGGUAUUCAAAGGAAGUUUAUCCAUUCUAAAAAUCAUUUUUUCAAAAUUUAUGGAUAAAGAUACCAAUGAAAGUCCGCUCGAUUUGCAACCCGAUACAUUAUUUAGCUUGCCUAAACUAUUUAUUUCAUUUUAAGCCAUAUCAAGGUCUUGUGCCACAUGUAGAGCAUUUGCCUCUAUAGGACGCAGUGUCACUGUAGGGGUACAAGUCUCAUCAAUGACCUUUUGCUCUGAAGGAGCAAUUUAUGCAUAAAUUGUCCCAGGAUAUUUUGCUUUAAGGGAACAACAACACGAGUAUUAAUAAUUAGAUCCCGAAGGAGCAAUUUCAUGCAUAUACUUCACAGGAUAUUUAUUUUGCUCUAUAGAAGCAAUAACUUAAGCAUUAAUGUAAUCAGAUCCUGAAUGUGUAAUUUCAUGCAUCUACUAUCAUAGGAUCCUGAUCAAUAAUCUUUCCUUUCAAGGAAUAAAAAUCCAAUAAAUCAACGUGUGGUAAACAAUUCAUCAGCUGCAAUCCUAGCUAAUAGAUUGUUCAACAGGAACAAACACCUGGCUGGGUUCCUUUUAUAGCUGCCGUACAUGACUUAGUUUCUCUGGAUGCAACUGUAGGAGCAUCAUGAAAGUUGACAACUAAAAUCAUUAGGCAACUUUUUCUCGCUCCUAAUGGAGGAAAAUUUUAUCUUAAUAGAUGAUAAUAAAUUCUGGAAAAUCUUAUUAUAUAAUAUAUUACUCUAUGUCAAACUUAAUAAAAAUAGAUAUAAAUAUAAAAACUUAGAGAAAUUAAUAACUAGUUUUAAUUGCCAUGAAUGUCUCUACCAUGGUCAAUGAAUAAACCUAAAACAUCCGGAUGUGUGCUAUCACCAGGAUCAACAUAAUUUGUCUCAACGGUCUUCCCUUUUCUUUUUAGGGAUGCUUGACACCAGUCAACAAAAUGUCUGGUGGAUGAUAAGAUCUCCAAAAAUGGCCUUCUGUCCCACACCUGUCACAUAUCUCUUUCUGUUCUUUUUCUUGGGCUUGUCCUUCAUCAUCAUUCUUUCACUUUUGAUAAGUUCUAUUGUAACCAUCACGAGGUUGAUAGUAAUUGUGACUAUAACUAUGAUCACGGUGAAAAAAAUAAAAUAAAAUAAAAUAAACUCAUUUUUUAUUAUCACUAUGACUAUGUAAAAUUGGAUUCACUUCAGGUAGUAGCUUCGUAUCAAUUCAAACAAUGGCUUCGUAAGAGCAUAAUCUGUUAUUGAGGUCCACGACUUCUAGAUGAAUUACUGAGGCACAUAGCUUUUAGUUGAAUUACUGACACAUGGCUUCUAGCUGAAUUACCAAGGCAGAAUCCAAGAUAAAUUAUUUUUAUCAAAAAUAUUGAGGGCCUUCAAUUCAGGCUUCAUUGGAUUUGCCAUCUUCAAUUAUUCUUUAAAGGCUUCAAAAUCUCAAUAUAUGGCUUCAGUACGUGCAAGAAUGUUCAAAUUUAUGGCUUCAUAUGAACGAGUUUUAGUAUUAAAGCUUUAAGGCUUCAAUCUGAAUUUUGUACGUUUCAAUUUUGAUUCUGCACGCUUCAGUCUUGAUUUACGCUUUAGUCUUGUACGCUUCGGUCUUUAAUUUUAAUAUCGGUAACAGAAAAUAAACAAAAAUACUAAUUAGUAAAUGAAAUAAUAAAAUGAGACAAUAUAAUACUUCCUGUAAUAUAGCGAUCUAGUAUUGAUAACGUGUUGUAAUAUUGUUGGGUACAAGGAGCAUUGAAGGAAGAACAAUUAACUAAAGCGGAAGAGAACAAAGUGAAAUAAGCCAAGUAGCACCAUGCAAUCUCACGAAUUUAUCUUUCAAAUCGAAGUCGUGAGAAUGGGUUACAAAUGGGCUAUUUAUAGCCGGAUCAAGCAGUUUGCACUUGAGCCAUAGAUGUGUGUGAUUACAAGAUCAAGCAAAGUGAGGUGUAUCUGAUUGGCGUUUGUGGGCAUACAAAUCAAUCCCAUGCGAUAUGCAUGCGGUAGAAAUCCACAUAGCUUUCACAACAGGAGCAAUAUUUGCUUAAAUUUUGGAAGUCAUUGGUCAAGAGUCCUGCUAAGUGUUCAUAUUAAAUCAUGGUUCGCCUAAUGCGGAUCUAGAAAAAUGAUUUAUUGGGGGUUAAAUUAAAUAAUAACAAGAUGUGAAAUCUGAAAUUUGAAUUUAUAAAUUUUUUUCUAAUACAUUUACAAUUGUUCUCUACGCAGUUUCAUAUUUUGAAAAUAUUGUGCAAUAGACUCAUUACCAAUACUAUUAAAUACAUCUUUUUUACAAAAAGAAUCAAAUUAUCAUUCAUCCAUUCAUCUCCCAUUUCAUUCUGAAGUUCAUUUUUUACGAAUUUCAUUACUGAAAAUGUUCUCUCUACUGUAGUUGUGGAAAUUGGAGGAACUAAUGCUAAUGUCACCAACAAAUACACUAGCGGAUACACCUUAUCUUUUAUCAAGGUGAUCGAUUCCCUUCAAUCUUGCAAACUCAAUACUAGCAUGCAUAUACAUUAAGUAAGUUUGAAGUUGAGUUUUAAGCACCAUAAACUCUAUUGAAGAAAAUCCUUUGGAUAAAAUUGAGCAAGACGUACUGGCUUGCCUUUAUUAAAAGCAGCAAAUAAAUCAUUUGGACUUGGACAUGCUAAACAAAGAAGCAAUUCCAUAUUAACCUCAUUGAAACAAUUAUUUAACUCCUAAAGCUGCAAAUCUAAAACAACAAAAAAUAGCUCAACUUGAAAAUAAUGCAAGUUUGAGAUCUCUCAAUCCUUACAUUGUAAUCAAUCCCACAAUAAAAACACAUCAUUCAUGUUAGGGACAUCAAUAUCAUGCUUCAAACAAAAAGAAGAAAUCUCAUAAAGCAAUGAAUCCCACACAUCUCUCAUCAUUUGCAAGUUUUUCAUACAUAUUUCAACCAAUUUUAUGGCAUUUAGAAUAUCUUGAUCCUUUCUUUGAAGUGCUUGUGACAACGCAUUUGAAAGUGCCAGUAUAUCUCUCAUCAAAUAUAGACUAAGCACGAAAUCAAAAGAUUAAAUAAACUAUACCAGACAAUUUGCUUAAAAUCUCUGUUCACUAGAGUUUGACUUAUCUUUUCCAAUUAUCUCAAGCAUACUCAUUAUGUAUGGAAACAAAGAGAUUAUAUGAAGUAACGUACCAUAAUGCGAGCCCCAACGUGUAUCACCAAAACGUUUCAAUGUAGUCUCAUGAUUUUGGCCUUGCCCACUUGGUACUUCAUCAUUUUCAAGUGCUUCACCAAGUAAAAGUAAUUGCUUCUCUUGAAGAAUAUCUCAACGUUUACAUGAAGCCCCAACAACAUCGACAACAUUAGCAACUACAUUGAAGAACCAAUUAAUUGGAUCGUAUUUCUUUGCCACAGACACAAUAGCUAACUAUAAUUGAUAAGAAAAAUAAUGUAUACAAUAAUUGCACUCAUUCUCAUUAACAAUAAGUGUUUUAAGACCAUUGAACUCGCCUUACAUGUUGGUAGCCCCAUCAUAACCUUACUUGCACAACCUAGCAUACUUAAUCCAUGCUUAGAAAAUAAUUGGUUAAUAGCUUCCUUGAGCGAGAUAAUAGUGGUACUAGUAACAUGCUUAAGACCUAUAAAACGCUCAAUAACAUAUCCAUUCCUAUCUACCAUAUCACAAUACAAUAGCCAUCUGCUCCUUCAUAGAUGCAUUAUUGGUUCAUCAAUCAAAACAAAAAAACAAUGCAUCACAUAUGUCUCUAAUAAUAGCAUUGGUAGUUUCAGUAGAGCAAGCCCUUACAAUAUCUUUUUGAAUUAAAAGCGCAAUACAUGUCAUUUCCACGAGCAUUUUUCAAAGUAACGUUUUUUAUAUCUUCAUUGUGAUUAGCAAGAAAUCUUAAAUUUCAAAGAUAAUUUCCUUAGUUACUUGAAUUAUUAGGCUCAUCAUGACCAUGGAAUGCAAGCCCUUGUUCUAAAAGAAGCCAAACAACAUCAAUGGAUGCGAAUAGGCAAGUUCGAUAAUCUUUUCAAUCUUGAUCAAAAUAUUUGUGGAAAAAUGUUUGGACAUGCUGCUUUUAUUCCAUUACAUCUUCGCAAUAACCCUUGGCUUUGUUGUGAGUACUAUUAGGACCUCUAAUAUGCUCUUCUAAUCUUUCUAGUUUCUUCCAAUUUGAGAAGCCAUUUUUUUGUAAACGUCUCAUCACUUGCUUGCUCACUAAUUUCUGGUCUAAAAAGAUAACAACAUAAACAAUAUACAACAUUUUUGUGAUAUACUAUAUUCUAACCAAUUUUCGUAUUUAUUGAACCAAACUGGAUUGAAUCGUCACUGUUGUUGCCCAAAUUUAGACUUACAAAAAUUGUGGAAUUUAGGUUGGUAAGAAUCCAUUUGUAAAUAUGCUCUACGAACUCCAUCUCGAACAUUAGGAUUGUAAGAAGAAAUUGGGGGACGUUGUCCAAGAUCAAAAGGAAGUUCUGACAAUUCGAAUCCAUACUUAUUUCGUUUUCCUGAACCACUUUUAUCUCUUUGAAAAUGGCGGCAUCACUAGUCUUCUUUUAAAAUACUUUUCCAUAUCUGUUUCAAAAUUAUAUAUGUGAUUACUUGUAUAAAAAUAAAUUUAAUUACAAUUAAAAAAAAAGACUGAGUGUAAAGUGUGUUCAUUGUAUAACUAAUAACUAUGGACAAAAUUACUAAGAAAUUGUAAAGGCUAGAAUUAGUCACUCAAGCAAUUACAAUUUUAUAUAGAGAUCUAUUAAGAUAAGUUAAAAUUACCCUAAAAUUUACAUGUGAAAAGAAAUAAAAUACUAAAUUAUUAACUUAAUUUGAAGAAAAAAGUAUAAGUGUAAAGUGUCAAAGGCCACCCCACGAUUUUCUCCAAAAUAUUCAGGCACUAAACCAGUCCACUAACAGUCAUGCAAUGUGUCCACCAACGAUCAUGCAGUACGUCCAUGCACGAUCAUGUAGUGAAUCCACUAGAUCAAAACUAGGGUGGUGGUUUUAGCUACCUAUAAAAGCCCCAACCAAGUAAAUAAGAGUUUCUUCUUUUUCUUUUUCUCUCUCUCCCUCUCCUUCUGACUACUCAAUCUCUCUCCUUCAUUUUUUCGAGGGAGUUAACUAAAUGAUUUCUUAUUAAAAUAGCAAACAAAGUUAAGCCAUAAGAGUUGCGGUAAAAGUUUUUCCAACAAAAGCCGGAUUACUGACUUAAGUGUCGGAAGGGUGACGUCGGAGAAACAUCUGACGCUCUAUCUAACCAUUUGUUGUGAAUGCAAGUGGAUUUGUUAGGAGGUGCUCGUCGUUGAAAGAAGUCAAGUGUUACGGUAAUGAGGUGCAAGUAAGAUCUGUCUCCCAUCAAAUAAAUUCAAGUGUUGAGGUGGUCAUCUCAUCUCAAUAUAACUCGACCAGAUUUCAACAUCAACACUUAUAUUUCUAUGUUACAAGAACAACUGAUGCACCUCCUCUCUCAAGUAGUAAAAAGUGUCUACACUCCAAGGUCUAAAACCCAUGCUAUCUCAUUGUAUCAACUUGUAGUACCACCAUUUUUAAGAUUGAUCAAGUUUUUAAUUUUGCAUUGCUUGAAUAUUAAAGGCCAAGUUUUUAUUCCCUCUGUGAUACUUGUAUGUGUAUAUAUAUAUACAUAUAUAAACCUAGUACGAAAAACAAAGAGAGGUAGAAAGAUUAAAAUUAGAAACUUAUGAACCCAAAUUUUAUAACAAAGAAGAAAGGGGCUUGAAAUGGGAGAGAGAAAGAGCCUGACCGAGGAAUUUCUUUUUCUUUUCUUUUCUUUUCAUUUUUUUUAUAUUUUAAGUGCUAUUGCAAGGGUUUAUUAAGGAAGAAAAGCAAACAAAGAUUAUUUUAGGAAUUAAAAAUGAUACAGAAGAAAGUUGGCUUUAAUAAGAUAUUAGAGGGGUGCAAAAAGUCCAACUUUUUUUUGGCCUAUUUUUAAGGUCGUAUGAUAAAGAAGUAUACUGCCUAACAGAGGGUAACACGUAACUAAUUAAUUUUAACAUAAAUAUAUGUGUACGCAAAUUUUAUUUAGUGGAUUUUUAAUUUAUUUUAAAAUUAAAUAUGCAUAUGCUACGAUUUUAUUGAAUAAGCAUAAGAUUUGUAAGCUUUAAUGGAAAAGGUACAAAUAAAAUGGCGGGUGCAUUCCUAAGAAUAUACAAAACUUCAUAUGUUCAUUUUCUUACCAGAUCUAUAAACAAUCAAAAUUAGUAGUUUUGGUGAUGCAAUUAGAAGGAAUGAAUGGAUUUUAACUCAACUUUGUGUUGGUUAAAAAUCAAUUUUUCUCAAAAAAACUUACAGGAUCGUUCUCAUAUAAUACAUAAGAAUUUGUAAUCUAGAAAAUCAUACCUUAACAAUUCGAGAAGAUGAAAAAUCGAAAUUACUCUAGGCUCUCAGAUCACGAUCCAUCACCACCACGUUGGUUAGAUCACGAUCUAUCCCCAAAUAAUCUUCUAGGCUAUGACUCAGGUUUGAUCUGCACUUGACGUGUGGGCGCCUUUAUCACCACAAAAGCAACUAGCAAGAGAAAAUAUUCCUCUCAAAAUUAGAGAGAAAAAAUCUUUGUCUUUGAUCUAUAUAAUAUGACUCUUUUUCUGAGAAAAUAAGCCAUUUUAUAUCUCUAUUUUGUGGAAACCUGAUAACUCUAUGAAAUGAGGGUUAUCAUAGCACUUUUAGACUUAAAUUAAUAUUACUUAGAGAGUAAAUGAUGUGUUUCUAUUGCAUUUUUUUUACAUUUUGCAUAAAUAUUCAUUUUAGUUUAGUUUUAAUGAGUUUUGCUUAAUUUAAAAUAAUUCGUGCUUAAAUUGUGUGCAUAAUUGUAGGUUUCCAGAAGCUUAUAAUUCAUGGAAGGAAUGUUGAUGCAACAGGCUUGCAAAAAUGAGGAAGAACUUAGCUACAAAAGAAUUGAAACAAAUCUAGAAUAGUACAGUUGCUGUAGCCGUUGCUGUAGCAACAUUGCUAUAGUCGUUGUUGUAGCAAUCCUGGAACAACGACAGAGAAAAUUCUGCGCGGGAUACUUGCAAAAUUACGAUCUACGGUUUUCUAAUCUGACUUAUACGCGCCCUACGCUUCCAUUUACCCUAAUUUUCAACUAUAAAAUAAGCACACAUCAUAAGGAAUAAAUAGGGUCAUCACCCAAGGAGAAAAACACAAAGAAACAAAAUAAAAACAAGAUUCAAGAGAGAGAUUGAAGGCUACACAAGAGGAAAAAUUGCAGAGAUCAAUUGGGAGCUCAAUCCUUCUUAUCCUUCUCUUGUUUUUGUGUUUUCUAUUUAUUCAUGGGGAUGUGUUUCAUGGCUGAAACUUUGUUCUUUAUUUUUCUUUUGCAAACCAUGAACUAAAUUUAUUUGUGGUUGAGUGAUAAACAAUCUUGAUGGUUUAUUGACUGAAUUUAUGUGCUGCUGCAUGUUUGCUGUAGCAGUUUGUUUUGAUAGUAUUUAUUUUUAUUCAUUAUUUCGGUUGAUCACUCAUUUAAUGAUACAAGUUAGGAGAGAGCCGCAAAAGAGCUUAUCUUAGUGGAACAUAUCAGAGCAAUACUUGGUUUUAGAUUGGGUUUCCUGGAUUGAGUUUAACUUAUCCCAAAAGGGUCAUGCUUAAUAUAAAAUUAGUGAUGAACUAGGCAUAGGGAUUCACCUUGUAGGGUAAAUAAAAUAUAAGCGUGUAAUGUUAUGUCUUAUGUUGACAUAACAAUUGAUCACUGUUAGGUUACAUAUAGAUAUAAGAUAUCCAACAUGCGACGGCUAAAGAUGCAUAAAGAUUAUGCCUAGUGCUAUAACAGAUACUGCAGCAACCGAGCCAACCAUUAGAAAUAGUCAAGACCAUUAAGAGAGUUUAUUCACUCAACUGCUUUAUAUUCCUAUUGAUUUUAUCUUUGAGAUUGACGUGAUAAUUUACUUUGUUGCAUUUUAUUUAUUGUGUUUUUAUUUUAAUUAGUAAAUUAGUUUCAUCAAUUGUUUAUCUUAAUUUAGACACAAAAUCUGCACUGUUAAGAUUGCUGUAGCAAGUCUAAUAACAUCAAUCCCUGUGGAGACGAUCUUGAAUACUCAUAACUUUAUUACUUGUUGUGUACACUUGCACAUUGACACCAAUAGCAUAAGUAUUUAUACACCAACAAAACCCUAGGCUCCAUAUUUAUUUAUUUUUUUAAUUCUAUAAAAUCACAUUUGAUUUAAAUUAAAAACAAUAAAAAUCAAAGUGGCGUUACUUGUUCUUAUGUUAUAGGGGCCCACCUUGUAAAAUAACACAAACCCCCUUACACACAAGCUUAUUAAAUGGAGUCUCCCACUAAAUAAUAUAUUUAGGCUUUUAACCCAAAUAACUAGUUAUCUUGUUUAUUAAUCCAGUAGCGGUGCAGUCAAUUAAAUGAGCUAACCCGGGGAUCAUAUGGGUACAUACAAUAAUGGCUACAAUAAUUAAGCCUGUAAUUAAACUAGCCAGAUUAUUUAAUUCCAAAUCUACUCCAUUAAAAGAUUGGAAUUGACUACCAUAAUUGUAUGCUAUCUGGAAUAGUAUUUUCGAAUAACAAUCCGACCCAUUCCACAUUAAUUUCUUUACUACAUAAUCCUUUGUACCACAUCGUUAAUUAAAUCGAUAUCUCAACUAUCCAAUCAAUUUAAUUAUAUCUUGUUCCUUAAUUCUUACUGGUUUUCUCUAAUGACAUUUUCAACAUACUAAAUAUAUUGACACACUCUAGCCAGAGAAUUCUAUGAUCAAGUGCCGAAAACCCAUCAAGAGUGUGUUGUACAAAUUCUAUAAUGUUAAUCUAUAACUCCAAUACUCAUAAUUGCUCCCACCAAGAUACCGGAUAAUCUUGACUACAAGUGCGCGUCGUGCCCAUUGGUAACUCAAAUGGAAUAACAAUUACAAUCAUGAAAUCAUAACUAACUCAAGAUUAAGAUUACAGUAAAAUCAAUGUCUAUGAGAUUUAAUAAGUUUGACAGUUAUUACAAAGUUAAUUAAAUCUCAUAUGUGAUCCUGUUCAAUGUAGUCGUACUACAUCAAUAAAUUCAUACAUGAUUAAGACAAAUCAUUCAAUUAAUUUAUUACAGUCUAUACCUAAAUAAAAUGCCCAACUUUUAUUUAUCAACUGCGAACUUAAUUUAUUUAAUCAUAAGAUAACUUGUAUUUAUGUCUUCUGUGAAUCCACAUGAUGAUCACAUAAAUAUAUAUAAUAUGAUUAAAUGGACUUUACUAAAAAUAAUAAUGCAAUUAAGAUACAAGAAUAAAAUACCUCAUUUAUUUUAUUAAUCAGAAAAAUUAUUUAUUACAAUUAAAUAAACACAUAUGCUUUUAAAGAGCAUAUUUUUCCAACAAUCUCCCACUAGCUCUCAAAGCACAUUUGGCAUCUCACGCAUGCCCAUGGAUUCUAAGUGCAAGUUAAAAGGUUUCCCAACUAUGGCCUUAGUAAAAGGAUCUGACAUGUUUUGCUAUGACGCAAUCUGAGUAACCUCCACAUCACCUCUCUGCACUAUAUCCCUUUUAAGAUGAUACUGCCUCUCAAUAUGUUUUUGUUUCUUAUGGUUCCUUGGUUCCUUAGAUUGAGCUACCGCACCACUAUUAUCAUAAAAUAGUUUAAAGGGUGCAGUUACAGUAGGUACCACCUCAAGAUCUUGUGGGAACUUGCGAAGCCAUACAGCUUCUUUUGCAGCUUCGAAUGCAACCACAUAUUCAGCUUCAGUUGUGGAGUCUGAAAUACAAGAUUGUUUCACACUCCUCUCAAUAUGUUUUUGUUUCUUGUGGUUCCUUGGUUCCUUAGAUUGAGCUACCGCACCACUAUUAUCACAAAAUAGUUUAAAGGGUGCAGUUACAGUAGGUACCACCUCAAGAUCUUGUAGGAACUUGCGAAGCCAUACAGCUUCUUUUGCAGCUUCGAAUGCAACCACAUAUUCAGCUUCAGUUGUGGAGUCUGAAAUACAAGAUUGUUUCACACUCCUCUAACUAAUAGCUCCACUUCCUAAUGUAAACACAUAGCCGUAAGUUGAUUUUCUAGAAUCUUUAUCUGACAUAAAGUCAGAAUCAGUAUAACCCACUAGAAUGAGUUCAUCACCAGAAUACACAAGCAUAUAAUUUUUAGUUCUUUUCAGAUACUUCAUUCUAUGCUUGACUGCAGUCUAGUGUUCAAGUCCAAGAUUAGAUUGAUAUCUGUUUACCAUCCCUAUCGCAAAAUAGAUGUUUGGCCUAGCGCAAAGCAUGGCAUACAUAAGACUUCCCACAGCUUCUGCAUAGAGAACUCAUCUCAUUUUCUCAAUCUCUUCAAAUGUUUUAGGUGAUCCUUAGAGAAUGCAAUUCCACGUCUGAAUGGUAACAAACCAGUCUUAGAAAUUUCCAUGCUAAAUCUAGCAAAUAUCUUGUCAAUAUAGACUGCUUGAGACAAGGCUAAAGUUUUAUUCUUCCGGUCUCGUAGUAACUUGAUACUAAGAAUAUAACUUACCUCUUCCAGGUCUUUCAUAUCAAAUUAUUUUGCUAACCAACUCUUUAUUGUAGUCAAUACUCUUAUAUCGUUUCCAAUUAGGAGAAUAUCAUCUACAUAAAGAACUAGGAAGGCUAUAGAUUUUUCUUGAAUUUUCUUAUACACAUAUGGUUCAUCAAUGUUCUGAAUGAAUCCAAACGAUUUAAUCGCUUGAUCAAAUCUGAUAUUUCAUUACUGGGAUGCUUGCUUCAAUCCAUAAAUGGAUCUCUGCAACUUACAUACCAUGUGUUCUUGGCCUUUUUGUAUGAAUCCAUUUGGUUGCUGCAUGUAGAUGUCUUCUUCAAGAUGCCCGUUAAGAAAUACAGUCUUGACAUCCAUUUGCCAAAUUUGAUAAUCUAGCUCUGCAGCAAUGGAGAGCAGAAUCCUGAUGAAUUUAAGUAUAGCAACCGGAGAAAAUGUUUCCUCAUAAUCGAUUCUCUCUUUUUGAUUAAACCCUUUGGCUACUAAUCUUGCUUUAAAUGUUUCCACCCUUUCGUCUACUCCUCUUUUUCUCUUGUAUAUCCACUUGCACCGUAUAGGUUUUACCUCAUUUGGUGCCUCUAUAAGUUCCCAGACUUUAUUGGAAUACAUAGAUUCCAUUUCUUGAUUCAUGGCCUUUUUCUAAAAUUCAAUAUCUCCGUCUAUUAGAGCUUCGUUUUAGCUAGUGGGAUCUUGUACAUGUUCAUCUGAGAUAGUCGUAUAGGUUUCUCCCAAUAACAUGUAUCUUGCAGGUAACCUAGUUACCCUCCCACUACGACGAGGUUCUAAAAGUGAUGGUUGUUCAGGGAUAAUUUUGUGGUGAUCAGCUGGUUGUUGUUGUUCUUCCUGUUAUAUAACAGGUGUUGAAAGCUGAGCAUCAACCUGAUCACCACCAGUUCUUUAAGUAUUACCUUACUAUUAGGUUUGAAGUUAUUCAUAUAGUCAUCCUCGAGGGAAGUGAAAUGUGUGCUCACGAUCACUUUCCUAUCUUGAGAACUAUAAAAUAAACCUCCCCUUGUUCCUUUGGGAUACCCCACAAAUAUACAAACCUUAGAACGUGAAUCCAUUUUGUCUGCUUUUGGUUUUAGCACAUGUGCUGUUGAUCCCCAAAUACGAACAUGUCAUAAACUUGGUUUGCGACCUAACCAUAAUUCUAUUGGGGUUUUAGGCACUAACUUAGAUGUAACUAAGUUCAAGAGGUAAACUACAGUCUCCAGUGAUAGUCCCCAAAAAGAGAUUGAUAAUGACGAAUAACUAAGCAUAGAUCUCACCAUAUCCAAAAGAGUUCUAUUUCUCCUUUCAGCUACCUCAUUUUGUUGUGGUGUCCCCGGAGUAGUUAACUGAGACAUAAUCUCAUUUUGAACUAGAUACUCCUUAAAAUCUCCUGAGAGAAAUUUACCACCUCGAUUAGAUCGAAGUUUCUUUAUGUUCUUAUCUAAUUGCUUUUCUGUCUCAGCCUUAUACUCUUUGAAUUUUUCAAGAGUUUCAGACUUAUGACGCAUCAGAUAAAUAUAACCGUAUCUCAAGUAAUCAUCGGUGAAAGUAAUUAAAUACUCAUAACCUCCUCGAGCUUAUACACUGAUUGGUCCACAUACAUCUGUAUGUACCAAUUCAAUUGGUAUUGUUGCACGCACUCCUUUGCCCAAGAAUAGCCUUUUGGUCAUUUUUCCUUCUAAAUAUGAUUCACAGAUUGACAAUGAUUCAUUUUCUAAUAAACCCAUAAGUCCAUCUUUGAUCAUUCUCUGUAUCAUAUUUUGGUUUAUAUGACCCAAGCGUAAAUGCUAGAGGUAACAUUGGUUGGAAGAAAUAUCUUUUUUCUUAGAUAAAUGUAUAUGCUCAUCAUUAUUGAUCAUUGUGUCAUACAUAGAAUGGAUCAUCGGACUUAAAUGAUAUAAAUUAUCUUCCAAUAUACCAUAACAAAUAAGUCUCUUAUUAUAAAUAAAAAAAAUAGAAACAAAGGAUCCAAAAUUUACAGUGUACCAUUGUUUUGACAAAUAAGCUACUGAAAUUAAAUUCAUCUUAAUGUCUGGAACAUAAAGACAAUUAUUCAAAACUAAAGUCUCAUUAUUAAAAGAUAAUAAAAUAGAUUCAAUCUUUACUAAUGACACGAACUGUCUUGUCCCUAACUGUAGCUUGACGCUUCCAUCACUUAGUUUCCUGGUUUCCUGAAACCAAUAAAGUGAAUUACAAAUAUGAUUAGUUGCUCCUGAAUCCAACACCCAAGUGUCAACAGGAUUCUGAACUAAACAAGCCUCAAUUAUAAAAAGAUUUCCCAUAUCUGAUUCACAAUCUUAGGGCAAUCCUUUUUCCAGUGAUUUUUCUGUCCACACUUGAAGCAUUUGCCUUUUGGCUUGCCAUCUUACUUGGUAGACGGUUUCUUUUUCCCAGCUUUCUUCUUACCUUUGCCUUUUGGCUUAGGUCUAGAAGAAGAACAUUUUUCAGCAAUAUUAAUGCUUCCCAGAGAUUUCUCAACACGGUAGAUAUCGUCAGCAGAAUUGAGUUCAUUCAUCAAUUUAAUUAAGGUCAUCUUUCUUUUGUUCAUGCUAUAAUUGACCUUAAACUCCUUGAAUGUUUUUGGCAGAGAUUCUAGCACCAUGUCAAUCUUUGUGUUAUCAUCGAUUUGUGCUCCCUGAAUCUCAACCCCAUUCAAAUAGUCCAGCAUUUUGAGGACAUGAUCACGAACUCUUAUGCCGUUCCCCAUUUUUCUGUUCAUAAUACCUUUCAGCGCUGCUUGUCUCGUAGAGCGAGUACUCUGCCCAAACAUCUCUUGGAGACUAUCCAUUAUUUCAAUGGCAGUCUCAAAGUUCUAAUGUUUGGUCUAUAGAAUAUUAGAAAUCAAGGCUAAAAUGUAGCAUUUUGUCAUUUCAUUGGCCUUUUGUCAUUUCUUAUAAAGCAUCAUCUGAUUUCUAUGAGCAUCUUCCGUUGGAAUUGGAGGGCAUGGUUGGGUUAAAACAUAUUUAGAAUUUUCAGCAAUCAGGACAAUGAAUAGAUUUCUUUUCCAAUUUAUAUAGUUCUCGCCAGUGAGUUUGUUUUGAUUCAGAAUAAUAGUAAGUGAGCUCAGGGAAGACAUUUUCUGAAAAAUAAAACAUCCAUGCAUAAAUAAUUUGAUAUAAAAUUUACAAUAAAUGACAAAAAUGCAUAAAACCAUAAAUGCAUUUUAAUUUAUUGUAACGACAAUCUAGUAUCGCUUUGACAAGCUAUCCAUUAGGGAAUUCAUGUCUACACUUACUAAACCCAAUUAUCCAUUGGAUUAUUUACUUUCAUUUUGAGACAUGAUAAAUAAUUUUCAUUAUCUUUUUUGGCCUAAAUUUGUUAAUAGAGCUUCGUUGGGAAGGUUAAUAACAAAUAUUUAGUUGAGUGUAUAACCAUUAUUUCAAUCUACGUAUUUUUUAUAUCAAUAGUCACCGUUGGGGUGAUCAAUUGAUUGAAAAAUAUUUCAAUUUUAUCUUUGAAAAAGUUCAUCAAAUAAAAUGUCUAAUAUAUAUACCCUUCGAAGGAAGCAUCACCGUAUCAUGAAGUCGCGGUAUAUAUAUAAUUUUAUUAUUAAACUAACAAUGGAGCCCGUGGGAAAAAUUAUCUUGAUUUUUCCCUCUCCCACUCGAUAUUUUAAAAUUGGUUUUUCCUUUUUAAAACAUACAUUAAUUAUAUAUUGUUAAUUGCAUGCUUCCUAUAAUAUUAUUUAGAUGAUAUCCAAUAUUAUUAAGCAUAUGCAAAUUUCAAACAAUAUAAUGAAAUUCAUAAUUAAUGAAUAACAUGUAUCAUUAUGCAUAGAGUGGCACUACCUAUUCUAUAUGACAUGUUAUCAUGGCAUGUUAUCACCCAAAACAUAAGAUAUAGAAAAAUAAAUAAUCUUAAUUCAUGGCUUUCCUAAAAUGAAAAAAUACAUUAACCCUAAACCUAAUCUUCAUUGGGCUUCUUGUCAAUGUCCAUCUUCCAUAGCCUUGUAUUUGUUAAUGGACUAAGAGAAAUUGGACUUUUAAAUUUAUUAUUGGUCCAAUUUUAAUUUAGAAAGAAAAUAAAUAAAUAAUUUUUUUAAAUAAAACUUUUAGAUCAAAAAAUAAAUUUAAUGUGUUAAAUUUUAUCUAUGUAUUUUAAUCUAUUAAGCCUAAUUUCAAUUGGGCCUAAAACUAGGACUCAUUAGGCCUAUAACUGUUUUUAGACUUAAAUACGUAAAUAAAAAAUAUUUCUGUCCAAAAACAAAACUACAAAACUAUAGGGACCUCAAUAAUAAAAACCAUGAAGCCCUAAAAUCCAUAUAUUUCUUUCCCUUUCUUCUCUAGCCGCCAUCAAUGCAAAGCUCAGCCGCUGUUCACCAUAGACCAGCCACUGUUCAGAGACGCCACCCAUCUCCGUCGCCGAGUUUACUGCCGCCGUCACACCGAAAACCAACCGAACCCGCAUUUCAAUGUUUUAAUUAUUAUUUUGUUAGUUAAAUUACAUUUUUCUUUAUUUAGAUGUCGAUAAUUCAUGUUUAUGGAAUCAAAAUAACUAAUAAGUUUUAAAAUUUUACUCUUUUUUUUUUUUGCCACAAGGUUAAAUUUAAAACUCUUUAAAAUUAUCUAAAGCAAUUUUAAUAGUGAGCUGGGACAGGGACACUGUCACAAAUUCAAAUGGGAAAUUUACAGUAAUAACCAAAAAAGUUUUGCUUUUUUUCAUCUUAACCCCCCAAAAAUAUUUCUAUCAACAUUAGCCAUAAAACAACAUUUGAGACCAAAAUACCCCUCCCUCAUCUCUCCACCAACACUCCCUUUCACUCAUCUCUCCCAAACCGAUCCAACUCCCAUCAUCGGCGGCAACAUCAACCCUCGUCGGCGGCGACUCCAUCUCUCACCGGCAUCCGAUCUACGAUAUACUCUAAGUACUAAAAAUUUUUUAAUCGAAAUAUUUGACUUUUCAUUUACUAACCCAUGUUUCAGAUUCUUGUAAUACAUGUUAUCAAAUUUUCUCGGCGUGAACACGUCAAUAAAUGCCGACAUGGCAGGGUCAGAUUGUGAAGUCUUGCUGAAGUUGAAUAUUCUGUUAGCAAACUCUUUGCAAUGGGCGAAUCCUAUAGUGUGUCCACCAACAAGAGCAACCAUUUCUUGCACUGAAAGCCCUUUGGAGCCGAAGAUAUCAAUAAUUUGAGAUAACGAAAGAUUAGUGGUAGGGAUAUUGCCUUGAACGUGAGAAGCAUCAGAAACAAGGCUAUCUUUACAUCCCAAAAGGACUUUAUAAUGGGGGCCACCCACCAUAACAAGAAGGUUACGCGUUGCCACAGAAAUGAUAUCAGAACAUGAGACAACGCCGGGACAUUGUAGCUCAAGGGCUGUUUUUGCACGUGUUACUAGGUCAACCACAUCCCCCGGGAGGGGGAGGUUGACGUCGGCAUCUCGCUCGGACUUAUGGAAGGCGUUGGAGGUGAUGAGGACGGAUGCAUCACAGCCGUCGACUAAGCAGUCGUGGAGGAAGAGGCGGAGGACGCCGGCGGCUGUCGCGGGGGCAGAGAGUUGCUUGUCCGUAAUGACUUGUUGCAUUAUUAGUGGGAACUGAGGGCAUGUGUUGCUGUAGUAGUUAAGAGCAAGUUGGGAUUGUGUACGUUGAAUAAUUGUCAAGAAGGAACACGAGAUCAGAACGAUGGAAAUGGAAGAGAAUUGAGCCAUCGUUUGGUAUGAUAAAACUUGGUGCGACAGGUGCCUGUCGCACCAAACCUUGGUGCGAUAGGUGCCUGUCGCACCAAGCAAGGUGCGACAGGCAGCCUGUCGCCAAAUUCACCCACGACUCAGUUCAGCAAGUUCAGAAAAUAACUCAUACCAGUGAUGCCGAUUAGUGUUGGAUUAGGAUAGAUUAUGAUCGGAUUUCACUUUUACCGUUGUCUUUUGCCGUCGCCGUUGGUUGAUGAUUAAACUGCGUUUGGUUUGACGAUAUGGGAGAAACAUUGUUGCUUUUGUUCUGUAAAGAAGGGUAAUUUUGGGAGAAAUGCUUGUGUUUGGCUAAUGUUGAUAGAAAAAAGUUGUGAGGGUUAGUUGUGAAAAUAACAAAAUAUUUAUGGUUAUUUUCGUAAAUUUCCUAAUUCAAAUCAAUUUUGAACAUAUUUAAAAUUACACUUCAAAAUUUUCUAAAACUGACUGGGGACAGUAUCUUGGCUCCGCUACUGGGUUGUCAUCACCGGUCACCACCAACGUCCCUUUCUAACAGGCUUUCUUUUCCCAAGUCUUCAACUCGAGGAACCUCGCUCCAGCUAAAGGACCCUCAUGAAGAACCUCCCAGGAACUCAAAGCAACCCCUUUCUAUCUUCCUUUUGUGUGAUCUCGUGUGCGAGGCGUGUCACGCUCUUACUGGGGGGUGGUAGGCCCUACAGCAGAUUUCUCCAAUGAAAGCUUACCGCACGUGCCGUCGUAUCAUGACCUAGCCGACGGUGCACGCUAAAUCAAGCUCCAGUUUCUACAUUGUAAUCUACUUUCCAUCAAAGCUAAAGAUGAGCUGGAAAAAAAUGUUGCUGCAAUAUGGAAGUGGAUGGACACUUUUAACAUUUUGAAAUGAAAAAAUACUUGCGUCGUCUUUAGUAAAAAAUGAAAAAAUAUUAUUAUUCUUGUACCAAAAUAUUGCAAUUUUGAUGUUUAUCUGUUUUAUUUUUUAUUACUUUGUAUUUACAGGGAAUGACGCACCAUAUCGAAUUUGGAGAAGGAAUUGUGUGGAACAAUCCAAUGGUUAAAAAAGGAAAGGCUCAAAAUUUUAUUUGGAAAAAUCAAAAGGAUCACGGCAUGUCACAUGUGUGAUUGACUGGAACACCACAAAUAUUACAAAAAAUUCAAACUAACUUUUAGAGUCCCUCACCACAAGGGCAAAGAAAGUUGACAACGUGUUGACCAGGGUAGAAGACUUAGAAAGUUAACAACGGGAGUUCAAGAAAUAGGGUUUGUUUCACGCACUUUUAUUCUCAUAAAUUGAAGUGAAUCCGAUCUCAAAACAAUUAUUAGAAAAUUUUCUUUCCUGUUUUAUGAAUGGCGAUACUUCCAUGCUUUAGCAUCUUUUGCUCUUUGAUCUUGUCGUUGAGCGUGAAGGUUUCAUUAGCAGCUGAUACAGUGACUCCAGCAUCCUUCAUCCGUGAUGGUGAGAAGUUAGUUUCAUUUUCUCAAAGGUUUGAGCUAGGCUUCUUCUCCCCUGGAAAAUCAAAGAGCAGGUACCUGGGAAUAUGGUUCCGGCAGGUCCCUGAUACAGUUGUGUGGGUUGCAAAUAGAGAUAGGCCUAUCUCCGAUCAUAACGCAGUAUUAACCAUUAGCAACAAGGGAAAUCUUGUUCUUCUCAACCAAACAAAUGGCACUAUCUGGUCUACAAACGUGUUUAGCGAAGUAAAAAAUCCAGUGGCACAACUCAGAGAUGAUGGAAAUCUUGUUAUAAGGGAUAACUCCAGCGGUAAUACUACUGAAAGCUACUUGUGGCAGAGCUUCGAUUACCCAACAGACACUCUGUUGCAAGGCAUGAAGAUGGGCUGGGACUUAAAGAAUCGUCUGGAACGAUAUUUAUCAUCAUGGCAAAGUGAUGACGAUCCAUCUCCUGGGAAAUUCACUAGCAGACUUGAAAUUAAAGUGAUUCCUAAAAUGUGUAUUUUCAAUGGAUCAGUAAAAUUUGCCUGUUCCGGACAAUGGAAUGGAGCUGCUUUUGUAUCUGCUAUUUCAUAUACAAACUUUCUUUAUGAACAAUAUUUGGUAGAAAAUCAAGACGAAAUUAGUUACUGGUAUGAGCCCUUCAACCGUCCAAGCAUAAUGACUUUAAAACUCAACCCCUCAGGUCUACUCACGCGCCAAAUAUUGAACAAUAACGGCAAUGAUUGGGACCUGGUGUUCUCAUUUCCAGAUGAAUAUUGUGGUAAAUAUGGGUACUGUGGUGCUAAUACUAUUUGCAGCCCCGACCAGAAACCUAUAUGUGAGUGCUUGGAGGGAUUCAAACUCAAAUCAAAAGUCAACCAGACAGGGCCUAUAAAAUGCGAGAGAAGUCAUUCUUCAGAAUGCAUAGGGGGACACCAUUUUAAAAAGCUUGAUAACAUUAGAGCGCCAGACUUCAUAGAGGUUUUUCUCAACAAGAGUAUGAAUCUGCAGCAAUGCGCGGCUGAAUGCUUGAAAAACUGCACUUGUAGAGCUUAUGCUAAUUCCAAUGUAACAGAAGGCAGCGGCUGUUUAAUGUGGUUUGGGGACCUGCUUGAUGCCAAUAGGCCAACAAGAAACUUCACCGGACAGUCUGUCUACAUACGAGUACCCGCUUCAGAAACAGGCACAAUUUUUGCUUUCCUGAAAUUGAUGUUGUAAAAAAUUUUCAAGUUGAAUCAAAAUGUAUUUAAGCCAACAUGUUUGAGGAAUUAAAUGUUAGAGAAACGGAUGAACAAAACUAAAACUAGGGGUGAUUUAAGUAAUUUAAGUUAUUUGGCUCCGCUACCUAGGAUUUUAUUUACUUUCUAUUGAAUUUCUUUGUCUGGAUGUAGGAAAAAGGAAGCUACUCUGGAUACUUGUAAUACUUGUUCUUCCACUGGUACUUCUUCCUUCCUUUUACAUAUUUUGUCGACGGAGGAGAAACUGCAAAGAGAAAGGUAAUUUUUUUCAUAUCACUCACUGGUAUGUUGUAUGAUAUGGCAUGUGAUAGAACAUGUAUACUCACAGUUUUAAAAGUUGUGGUCUUACAGAAACAGAGAAUAUGGAAACAAACCAGGAUCUGUUGGCAUUUGACAUAAAUAUGGGCAUUACAACAAGAACAAAUGAAUUCGGUGAAGUAAAUGGAGACGGAAAAGAUAAGGGCAAGGAUUCUUGGUUGCCAUUAUUCAGCUUGGCCAGCGUGGCUGCUGCUACAGAAAACUUUUCUAUGCAAUGUAAGCUUGGAGAAGGUGGCUUUGGCCCUGUUUACAAGGUAGAAUUGUUGAUACCUCAAAUGUCCUUAGUGAAGUACUGCUGGUGUAAAACAUUAACAAUAUUUAGAAUGCAGGGUCGAUUACUUAAUGGACAAGAAGUUGCAGUUAAAAGGCUCUCAAGUCAGUCAGGGCAAGGACUCGAAGAGUUUAAAAAUGAGAUGAUGCUUAUAGCAAAACUUCAACACAGGAACCUUGUUAAACUUUUGGGUUGCUGUGUAGAGCAAGGCGAAAAGAUUUUGAUCCUCGAGUACAUGCCUAACAAAAGCUUGGAUGUUUUCCUUUUUGGUAUGUGAUUUAUAUUCCCAAGAAUUUACAUUUCAUUACUUUGCAAUGCCAUGUCAGAUUUUAUCAUCAGCAUUUUUUUAAACUUGUGUCAUUUUGGUAUUCCAACAGAUCCAACCAAAAAGCGCCUCUUAGGUUGGCAAGCACGUGUUAAAAUUAUUGAAGGAAUUGCUCAAGGGUUAUUAUAUCUUCAUCAGUAUUCUAGAUUUAGAAUUAUUCAUAGAGAUCUCAAGGCUAGUAAUGUUCUCUUAGACAUGGACAUGAACCCCAAAAUCUCAGACUUUGGCCUGGCAAGAAUGUUUGGUGGUGAUGAAUCGCAGGGAAAUACUAAACGGAUUGUUGGAACCUAGUAAGUAAAUUUCCAUUGCCGAAAAAUGUUGUUUGCUUGUCCCGUUUUCUUAUAUUAUUUAAUAUUUGUUGAAACAAUGAAAUUUCAGUGGUUACAUGUCACCUGAGUAUGCCCUGGAUGGUCUCUUCUCUAUAAAAUCAGAUGUCUUUAGCUUUGGAAUUUUGAUGUUGGAAACGUUGAGUGGCAAGAAAAACACAGGCGUCUACAAUGUUGAUUCCUUUAAUCUUCUCGGCUAUGUAAGUAACAAGUCGUUUCACUUUUAUUUAAUCUUUAGUGAAUGAAUUUCGAAAGUUAAGAAUUACCCUUGUCAAUUAAACUAAUAUGAUCUUGACUUCCUUUAGGCUUGGGAUCUAUGGAAAGAUGAUAAGUUUCAUGAACUAAUAGAUCCAGUAAUAACGCAAGAUAAAAUAUUGUUGCCAGUGCUGGUGAGAUACAUUAAUGUAGCUCUUCUGUGUGUUCAAGAUAAUGCAGCAGACAGACCAACCAUGUCAGAUGUUGUCUCAAUAAUUAACAGUGAACGUCUUGAAUUACCUUCACCUAAGGAACCUGCUUUUAUCAAAGGUAUAAAUGUGAAGAAUUCAUCUCAUUCAAAUGAUGGGAUGUCUAACAUUUGUUCAGUGAAUGAUGUAACAGUUUCACUAGUUAAUCCUCGAUAGACAUCAAUCCUCCACAACUGUUUAUGUGAUAUAAUUUGUAUAUUUAUAGCUAAAUGUUUUUUAAGUUGAUGAUUCUAAAUUGCCUGCAUUGUUUAAUGGAAAUGGCACAUCAUAUUAAAAUUUAAAAUUAAUAAAUUAAUAAUCUUGGGACCAUGAAAAAUCUUUUUAAUUUAAUGAAUAUUAAUAUAUCAAUACAUUAAUGAUUAUUAUUUUAUAAAAAUAAUAUCACGUUAAUUUUUACAUAUCGUAAAUAUUUAUAAAGUAAGCAUUAGAUAUAUAGAUAAAAAUGAAAAAUGAAAAAUUAACUUUGAUGGCAAAUCGCAUUGGUCCAACCAAGAAUUUAACAUAAUAUUUGUACGUAAAAAAUUGUUACCUAAUAAUAAAUUAAUUUCUUUAAAAUUAAAAUUGAAUGUCUGUUAGUUAUUUAGUUUUCAUUGGACCAAGUGAAAGUUGAGACCGAGAUAAUUCUAAUAUGACAUGUAAAUUAUGAAUAUCAUUUUGGUAAGAAGGAAAAAUGUAUCAAUUUUUUUUUUGGAAGUAAAUACACUUAUGAGGAUAUUUAUGAGAAAACAAAUAAUCUUUCAUUCUGACAUAUGGUCAUUUAGAUAACAGUUAGAAACUUUUUAUUCAUAUGAAAAUAUCUUACAAUAAGACUUCAGAUACCAAAAAAAAAAAAAAAGACAAGCCAAAAUAUCAAAAUAUUUUAAAAUAAGCCAAAUUAAAACAAACAAGGCGUUAGUGAUUCUAUAAAGUUGUAUGACACAAUUUUGAUUUAAUCUUAAUUGAGUAAAUCAAUUACUUGAUAAUUAUUUAGCUAAAUUGUAUGGCUAGAUCACAAUUACAUGGUAACUCAUCAGAGCAUGCUUUUUUUAAGGCAAUAAAUUAAGCUCUCUCUCUCUUAUUCUCUUAACAUAGCACAUAGAAUACAACAAUGUUUUCACAUUGAAAGUUGUAAAAAAAAUGCAACAAUGAUUAAUGAAAAUUAUGACCUAACAAAAAAGAAAAUCAUAGAGAUAUAAUAUGUAUUUAGUUUCAAAUUUGUUAAUUAUUAAUUUAUGUAUUAAUUGGGUCCUAUAGAAAAUAAGAUUUUUAAAAAAAUUUAUUAUCAAAUAAUUUAUCAAAUUGUUAAUUUAUCACAUUGACCUCAAGUUAGGAUUUACAAAAUUUAUUAUUCAAUGAAAGUUAACAGAGUAUUAACUUAAGAUCUCAUUAACUUUGUAGCCUAAUUGCCCUGCUUUUUUUUUUAGACUUGAAGCCAAAUUGUCCAUAGUUUAAUACAGUUAACAAUCAUUCUUUACGCUACGUCAAUUUUCCAAAGAAACAUUUUGGAUUUUGCCCAAUAUAGAGAGAGAGAGAGAGAGAGAGAAAUUUGUGACAAAUUCAAUGCUAGGGAUGGCAAAAAUCCCUACUUGGACGGGAACCUCAAGGAUUUUUCUAAUUUGGAGAGGGUACAUGGAUGAUUUUAUACCAAAUUUCUUAUUCAGUGAAUGGACAAGGACGAUUUUUCACCUAAUUUCUUUUUCGGGCAAGGACGGGGAUGAGUUAGAAUUAGGCAUGGAAAUAAAAUACGAAUCCAGCCCGCAUCCGCAAGGAUCCAGAAGAUUCGAAUCCGAAAAAUCUAGAUCUGUAUAUUAAAAAAUACAAAUUCGGAUUUAGAAAAUCGAGAUCUGCAUAGAUCUGGACUUGCAUCGAGAAAGCCGGAUAUCUGGAUCCGGUCAAUUUUAUUUUAAAUUAAAAAAAUUAAAUUAAAAAAAUAAAUUUUAUUUGAGGAUUUAUGAUGAUGUUGUAUAUUAUUCAUGUUGAAUUACUAAUUGUUGAAUUAUGAUUGAAUUUUAUUUGAUAUUAUUAGGUAAAUUAUUGAAUUUUAACUUAAAUUAAAAAUAUAUACUAAAAUUUGAAAAUUAAAUUUUAUUUGUGAAUAUAAGAUGUUGUUCUAUGUUAUUCAUGUUGAAUUAUUAAUUGUUGACUUAUGAUUGAAUUUUAUUUGAUAUUAUUAGGUAAAUUAUUGAAUUUUGAUUUUCGCAGAUCUGAUAUCUAAAUAUCCACCCGCAUCUGUUGCGGAUAUUACCCGUAUUCGGAUCCACUUUUUUUUUACGGAUCUAGAUACAGAUCCAAAUGGAGAAAUGUAAAUGUGGAUUCGAAUCCAGAUUUUGUUAGCUAGAAUGCCCAUCCCCUCCUCAAUUCCCCAUUUCCCUAUUUUAAUUUUAAUUUUAAUUUUUAAAAAUAUUAAUGAAUAAAUAAUAAAAUUUAAAUAAUAACAAAUAUUAAAAUAUUUAUACAAAUAUACUAUGAAACUUUCGGGUUUAGUUAACUAGUUGUAAUCCUGAUUGUUAUUUAAUCAAGUCUUAUUCAAAAGGUUUUGGCCCAAAAUUUUUGUUACAAAGUUUUAUCUAAUAAAACAAAAACUAAAGUAAAAGGUAAAGCUAUAACAUCCAAACUUUACUAAGAUAUAAUGUCAAACUUUACUUUUAUUUAAAUUUUUUAUUUUAAUAGAUUAAAUCAAAUUUAAAACCUAAAAAUAUAUCAAUUAUUUAGGAGUUAUUUAAGGAUCGGAGACCCUAAGAAAUCUUUUAUUAUUAUUCGAGAAGGGAUGGAGAUAAGGUGGAGUCGUGGAGAUAUAUGCAUAAUAUCAUGGAUAAGUACGUGAAUAUCAGUCCCCUCCCCUCCUCUCACCUCUCACCUCUCCUUUGGCAUCCUUGUCCAGCGCAAGUUUUAAAAUAACGCUCAAGUCUAUGAAUUUGAGUGCGGAAUAAGAAAUUGAAAAACGGUUAGUUUGGGACCACAAAUGCCGUGUUUUUCAGGAAUUUAGAGAAAACUACAUAAUUUCGAAAAUUCAAUGGGCACCGAAAAAAUUAUUACCUGUAAAUUGAAUUUGCCAGCAUUUUAUUUUAAUUAUUAUUACCAGCAUACUCAUCGUUGCUUUUAAAGGAUGGAAGCAAUGCUGCCAUAUUAAUUCUUUAACAAUUCGUUCGUUAACAAUAACCGACCUACCCUCAUGUGUUGUUGGGGGCCCUCAAAUCGAAAAAUGACGCAGGAAAUGAUUGUCAGUAUAGAAUUAGUUUUUGAGUUUAUUUUAAGUUUUUUUUAAUAUAAUGUUUUUUCUUUUUUUAUUGUUAGUCAGAUUUGUCGUAUUUAAGUUCUUGUGCAGCGAGGUAUUACUGUUUGGAUUAGAAGAAAUAGUCCACAACAUAGGUUGUAAUCUCAAAUAAUCAAUUAAUUAACUAUCUUAAUUUAUAAACUCAUUUCUUUUAUAUUUUUCUUCGUCGAUCUUAAAAUCUGUCAUCUAGAAUUUUUUACAUCAUUAGUCAUUUGAUUGUUGACGUAAGGUGAUUUUAUCUGUCUAUUAAUUUGGACCUACGUUUAUUAAAAUAAUGUAACGGAACGUGUUUCAGCAAUAGACGAGGUGUCAUUAUUUUACUUCUGCCGUCCCAUUUUCUGCUUCCGCUGUCUCACUAAGUCAUAAAACAAUUUCAGUGAAUACAAGGGCCCUAAUUAAAAUUUUACCUUUAAGAAACCUUUCAGCCUCUAACAAAGCAAAGUAUGGACUGCAAUGGAAACUUCCUCGAGCUGACUCAUACAAUAGAUGUGGCUCCAGAUCGCUUUAAAUCCAUCUCAAACACCAGCCCUCUGGAGAAGACUAUGGUAUGGCCAACUUGUUUGUCGUUUGCAAUAAAGAAACAUAAUUAAUUUCUAACAGCCUUUCGAACUGGUAGCAAUUGAAGAUGGAUAUCCAUCACUUUCAGUAAUUAAUAAUUCUGCUGUUGUAGAUUGGUAGACCACGUUUGCAAUUCGGAUUGAACGAUUGUGAUUUAAAAAGUACGACACUAAAUUAUUAAUUACUGAAGGUGAUGGAUAUCCAUCUUCAAUCGCUACCAGUUUAGAUCAAGCGGUAAGCACUUGAGCAGUGUGUACUUGAGUCCACAGAUGUGUGUGAUUACAAGAUCAAGCUGUGUGCGCAGGUAAAGAGAGGUGUAUGUGAUUGGCGUGUAUGCGCAUACAAAUGAAUCACACGAGAUGUGCUUGUGGUGGAAAUCCAUUCAGCUUUCGCAGUACUCCUUAUUCCUUAGAUAUCCAUCACUUCAUACGAAUUGCAAUUGACCAAAAAUUCAAUGGGACAAAAUCCAAGCAAAAAAAAAAUACAAUUUAAUAAAUCAUAAAGUAGAGUUGGACGGGGUUCAAAAUUGCCUCAUUAAAAGUCUUUACUAAUAAAACUCAAUAGAAAAACUUGAUCAAAGAAAAAAAAAAAAAGAAUACAACGCACAUGUUUCAUUUUAACUUUAAAAAUUCUUCUAUUAUCUGAUGAGCGCUCCCCCUGAUGAUAACAUAUAUCACCUCAAUAAUUUAUUCAAAUGUCACAUAGUCAAUAGUUUAUUUUCAAUGGUUGAUGCAGGCAAAUCUUUCAUAAAUUAUCCUGUAAAAUUAUCAUUAGAAAUAUUUCUCUUCAACAAACAUAUCUUACAUGAUUAGUUAUAUCACCUGCAAAAACAACAAUAUCUAGAAUUUUCAUUAAUUUAUAACAAUAACGAUAUAUGUCAAAUUAAUAUCUUCAAAUUGGCAGAUAAAUUCCUGCAAAUAGAUUUGUAUAUUAAAAAGCAUUAAUCAGAUAUGAUACUUAAUAUCACAAUAGGAUCAAGAGAGUAAAAUAGGGUAUUCAAGGGUAGUUUAUCCAUUCUAAAAAUCAUUUUUUCAAAAUUUAUGGAUAAAGAUACCAAUGAAACUCCGCUCGAUUUGCAGCCCGCUACAUUAUUUAUUUUCUCGAAACUAUUUAUUUCAUUUUACUCCGUAUGAAGGUCUUGUGCCACAUGUAGAGCAUUUGCCUCUAUAGGACGCAGUGUCACUGUAGGGACACAAGUCUCAUCAAUGACCUUUUGCUCUAAAGGAGCAAUUAAUGCAUCAACUGUCCCUGGAUAUUUUGCUUUAAGGAACAACAACUCGAAUAUUAAUAAUUAGAUCGUGAAGGAGCGAUUUCAUGCGUAUACUUCACAGGAUAUAUUAUUGGGAAAAUGAUACAGAAAACUCAAUAUUUGAAUAAGAGAUACAAAAUUUUUUAAUAUUUAAAAAAAAAAUACUUAGAUCCAUUGGUUAACAGAAAUCAUUUUUUUUAACAAAAAUUAUAAUUUUAAAGUACAAUUAUUAUUAUACCCUUAUAACAUAUUAAAAAAUAAUUAUUCAUUAUUUAAUUUAUCCCUAUAUUAUUAAUAAAAUCUCCAAUAAAUCGAACAAAUUAACAACUUUGUUCAUCAAACAACCAUAAACCAAAAAAAAAAAAAAAUUCUCGUAAUCAUUUAUUUAUAUUCUUACACAUACAUCACAUAUGCAUCAAACAUGCUGGAGAAGUUAAUUUAGUAAAAAAAAUGAAAAAUAAAGAGAAAAAAUAGGUUUUAAGAGAAUUAAACCUUGGAUUCCACAAGCAAGAGCUGCAACCAAACGCGAGCACAAGCAGCGGCCAAACGCAAGCAGUUCCAGCAGCCAAACGCGAGAUUCCACAAGCAAGAGCAGCAACCAAACGCAAGCACAAGCAGCAGCCAAACGCGAGCAGUUCUAGCAGCCAAAUGCGAGAUUCCACAAGCAAGAGCAGCAACCAAACGCGAGCACAAGCAGCAGCCAAACGCGGGAUUCCACAAGCAAGAGCAGCAACCAAACGCGAGCACAAGCAACAGCCAAACGCGAGCAGUUCCAGCAGCUUCCUCGAUCGCAAGCAGUUCCGGCAACCAGACGCGGUCUCGAUCGACGCACGAGCAGAAGUUCCAGCAGCUUCCGGUAGCGCGAGCAGUUCCAGCAACUUCCGGCAGCCCCAGCAGUUUUCGGCAAGGCAAACCGUGAGUGUGUGUGUUAAAGGAUUUGUCUGGAAGCAGCGUGUGUGUGGUUUGUUUGUGCGUGUCAUGUGUGUGUGGGUUUUUAGUCAAUUCACUUGUUAUUAAUCUGCAAUUACGGUAUUAAUCUUGUAAUGAUUUAAUGAAACGGUAAUCAAUGGGGUCUGAGUGUCUUUUUUAAAAUAUUAAGAAAUUUUGUAUUCUUUAUUCAAACGUUGGGGGUCUCUGUGUUCUUUUCCCUAUAUUAUUUUGCUCUAUGGAAGCAAUAACUUAAGCAGUAAUGUAAUCAGGUCCUGAAUGUGUAAUUUCACGCAUCUACUAUCACAGGAUCCUGAUCAAUAAUCUUUCCUUUCACGGAAUAAAAAUCCAAUAAACUAGCGUGUGGUAAACAAUUCAUCAGCUGCAAUUCUAAUAGAUUGUUCAACAGGAACAAACACCUGGUUGGGUUCAUUUUAUAGUUGGCGUACAUGACUUAGUUUCUCUGGAUGCAACUGUAGGUGCAUCAUGAAAGUUGACACCUAAAAUCAUUAGGCAACUUUUUCUCGCUCCUAAUGGAGGAAAAAAUUAUCUUAUCAUAUAAUAAAAAAUUCUGGAAAAUCUUAUUAUAUAAUAUAUUACUAUAUGUCAAACUUAAUACAAAAUAGAUAUAAAUAUAAAAACUUAUAGAAAUUAAUAACUAGUUUUAAUUGGCAUCAAUGUCUCUACCAUGGUCAAUGAAUAAACCUAAAACAUCCGGAUGUGUGCUAUCACCAGGAUCAACAUAAUUUGUCUCAACGGUCUUCCCUUUUUUUUUUAGGGAUGCUUGAUACCAGUCAACAAAAUGUCUGGUGGAUGAUAAGAUCUCCAAAAAUGGCCUUCUGUCCCACACCUGUCACAUAUCUCUUUCUGUUCUUUUACUUGGGCUUGUCCGUCAUCAUCAUUCUUUCACUUUUGAUAAGUUCUAUUGUAACCAUCACGAGGUUGAUAAUAAUUGUGACUAUAACUAUGAUCACAAUAAGAAAAGAAAAAAACUCAUUUUGGAUUAUCACUAAGACUGUGUAAAAUUGGAUUCACUUCAGGUAGUAGCUUCGUAUCAAUUCAAACAAUGGCUUCGUAAGAGCAUAAUAUGUUAUUGAGGUCCAUGGCUUCUAGAUGAAUUACUGAGGCACAUAGCUUUUAGUUGAAUUACUGACACAUGGCUUCUAGCUGAAUUACCAAGGCAGAAUCCAAGAUAAAUUAUUUUUAUAAAAAAUAUUGAGGGCCUUCAAUUCAGGCUUCAUUGGAUUUGCCAUCUUCAAUUAUUCUUUAAAGGCUUCAAAAUCUCAAUAUAUGGCUUCAGUACGUGCAAGAAUGUUCAAAUUUAUGGCUUCAUAUGAACGAGUUUUAGUAUUAAAGCUUUAAGGCUUCAAUCUGAAUUUUGUACGCUUCAAUUUUGAUUCUGCACGCUUCAGUCUUGAUUUACGCUUUAGUCUUGUACGCUUCGGUCUUUAAUUUUAAUAUCAGUAACAGAAAAUAAACAAAAAUACUAAUUAGCAAAUGAAAUAAUAAAAUGAGAAAAUAUAAUACUUCCUGUAAUAUAGCUGUUGAGUGUUAGAAAAUGCAUAUUUAUAAAGGAGAAAACCGUCAUUUUACAUUUCAAGUCUUACUAACAACCCUUACUUUUAUGUAUUUAACCUUCUUGUGAUGUAAUUACGUGUGUGUUAUUUUAAUUAAGUAUUUUAUGUAUUUUAGGGGCAUUAUAGUCAUUUCACAAUAAGGAGAGAUCAGACGGCAAAACGGACAUCACUUUUGAACUCAGGACGGUCGAAAACCUUAGGAGGAUCAUAAAAGGAAAAAUGACACUAUUCACAUGUACGGUACUAUUCACGUAUACGGUACUGUCUACGUUACUGUUCACGACAAUGUUCACAUAGACGGAUCGAUGACGUGGCAUUGACCGAUGAUGUGGCAUUGACUGAUGAGGUGUCACGAUCCUGUUGGACUAAACUUCUUAUGUACUGUUGAUGGUGACGUGGCAACAUAUCAGUGGACGAAAAAUCUCGCGUACGGUGCAUGCAUCACACAAGAUUAUUUUCAACCAAACCGCGUUACUGUUCAUUCGGGUCAAACCGUGUUACUGUUCAUCCGCGUGGUCAAACCGUGGACUGUUGACUGAUGACGUGGCGCAAUCUUGAGCGUCCAAACUGUUUUUAAUCCGAUGGCCAUGAUUUACUCCAUGUAUCUAUAAAAAGGGGGCCUCCCCCCCCUAAUUUGAUAUCUCUGAAUCCAUUUUUGGGAUCCAUUUUCUGUAAUUCCUUCUCCAUCUUGUAAUUACUACUCUCAACCCAGACCAUGGGAGGAUUCAUUCCAGAAUCUCAAGAAUCUUACUCACUCCACAAUUGAGCAACAGAACCGCACCAUUGAUGGACUACGAAAUGAAUUGAGAACGGGCUUCAACUCACAAGCUCAAUCAGUUUCAAGUCUCGAGAAGAUGGUGGGACAACUUGCUUCUUCAGUUCAGACCUUGGCAAUGACUGUUGAGAAAGGUAAAUUUCCAAGUCAACCAGUGCCUAAUCCUAAAGGAGUACAUGAAGCAAGUACCAGUUCACCACAGCAGCAUGGGGAGGUCAAAGCAGUCAUGACCUUGCGAAAAGGAAAAGAAGUCGACAACAAAGUGGAGAUGCCGGUGACAAAAGAAAAUCAAAUUGUACCUGUGAAUGUUGAAGACUCACCACCGGAGGAGAAAGAAGAAACCAACCCGCGAGAAUAUGUUCCCAAAGCUCCAUUUCCUCAGAGGUUAGUGAAAGGAAAGAAGGGAAAAUCCACAUGUGAGAUUCUCGAAAUCUUCAAACAGGUAAGUGUCAAUAUCCUUUUGCUUGAUGCUAUAAAACAAAUUCCAUCUUAUGCCAAGUUUCUUAAAGACCUUUGUACUAAAAAGAGAAAUAUGCAUGUUCAAAAGAAGGCAUUUUUAACAGAAAAUGUUAGUUCUAUACUCCAACAUAAAAUUCCUCUAAAAUGCAAAGACCCAGGCUCCCCCACUAUCUCAUGUAGUAUAGGGAACCACACAAUUGAGAAUGCUUUGUUGGAUUUAGGAGCUAGUGUAAAUCUUUUGCCUUACUCUGUAUUCGUGAAACUUGGACUGGGAGAAUUACACCCAACUCCAGUGGUGUUACAGCUUGCAGAUCGGUCCACGAAAAUACCUCGUGGUAUUGUGGAGGACGUGCUUAUCCAGGUAGACAAGUUUUAUUUUCCUGUUGAUUUCAUUGUAAUUGACACUCAACUAAUACAGGAUUCAAGGAAGCACAUCUCCAUUAUCCUAGGCCGACCUUUCUUGGCAACUGCGGAUGCUCACAUUCAAUGCAGGACUGGAAAUAUGCAGUUGUCCUUCGGCAACAUGACUAUGGAGCUAAAUAUUUUCAACAUUGCCAAAUAACCUCACAGUGCAGAUGAUGGAAUUGUUGAUGUGGAUUUAAUAGAAACAAUAGUUGAUGAUACUUUUCUUUCAAACCUUAGUGAUGAUUCUUUACAAACAUGUUUAACUCACUUUGGUUUGGAUUUUGAUAUUGACAGAUCGGUUGAUGAGGUCAACGCUCUACUUGACUCAGCACCAUCCAUGGACACUAAUAAAUGGAAGUCAAGAGUUGAACAACUAGCACCAUCAGAGAAGAAACUCAUUCCAUCAUCAGAAUCACCACCGAAACUCGAGCUCAAACCAUUACCCAACACAUUGGAAUAUGCAUUUUUGGGGGAAGAAAGUUCUCUGCCGGUAAUCAUCUCAUCAUCCAUCAAUGACGAACAAAAAGGUAAGUUGUUGGAUGUUUUAAAAGAGCACAAAGGAGCAUUAGGAUGGACCAUAGCGGACAUAAAAGGUAUAAACCCAGUAGACUGCAUGCAUUAUAUUCAUCUCGAUGAAAAUGCUAAAUCUACUAGGGAAAUGCAACGUCGGUUAAAUCCUAAUAUGAAAGAAGUUGUUAGAACUGAAGUUCUUAAGCUAUUAGACGCAGGUAUCAUUUACCCAAUUUCUAAUAGUUCAUGGGUCAGUCCUGUGCAAGUUGUCCCCAAAAAGUCAGGAGUCACAGUAGUUACCAAUGCUGAUAAUGAAUUGAUACCAACUAGAGUAACUACAGGAUGACGUGUAUGCAUUGAUUAUAGAAAGUUGAAUUCUGUCACACGUAAAGACCAUUUUCCUUUACCAUUUAUUGAUCAAAUGCUUGAUAGAUUAGCAGGCCAUGAAUUUUAUUGCUUUCUAGAUGGCUACUCAGGAUAUAAUCAGAUUCCCAUAGCACCAAAAGAUCAAGAGAAGACCACUUUCACUUGCCCUUUUGGCACAUUUGCAUAUAGGAGAAUGCCAUUUUGAUUAUGUAAUGCACCUGCUACAUUUCAACGAUGCAUGUUGAGCAUUUUUUCUGAUAUGGUUGAACGAUUCCUUGAAGUCUUUAUGGAUGAUUUUUCUGUCUUUGGUGACUCGUUUGAUCAAUGUUUACAUCAUCUAACACUAGUUUUGCAGAGAUGUACCGAGAAGAGCUUAGUCUUAAAUUGGGAGAAGUGCCAUUUUAUGGUAAAACAAGGUAUUGUUCUCGGUCACAUCAUUUCGAGCAAAGGUAUUGAGGUUGACAAAGCCAAGGUGGAUCUCAUUUCUAAUCUUCCUCCACCCAAAACAGUCAGAGAAGUAAGAUCUUUCCUUGGGCAUGCUGGUUUUUAUAGACGUUUCAUUAAAGAUUUUAGCAAAGUUUCUAGACCCUUAUGCAAUUUACUUGCUAAGGAUGUACCUUUUAUCUUUAAUGAUUCAUGUCUUAUGGCUUUUGAAAAAUUAAAGCAAUUGUUGACAUCAUUACCCAUCAUUCAGGCCCCAAACUGGAGCUUACCAUUUGAGCUCAUGUGUGAUGCAUCUGAUUAUGCAGUAGGAGCAGUAUUAGGACAAAGAGUUGAUCGAAUUCCCCAUGUUAUUUACUAUGCUAGUAUGACAUUGAAUGAUGCACAGUUGAACUAUUCAACUACUGAAAAAGAAAUGCUAGCAGUAGUGUUUGCAUUGGAAAAAUUUCGAUCUUAUCUCAUUGGUUGUAAAAUAAUUAUAUUCACGGAUCAUGCUGCUCUUAAAUAUCUUCUCACAAAGAAAGAUGCAAAAGCUAGACUAAUUCGUUGGGUAUUACUUUUGCAGGAAUUCGACUUGGAAUUCAAGGAUAAGAAAGGCACAGAAAAUGUUGUGGCGGACCACCUCUCUCGUCUCCAUUUUGACACAAUUACAGAGCUAUUAAUAUUAAAUGAGUCAUUUCCAGAUGAACAAUUAAUGAGUGUGGAAGUAUUACCUUGGUAUGCUGAUAUAGUUAAUUAUCUUGUUACAGGUAAACUUCCAGAGCAUUGGACCAAGCAAGAUAAGGCUAAAUUCUUUGCAGAAAUAAAGAAUUUCUUUUAGGAUGACCCGUAUUUGUUCAAGUAUUGUACAGACCAAAUUGUUAGACGAUGUGUCCCAGAAAGUGAAAUUCAGAAUAUCCUUUCAUUCUGCCAUGAACAAGCAUGUGGAGGCCAUUUCAGCGCUAAGAAAACAGCGACUAAAGUUUUACAAUGUGGUUUUUAUUGGCCAACUAUAUUUCGAGAUGCUUACACUUUCUGUUCUUCAUGUGAUAGGUGUCAACGAAUGGGGAGCAUUACACGAAGGAACAUGAUGCCACUAAAUCCAAUUUUAGUGGUUGAGAUUUUUGACGUAUGGGGUAUCGACUUCAUGGGACCCUUUCCCCCGUCUUUUGGCCAUCAAUACAUAUUGGUUGGUGUUGACUACGUAUCGAAAUGGGUGGAAACAAUUCCAUGCAGAACCAAUGAUCACAAAGUGGUGAUAGGAUUUUUGAAAAGCAAUAUUGUUUCGCGCUUUGGAUUCCCUCGAGCGAUAAUAAGUGAUGGUGGUGCCCACUUUUGUAACAAAGCAUUCAAAGCUCUUUUGACAAAGUAUUCAAUCACACACAAAGUGGCGACCCCGUAUCAUCCGCAAACCAGUGGCCAAGUUGAGAUCUCCAAUCGAGAAAUCAAGCACAUAUUAGAAAAAACGGUGAGGCCAGACAGAAAAGAUUGGUCAUUAAGACUUGAUGAUGCAUUAUGGGCAUAUAGAACGGCUUUCAAGACCCCGAUUGGGAUGUCACCCUACAGGCUAGUGUAUGGAAAAGCUUGCCACCUACCUGUGGAACUCGAGCAUCGUGCAUAUUGGGCCAUCAAGAAAUUCAACUUUGACAUGCAGCAAGCCAGCUCAGAAAGAAGAUUACAACUGGCAGAACUUGAAGAAAUUCGCAAUGAUGCAUACGAAAAUGCCAAGAUUUACAAGCAAUGAAUGAAAGUCUUUCAUGACAAGCACAUUAUGAGAAAAUCGUUCACUCCAGGUCAGAAAGUGCUUUUAUUCAAUUCUCGUUUGCACUUAUUCCCAGGUAAGUUACGCUCUCGAUGGUCUGGUCCCUUUAUUGUUCAUACUGUUUUUCCACAUGGGGCAAUUGAAAUUAAGGACCCAAAGAACGGUGUCACGUUUAAAGUUAAUGGUCAAAGAUUAAAGCCAUAUCUUGAGUACCAACCACAUGGAGAAGACACCGAAAUAAAUUUGAGUGACCCACCAGAUUUGAAUUGAUUUUUUCUUUUUGUUGAUUUGAUUUUUCUUUCUUUCUUUUUAUUAUUCUUUUGCUAAUUGAAAUUAUUUUUGCAUAAGUGUGUUUGUUUUACCAUUAAGUUUUUUUUUUUCUUAUCAUUGUUAAUCAUGAGUACCAUACUUAGACCGUUCCUCCUGAACAUUCUUAAACCACUUCAACGUGUCAAAACUCAUCUCAAAAAGCAGAUUCAAUUUUGUAAAACACAACGCAUUUGGGCUCUACAACCACCAGAGUUAGUAGCCUAUGUUGAGGGUUUAGAACGCCAACUCAGAGACAUUGAGAGAAGUGUUUACGACAUCCAGUUGGAGCUUGAGGUAAAUUCAAUAAGAGGACGAUUUUAAUUUUCUUUGUGUGUUUUGAUUUGUUUUUCUGUUUAUGUGCUUUAGUUUGUUACCCCGGUAAAGUGGCGGAUAACGGUACUCCGUGACAAUCAAGUCGGUUACUUCAGUUUCCCAUAAUAACUGACAUUCUGAGGCGAAAGUAUGGACAGAAACGAGAUUCUAGCGAAGCUUCACAAGCGAUUCCCUUCACUUCCUCAGAAUGCCCUCUUUACGAUCUAUAAAGCUCGGUCCGAACGCAUGCGAUUACUCAUGAAGAAUAACAUACCUGCUAACAUCCGUUGGUUAAUCGAGGUUAAAGUACGAUCGGCAUGUGAGUUACCUCCAAAAUUUAUUGCAUUCAUGCCUGGUUGUGGUAAAGGAAAUUAUGCUAGAAAACGACGAGCUCGAAGAAUUUCUGUUGCUUGUCAUAAGUGUGCCAGAAUGAGUUGCAAUAGAAACCCAUGUUCUUUAGGAAUGGUGUCUGAUAACAGGGAAGAUAAGAUUCAAUUCAUUAGGGAUGGCUUGAAUAAGGAGUCAUUGGAUGAUAUCCUUUUGUCUCUUGAAACGCAUCCUAGUGGAUAUGUGCAAGGAGCGAUUCUCCGGUUAUGGCCAUUAUUCCAGAAAGAGCAUGCACGAUAUAGUCUCGGGAAUCUGACUAUAAACGACCCUGUUUGUCAGUUUAUAAGAAAACUGGAUGGGAAGCCGAUCCUCGACCCAUAGAGGGCGUUCAAGCCGUUUCUGGAUGUAAAACCAGAGGAAGAUGUGAGCCACAGUCGCAACUACGUGUAAAUAUCCUUUUACUUUCUGUUAUUUUAUUUCACUAUUGUUUUAUCGUUUGCAUUAUUGUCUUUAAUAAUUUUAUUACUGUUUGCUUUUUCUUUUUACUGUUUCCUUUUUGACUUACGAGCCAUGUGCUUCACGCGUUAUUUGACACUGACAUGUUACCUCAUACACAGCUGUGACCCACUGUCACCAAGACUCUUAAAUGUGAUUUCUUUUGUCAAACACUCACAAAUUAUUUUUGAGAAAUAUUCCAAUGGCAGCUACUCCCAAUAGACAAUUCAAGAACAUUUGUGUGCUUUCUGGAUUUACCUAUGGCAAACAUAAAGAGUUCGUUGAGGCAGCCAUAGAUCUUGGUCGAAGCAUAGCAGCGAGAAAAUUACAUUUGGUGUAUGGAGGAGGUAACCGAGGGUUAUCAAAAAUGGUCUCAGAAACAGCUUUUAUCAGAGGAAGUCAAGUGUUAGGCAUCAUCCCAAGAGUCCUAAAACCAUUGGGCAGUUCGUCUGACUCAUCAACUGGAGAAGAGUUAGUCGUCUCAGGUAUGCAAGAAAGAAUAACUGAAAUGCUUAAUCAUGCUGAUGCUUUUAUUUUCCUUCCAGGAGAUCUUGCAACACUAGAGGCACUUAUGACACUAGCAUCUUGGGCCCAUCUACACAUUCACCAGAAACCCAUCGGUUUGUUAAAUGUCAAUAACUUUUAUGAUGGCUUUAUCGCAUUUCUUAACCAUGCAAUAAAAAACUACUUCAUUCCUUCCCAUGCGAAAAAAAUUUUUAUUUGUGCUCACACUGCUAAUGAGCUACUUGAUCUGUUACAAGCUUAUAAACCGGAGCCAGACCCCUGGACCUUUGUGUUGGAGCGCCCAAACAAUGAUGGUAACAGUAGCAGCAGUAAGAAGUACAAAUUAGAUUUAACUCUCCGCCUGUAAAUAUUUUCUUCUGUGUUGCACCACUCAGGUGAUGUCUUCUAAACUCUACUUCUUUCCUUUAAAACAUUGAGGACAAUGUUUCGUUCUGGUUGGGGGGAGGGAAUAGUCGACAAUUGUGGAAUCUUGGUUAAGUUUUUACUGAUUUUUUGUUGUAGAAACUAAUUGUUGCUAACGUUUUAUGUUGAAGAUGGCCGAAUAUGGAGUGUAGUUACUCUAGAAACGCAUCUUCUUAGUUUAAAAAAAAUAAAUAUUCUUUUUCUAAUUAAUUUUUUUUACAUCAUUUUCACAUUUCUGCAUGCAUAUUUUCCUUUCAUGUUUAGAAUAGGUUUGGGGGUAGAAUGUUGUUUAAAAAAAAAAAUUGUGUUAUUUGUCUUAACAUUGGAUGACGUGAUUAAUUUCAAAUUUUAGUAUUUGUAUUAUCUUUGGUCUUAAGUGAUGUUACACUAUGUUUGCUACUUUAGAUGUUGAUGUCGGAGACAUAUAUGAGUUGCUUGAAGGAAUGAACAUGUCAUAAUAAGUACCAAGUGAGUUUUUGAGCCUAUCAUUUUUCUUGGAGAGUAACCCUUUUGCCCAUUCUCUAUACAGCUUAGCAGUUUAUUAUUUUAUACACGAUCUCUAGAUUUCUUUUAAGUUAACCCUUUAAAAAAAAUGGUAAAAUUAAAAAAAAAGAAAAAGAAAAAAAUGUGUGUUGCUACAUUGGGAGGCCCAUCUAACUAGUAGAUAUGGAUAAUUAUUUAGAGCCCUAAAAAAUGAUGGAAAUGCCAUCUUUGAUCCGUUUGAGCCUUUCUAGCCAUCCCUGUUAUUAAAUAUCCAUAAUUACCCCUUUUGAGCCUUUAAAAAAAUAUAUAUAUAUUUUCUUUGUCAACUUAUCAUCUUGACCCACUCCGAUUUGGAGUAUUACCCGAUAUCUUAUAAGUUCCAUCACCUAUUUAUGUUUGAGAAAAUGUAAAUAAUUAUUUUGUUUAGUGAAGUUAUGCCAAAUAAAAGCAAAAAAAACAAAAAAACAAAAAAAAACAAAAAAAAUAAAAGUUGUUGUUUCAAAAGAAUAAAAUAACAAUAAUAGGUGAAAUCCACCUUGCAACUUAAAAAAAAAAAAAAAUUCUGCAUUUUUCUCAAACAUACACUUUGUUUUCCUUAUUUCCUUUCUUUGUUAGCCAUAUCCCUAGCCUACGUUACGUCCUAAUAAAAGUCCUUCUUGAUUUUAGGGAACUAUAGUUUGAAGUAGAAGCUAGUUAUAUGGGCUAAAAAGAUGUAGUGGUGCAUAUAAAAAAAUAAAUAAAUAAAUUGGGUUGACUAACAUUUUUUUUAUUUGACUUGAGAUCGUAUUAUUUCUAAGCUGAGGGCAUAUUUAUUUCAUCUUGGUGAGAGCAUGUGAUAUCAUUUCUUUAUUAUUUUCUCUCUCAAUUACCAUUCAUUGGAGUGACUAUGUUAUUGGGUUUUAAUUUCUUUGUGAGAGUGUCACUACUUCCAGUGAGAUUUUGGGGUUUGACAUGUCAUUCUUAAAAGUAGCUAUAACAAAGUCUACUGGGCUAACAACCCUUACUUUUAUGUAUUUAACCUUCUUGUGAUGUAAUUACGUGUGUGUUAUUUUAAUUAAGUAUUUUAUGUAUUUUAGGGGCAUUAUAGUCAUUUCACAAUAAAGGAGAGAUCAGACGACAAAACGGACAUCACUUUUGAACUCAAGACGGUCGAAAACCUUAGGAGGAUCAUAAAAGGAAAAAUGACACUAUUCACAUGUACGGUACUAUUCACGUAUACGGUACUGUCUACGUUACUGUUCACGACACUGUUCACAUAGACGGAUCGAUGACGUGGCAUUGACCGAUGAUGUGGCAUUGACUGAUGAGGUGUCACGAUCCUGUUGGACUAAACUUCUUAUGUACUGUUGAUGGUGACGUGGCAGCAUAUCAGUGGACGAAAAAUCUCGCGUACGGUGCAUGCAUCACACAGGAUUAUUUUCAACCAAACCGCGUUACUGUUCAUCCGGGUCAAACCGUGUUACUGUUCAUCCGCGUGGUCAAACCGUGGACUGUUGACUGAUGACGUGGCGCAAUCUUGAGCGUCCAAACUGUUUUUAAUCCGAUGGCCAUGAUUUACUCCAUGUAUCUAUAAAAAGGGGGCCUCCCCCCCCUAAUUUGAUAUCUCUGAAUCCAUUUUUGGGAUCCAUUUUCUGUAAUUCCUUCUCCAUCUUGUAUUUUCUUUGUAUUUUAAUAAAUUCCCAUUUUACCCCUAGUUCAAUUAUGAGUAGCUAAUUUUCUUUCAAGCUUGGGUUGAAGGCGAAGUCUGAACAUGUGUCAUGGGCUUUAUUUGGUAAAUUUAUUUUCUUUUCCCCUCUAGUUUUUGUGGAUGAUUUGACUUAUCGUCGACAAAUAAUACUGAUCUUGUCUAGAUACCGCCUUGGUUACACCGGCUCUCUAGUAUAAGGUUAUUAUUAUUUGGCACGAUAAGCCUUUAGCACCAUAUUGAUUAGAGCGUGGUUCAUGAGGUGUGGAUUCCCCCCUCAUGAUUUAAUUGGCAUUAAUACAGAUUAUUUAGCCCAUGAUGCAUGUUGAUACGGAUCCAGAUACCCAAGUACGUCAAUUUAAUCGAUUUUCUCUACAAUUUAUUCUCGCCAUUGCAAUUCCAAUUUUAGCAUAUUUUAAAUCACUUCCACCACAAUUCCAACCACCCAUUUACAAAAUUAAUUCUACACACAAUUAAAAUCCAUCUCCUCGUGGGAUCGACACUCGUCACCAUUGAUCUAUACUACAAUAGAUUCGUGCGCUUGCGAGUACAUAAAAAUUUGCACAACAAUAGCGAUCUAGUGUUGAUAACGUGUUGUAAUAUUGUUGGGUACAAGGAGCAUUGAAGGAAGAACAAUUAACUAAAGCGGAAGAGAACAAAGUGAAAUUUGCCAAGUAGCACCAUGCAAUCUCACGAAUUUAUUUUUCAAAUCGAAAUCAUGAGAACGGGUUACAAAUGGGCUAUUUUUAGCGGGAUCAAGCGGUGUGCACUUGAGUCCAUAGAUGUAUGUGAUUACAAGAUCAAGCGGUGUGUGCAAGCAAAGUGAGGUGUAUCUGAUUGGCGUUUGUGCGCAUACAAAUCAAUCCCAUGCGAUAUGCAUGCGGUGGAAAUCCACAUAGCUUUCACAACAAGAGCAAUAUUUGCUUAAAUUUUGGAAGUCACUGGUCAAGAGUCCUGCUAAGUGUUCAUAAUAAAUCAUGGUUGGCCUAAUGAGAGGAUCUAGAAAAAUGAUUUAUUGGGGGUUAAAUUAAAUAAUAACAAGAUGUGAAAUCCGAAACUUGAAUUUAUAAAAUUUUUUAUAAUACAUUUACAAUUGUUCUCUACGCGGUUUCAUAUUUUGAAAAUAUUGUGCAAUAGACUCAUUAUCAAUAAUAUUAAAUACAUCUUUUCUACAAAAACAAUUAAAUCAUCAUUCAUCCAUUCAUCUCCCAUUUCAUUCCGAAGUUCAUUUUUUACGAAUUUCAUUACUGAAAAUGUUAUCUCUACUGUAGUUGUGGAAAUUGGAGGAACUAAUGCUAAUGUCACCAACAAAUACACUAGCGGAUACACCUUAUCUUUUAGCAAGGUUGUCGAUUCCCUUCAAUCUUGCAAACUCAGUACUAGCGUGCCAUAUCCAUUAUAUGUAAGUUUAAAGUUGAGUUUUAAGCACCUAAACUCUAUUGAAGAAAAUCAUUUGGAUAAAAUUGAGCAAGACGUGCUGGCUUGUCUUUAUUAAAAGCAGCAAAUGAAUCAUUUGGACUUGGACAUGCUAAACAAAGAAGCAAUUCCAUAUUAACCCAUUGAAACAAUUAUUUAACUCCUAAAGUUGCAAAUCUAAAACAGCAAAAAAUAGUUCAACUCGAAAAUGAUGCAUGUUUGAGAUCUCUCAAGCCUUACAUUGUAAUCAAUCCCACACUAAAAACACAUCAUUCAUGUUAGGGACAUCAAUAUCAUGCUUCAAACAAAAAGAAGAAAUCUCAAAAAUCAAUUAAUCCCACACAUCUCUCAUCAUUUGCAAGUUUUUCAUACAUAUUUCAACCAAUUGUAUGGCAUUUAGAAUAUCUUGAUCCUUUCUUUGAAGUGCUUGUAACAACUCGUUUAAAAGUGCCAGUAUAUCUCUAAUCAAAUAUAUUGGAUUUUGACUUAUCUUUUCCAACUAUCUCAAGCAUACUAAUUAUGUAUGGAAACAAAGAGAUUAUGCCAAGUAACGUACCAUAAUGCGAGCCCCAAUGUGUAUCACCAAAAUGUUUCAAUGUAGUCUCAUGAUUUUGGCCUUGCCCACUCGGUACUUCAUCAUUUUCAAGUGCUUCACCAACUAAAAGUAAUUGCUUAUCUCGAAGAAUAUCUCAACGUUCACAUGAAGCCCUAACAACAUUGACAACAUUAGCAACUACAUUGAAGAACUAAUUAAUUGGAUCGUAUUUCUUUGCCACAGACACAAUAGCUAACUAUAAUUGAUAAGAAAAACAAUGUAUACAAUAAUUGCACUCAUUCUCAUUAACAAUAAGUGUUUUAAGACCAUUGAACUCGCUUUACAUGUUGGAAGCCCUAUCAUAACCUUGCUUGCGCAACCUAGCAUACUUAAUCCAUGCUUAGAAAAUAACUGGUCAAUAGCUUCCUUGAGCAAGGUAAUAGUGGUACUAGUAACAUGCUUAAGACCUAUAAAACGCUCAAUAACAUAUCCAUUCCUAUCUACCAUAUCACAAUACAAUAGCCAUCUGCUCCUUCAUAGAUGCAUUAUUGGAUUCAUCAAUCAAAACAAAAAAAAAAAAACAAUGCAUCACCUAUGUCUCUAAUAAUAGCAUUGGUAGUUUCAGUAGAGCAAGCCCUUACAAUAUCUUUUUGGAUUAAAAGCGCAAUUAACAUGUCAUUUCCAGGAGCAUUCUUUAAAGUAUUUUUUUUUAUAUCUUCAUUGUGAUUAGCAAGAAAUCUUAAAAUUCAAAGAUAAUUUCCUUGGUUACUUGAAUUAUUAGGCACAUCAUGACCAUGGAAUGCAAGCCCUUGUUCUAAAAGAAGCCGAACAACAUCAAUGGAUGCGAAUAGGCAAGUUCAUAAUCUUUUCAAUCUUGAUCAAAAUAUUUGUUGAAAAAUGUUUGGACAUGCUGCUUUUAUUCCAUUAAAUCUUCACAAUAACUCUUGGCUUUGUUGUGAGUACUAUUAGGACCUUUAAUAUGAUCUUCUAAUCUUUCUAGUUUCUUCCAAUUUGAGAAGCCAUUUUUUUCUAAACGUCUGACCACUUGCUUGUUCACUAAUUUUUGGUCUAAAAAAAUAACAACAUAAACAAUAUACAACAUUUUUGUGAUAUACUAUAUUCUAACCAAUUUUUGUAUUUAUUGAACCAAGCCGGAUUGAAUCGUCGCUGUUGUUGCCCAAAUUUAGACUUACAAAAAUUGUGGAAUUUGGGUUAGUAAGAACCCAUUUGUAAAUAUGCUCUACGAACUCCAUCUCGAACAUUAGGAUUGUAAGAAGAAAUUGGGGGACGUUGUCUAAGAUCAAAAGGAAGUUCUGACAAUUCUAAGUCAGACUUAUUUCGUUUUCCUGGACCACUUUUAUCUCUUUGAAAAUGGCGGUAUCACUGGUCUUCUUUUAUAAUACUUUUCCAUAUCUGUUUCAAAAUUAUAUAUGUGAUUACUUAUAUAAAAAUAUUUUAAUUACAAUUAAAAGAAAAGACUGAGUGUAAAGUGUGCUCAGUGUAUAACUAGUAACUAUGGACAAAAUUACUAAGAAAUUGUAAAGGCUAGAAUUAGUCACUCAAGCAAUUACAAUGUUAUAUAGAGAUCUAUUAAGAUAAGUUAAAAUUACCCUAAAUUUGACAUGUGAAAAGAAAUAAAAUACUAAAUUAUUAAAUUAAUUCGAAGAAAAAAAAUGAAAUGGACAUGUUUACACUUUAACGGUCCCACCUAACCCCAUAAUAAUUAAAUAAAUUAAAUCCUUUUUUUGCUUUCUUCGCUGAGAGUAAAGAAUGGAGAAGCGACUACUUGCAGCUUGGUUUUUUCCUUAACACAAUUCCUAAUUACAAAUUUGGUUCCCACGGCUCAACAAUUGAGAAUUAUAAAUAUUUUGGGCAGUGUGCUUUGAUUUUUAAGUUAUUUUUACAAUUGUUAAAAGAGUUGGACUAUUAGCACCCCUUCGUUGUUCUUAUAAAACUCCUGUAAUAUUAUAAUUAUAUUUAAGGACAAAUAUAAAUAUAAUUAAUCUCAUUUAUAUUUUCUUUCUCUCUUCAAUUUUAUUUUGCUUGCACAAUAUAAAUUUCUUUUAAUCAUUAAAAUAAUAUGAAUUUAAGAAGCAAUCUAUAAAUGUUUUUUAAUCAUUAAAUUAAUCUAAAUUUAAGAAGCAAGUUUUUGCGCCAAAAUAAUACUCUUGUAAUAUAUGUGGCAACAAAAUUAGGAUACAACAUUGUGAGAAAAUAAAAUAAAUAAAAUUUUAUCUCACUACAAAUAAUUUUUUAAGGAUUCUCAAACUAAUUGUUGCACCCAAAGUUUAUAUGUACGAUAAAAUUGUAGUGGACCCAUAAAAUAUUCAAUAUUUUAUAAGGUUUUUCUUAUUUUUUCUUUUAGAUUUUUUUUUUGAAAUUAAAUAAUAAAGAAAGUUUGAAAAGAGGAAUGCAAUUAUUAAGACUAAAAGAGUGAGAAAGUUAUUAGAAAUUACAAGAUUUAUAAAUAAAAAUAGUAUUUAUUUAGAAAAAAUGUACUUUUGACAUUAAAUGGAAUAUAAUUGAAAAGGGGUUUUAAAAGAAUUUUGGAGGGGUGCUAAUAGUUCCACUCUUGUUAAAAUAGUAGUUUAAAAUUAAAAAGAUGGGGCUAUCUAACAACUUGAUACGGGCUAUUUUAGAAUUCCUCUUAUUUUUCAUUUAAAAAGAAAAAAAGAAGUAAUCCUUUUUCUGGUUGAAUCCGCCUCUCAGGUUGCCAAAGAGCCGGUCCCAUGGGUGGGAAAAUCCAUAGCGCAAUCUUCAAAUUAAUUGGCUCAGCUCCUCGUGUUCAAGCGUGGGUGUUUUUCCAAACUUAGUUUAUUUAAGUAUGAAAUGCCCUGGUCAUGUUAUUGGAAAUGCCUCCAUCUACGAGAUUUUAAAUUUGAACAAAGCCUUUAGCUAGAGCUCCAACAAUUUUCACGGUAUUUUGGUGUUCACCAAUAAUUUCUUGGAUUAAAAUUGAUACGGAUGGGUUGAUGAAAGGGAACUUAGGGGAUUCGUCUUGUACUGCUAUUUGCAGAGGCUUUAAUGGCAUCUUAAAAGGUUGCUUUGCCUUGGGGCUUGGCCAUCAUAGUGCCUUUUUUAUAAAGUUAUAUGCUAUUAUCCUGGUUAUUAACGGGGCCUUUUCUAAUGGUUGGCGCAAAGAAUGGUUAGAAAGUGACUCUUUUAUGGCGCUUUUGUGCUUCACUAAUCAAGAUUUUAAUCCUCCUUGAUAUCUUCACAAUAUAUGUGUUUAGGGAAUGAAAUAGGGUGACCAAGAUAAAGGUGUUUGCUCAUACAUUAUCGUGCUCUCCUCAAAGUAAAAGUGAGCAAAUAGUUGAGUAGAUCAUCUCGACCAGAAUAAUAUGUGGUGACCUCGAGCACAUCACCUCGACCAGGAUGUUAUUGGUCACCUCGACGAGGAAGUCACCAGGAAGCACGUCAUCCGCGAGGCCAAUUUCCUGCAAGAAGCAUAAAGCCAUUCCUGCUGUAUUCUUGCUAAGGGUUGAUUCGAGGAGACCCGGUCAAACGACAGUUGGCGAGGCAUGCUCUCCAGCCCGAGAAUCUAGGCACGAAGGCCACGCAACCACCCAUGACUACGGAAAUGGGGAAUCCACGUUCGAGAGGUGGGAGGAUAACGGACGUAGGCUGCGGAAAACUGGGAUUCAGAGGAAGCCUAUAAAAAGGUAGCCAACGAAAGUAAAAAGGUUAGCAAUUUUGAGAUUAGAAGAGAGCUAAAGAAAUUCUAAAGAAGAGCAAACUACGAAAAAGCCAUAAGAUCUGUGGCAAGCGUUCCCCGAACCUUCAUAUCUGACUUGAGCGUCGGAGGGUUUGCGCCGGGAAAACAACCGGCGUACUCUGACUUGUCUGUGUGCGCAGGAACCUCUGGAGAAGAAGCCUUACGAGGAGACCUCCUGGUCGUGGUGAAGUUGAUCGAGCAGAGAGCCUGGUCGUAUAACGAGGAGAACCAGAAUCUCGCAUCAACAAUAUGGUUAAUUGUCUUCAUUUACUAAAGGAGAUGAAAUUUAGGCGUUCUUAUAUUUACAGCGAGGGAAAUUCUACUGAUGAUUUUUUGGAAAACUUUUGAUAAUUCUUUCACUUGGUGGGAUUACCCACCAGUUCUAUUUGGAAAAUUCAGAAAAUGUUUGGCGUUUGCCUAAGCGUUGUUUUGUUACUUAACCUGUAACUUUUCUCUACUUUUUUCUUACUAAUUAAAAUUUUCUCAAUUAAAAAAAAUUAAUCAUGCUAGACCGAACCAAUCUGAGCUUCAGGUAAAAAAAAAAAUCUAUUUAAUAGUAAACCUUUUGACACCGCUCAAAAUUUCUUUUAAUAUUUAAAUAACUUAACACAAAUUAAUUCAUCUAUUGUUUUGAAUGAAAAUUGAAUUAAAAACUUAAAUUAUUUUUUAUCAAACUUUUUACACCUAUCUCAUUUCAUAAUUUAUAAUUAUAUUUUUAAAUUUAUUUAAAAAAUAAAUUUUUUGAGAAAAUUAUAAUGGUUUAGAAUUAUGAAGAUAGGAAUUAUUAUAGUAGUUUAAGUACAGACAUUUUGAAACUCCUGCUCUCACCAUUAUAAUGAUUAAUUUUCAGAUAUAUAAAUGAGCGCACGCAAGAUUUAUUGGAUGGCAUACGAAUUAUUUUAAAUGUGAACACACAUGUUCUAGAAUUUCAUUGAAUAACAUUGAUAAGUCUUUAUCGAAUAAUUGUUCGAAUCAUGUGGUGGAAACAUUCUCAUGCAUGUAAUAUAUCUUUGUCCAUAAGAUCUAUGAACCUUCAAAGUUGGUGAUUUUCAGUGAUCUUAUUUCAAGAAGAGAUGUUAUUUUGUAAUUUACGUUUUAAUACAAGGGAAAUUAUCAGCCAUAUACCCUUAAAUGACACCCAUAUUAAAAGUGUGUGAACACUUUUCAAGUGUAUCACUCGUAUACCCUAAGUUGACAAAACACUUCGGCCAUCCACCAAUCCGUUAACUUCCGUUAGAAAGUUAACAGAAUUGUGACAAAUUGACUAUUUCGCUCUUGAAACUCAAAAUUAGAUAAAAAAAUAAAUUUACCAAAAAAAUAAUGUAAAUUUUUAAUACACAAUUUUUUUUAUUUUUUUAUUAACAACACAUUUUUUUAUUAAAAAAAUAAAUUAUUAAUGGUACAUAAUAUUAACAAUUAUCCAUAAAAAAUAUCAAUAUUAUACUAUAAAAAAUUAUUAACAACAUAUUAUUUACAAUUAUACAUAUUAUAUCAUAAAAAAUUUCAGUUGGAGUUUGGAGGAGUAGAUCGUCAAAAAUUUAGGUUAAAUUUUGGAGGAGUAGAUUCGGUUGUAAAGUAGUUUUUUUUAACAAUUAUUAAUAAUUAUCUGAUAAAUGGGAUGACAUGUCAUGUUUAUUAAUAUAUAUCAUAUGACAUGUCAUUUUUUACUAGGUAAAUGAGAUGACAUGUCGUUUUUGUUAAUCAAAGUUUCGUUCAUCUUAAAAGACUAGAUUACCCUUAUGAUGUCAGCGCUUGUAAACGGGAGUUAACGAAUUGGUGGACGGCAGAAGUGUUUUGUCGACUUAGGGUAUACGAGUGAUACACUUGAAAAGUAUUCACACACAUUUAAUACAGGAAGUAUCAUUUAAAAGUAUAUGACUGACAAUUUCCCUCAAUACAAUUUUAAUAAGCUGGACUUGGACAUUGAAUUUCUUUGUUUAGUUUGGUGAUGUACUUUCGUGAACAUAGCUAAGAAGAGAAGAAGAGAAUAAAGGAGGUAGAGAAUUGAAGUUAAAAGGAGGGCACAUGGCAUGGUUUCAAGGCAAAGAUGGUCUGGAAGACCGUCAUGCUGAGCUGAGGCCUUAAUAAGCAUUUAGAGCUAGCUUGUUGUCACACUUACGUCAUCUUUAGAAAAAGUGAAGAAGAUAUUAUUUCUGUAUUGCAAUUUUGACAAUAACAGUUUAUCUGUUUUAUUUUUUAUUACUUUAUAUUAUCUGGGUAUGACGCACCCUAUUGAAAUUAGGAGGAGAAAUUGUGUCGAACAAGCCAGUGGUAAAUGAUCGAAACCCUCAAAUACAUAAAGAGAGGCUCAAAAUUUUAUUUGGAAAAUUCAAAAGGACCACCAGAUGUGUGAAUGAAUUAUCGAAACCCUCAAAUACCAAAAAGAAAAAAAAAAUAAAACUAACUUGUAAAGUUCCACACCACAGGGUCAAACAAAUAAAAUCACAGUGUUGACUCCACGCUAAACUUUCAUUUCUCAUCAAAAGCAAAUGAAAUUUUCGAUGAAAUUAUUUGUGUACUUUAUACGUUUUGAAAAGUCUUCAGGACUUCGAAAGUUAACAACAGGAAGUCAAAAAAUAAAUUUUAUUUCACACCUGGCAAGACUUUUGUUUUCAUAAAAUUAAAUGAAUUCGAUCUCAAAACAAUUACUAGAAAUUUUUCUUUCCUGUUUUAUGAAUGGCGAUUCUUCCAUGCUUCGGCAUCUUUUGUUCUUUGAUCUUCUUGUUCAGCAUGAAGGCUUCAUUAGCAGCUGAUACAAUGACUACAGCAUCAUUCAUCCGUGAUGGUGGGAAGUUAACCUCAUCUUCUCAAAGGUUUGAGCUAGGCUUCUUCUCCCCUGGAAAAUCAAAGAGUAGGUACCUGGGAAUAUGGUUCCGGCGGGUCCCUGAUACAGUUGUGUGGGUUGCAAAUAGAGAUUGGCCUAUCUCCGGUCUGAACGCAGUAUUAACCAUGAGCAACAAUGGAAAUCUUGUUCUUCUCAACCAAACAAAUGGCACUAUCUGGUCUACAAACGUAUCUAGCGAAGUAAAAAAUCCAGUGGUACAACUCAGAGAUGAUGGAAACCUUGUCAUAAGGGAUAACUCCAGCGGUAGUACUGCUGAAAGCUACCUGUGGCAGAGCUUCGACCACCCAACAGACACUCUGUUACAAGACAUGAAGUUGGGCUGGGACUUCAAGAAUGGUCUGGAACGACUUUUAUCAUCAUGGCAAAGUGCUGAAGAUCCAUCUCCUGGGAGGUACACUUACGGGCUUGACAUUCAUGUGCUGCCUAAAAUGUGUACUUUCAAUGGAUCAGUAAAAUUUACCUGUUCCGGACAAUGGGAUGGAACUGGUUUUGUAUCUGCUCUUUCAUAUACAAACUUCAUUUAUAAACAAUUUAUGACGGAAAAUAAAGAUGAAUUUGUUUACUGGUAUGAGGCCUACAACCGUCCUAGCAUAAUGACUCUAAAACUCAACCCCUCCGGUUUCGUCACGCGUCAAAUAUGGGACGAGAACAGCAAUAAAUGGGACGAAUUGUUCUCGAUUCCAGAUCAAUACUGUGGUAAAUAUGGGUAUUGUGGUGCUAAUACCAUUUGCAGCCUCGACCAGACACCUAUGUGUGAGUGCUUGGAGGGAUUCAAACUUAAAUCACAAGUCAACCAGACAGGGCCUAUAAAAUGUGAGAGAAGUCAUUCUUCAGA
rnacentral:lncRNA from 1 species